CUCACUCAGUUUAAGAAACUCUUGCAGGUAUAUUUUUUUAUGCUCUUCCAUUUCUUUCAGCUCUUCUUUUCCAUGGUGAAUGGGCCCAAUGGAGACUAGUUGAGGCGUGUAGGCAUAUUCCUUCGAGUCGCGCAGUCUUUUCGGAACUCUGUAGAUGGAACACUUACUAGAGAAGGCAUGCAAGGCUUUCAACUCCUCUUGCACAGACGCUGUUAGUUUGUCAAUGUCAAGCGAAACAUGAUCAUUCCUUUUCAUCUGCUCAGUUGAUGUUCCAACAAUCUCCAUCCUGUGACACAAAUCUCAAUUGAUCAGAUGUUAGCCGGAAUCACAGAGAAUCAUCAGAUCAAUCAUUGAAUUAAUGAUCUCUACAGUCAAGUUUACCGAAUCAUUUAAUUAAUACGGAUGCUUAAACAAAUUCCAACACAAAUGUAAAGAGGAAAUGAAAAUAUCACACAAAAUACUGUCAAACAUUCACAAAAAUAUUAUUACAGCAUACGUAGCUUCUCUAAACUACAACUUGCAUACUUAGAUUUGCUUCAAAACAUAUAUAGAGAAAACACUCAGCGGCCUUCUGGCGGAAACAAAAAACUCACUCAGUAGUGUUUUUUCACAAACUAUGGUCUGAAGUGUUUCUGAUCAGAAUCUUCUUGAAUGCUCUGUUCCUGCUUUUCUCCAUUAGUUCUUAUUCUACACAAAGUCUUCGUCAAUGUAGACUUUUGCAGCUAAACAACAAAUCAAUAUUAUUAUCAAGUGGGGUUGACUACAGUUGUUAAUUUUUUAAAGUAAUUUUUAUUUAAAAAUAUAUUAAAAUAAUUUAUUUUUAUUUUUAAAAAUAAUUUCUUACUUCAAAGAAUUAAAAUAAUUUAAAAAAAAUAAAUAAAAUUUAAAUUUUUUAAAAAAUACAGUUUCAAAGUCAUUCUAAAAAUUAUAUAUAUUUAGUAUUAUUAUGCACAGUGUUUUUUUAAAUUAUUUUUUUAUUAAAAAUAUAUAUUUUUUAAUUUUUUAUAUUAUUAUUUCAAAAUAACUAAAUAGAGGAGAAGGUAUAUUGAAUGAUAUUUUUUUAAAAUAUUAAAAUUAUGAUAUACUGAAUGAAUUUUUUUAAUAUUAAGAUAUGAGCAUAUUAUAUCGACCAGGAAUAAGGUUAUAAGAUCAUGAUAACUGUAUACAAAUUAAAUCAAAAUAGUUUAUAAUCAAUUCAAUAUUGAAUGAUAAAAAUAAAAAUAAAAAUCAUUGUUUUAAAAUAGAAAAAAGAGAAUGGUAUAACCUGUCAAAUAAAAAAAAUAACAUGAGUCAAUGUAAACCUAUCAAAUCUAUUAUCUCGAUCAUGAAAAUGGUACAAUCCCAUAAAAAACAAAUAAAAAAAAAAUUACGAAGCUCGAUUCCUAACCAAUUUAAUGUGAAAGUAUAAACUCAUAGAAAGUAAAUAAAUAAAAAAAAAUCUUGAAACUCAAUUCCUAACCAAUUAAAUAUUAAAGGAAGAAAUUGAAAAAAUCAAUUUUUUUUUAAAAAAACCCUAAAUUAACCCGAAUUAAUUUGUCAAACUCACAACUUGAAUCAUGAGAUUGAGAUAACCCUAAAUAAAAUAAGUAAAAAAAAUUAUAAAGCUCAAAUCCUAAACAGUCAAUGAUAGAAAAAAAUAAAAGAAAAAAAAACCUAAUCCACUAGAAUUAACUUAUCAAACCCAUAAACCUAUUAUCACUUACAGAGAUGGAAACCCAUAAACCCAUAAUUUUUUUUUGACAUUUUCAAUUUUAAAUUAGUUUCUUUUUUGAAUAAUUUCGUAGUUCACAUACUGGAUAAAGAUCCACUCAACGAGUAAAACAUGUAACUGAUCUUUACACUCACUGUGCUUGAUGGAGGGUUUAAGAAUGAUACAGUAUCUUUCUCCAACGGACAAGGAUUCUUUAUACUCACCAUGCUUGAAGGAGGGUUCAGGAUGGCAUGUGAUCUUUUCUCCAAUAAACAAGAAUUUUUUAGGUUUAUUUUGUUUUAUGUUUUCAAAUCAACAAUACUAAGCACUGUUUGGACUGCAUUUUAUAAAAUUUCAAAAUUAAUUUUUUUAGGUUUAUUUUAUUUUAUAUUUUAAAAUCGUACUGAUAUAAAAAUUGAGUCCUCGAACACCCUCUAAAUGAGGCCUGUUACAACCAUGGAUUUUUUCACAAAAUUAAAUGCCUAUAAAUGAAAAGAACUUGAAACUAGAGUGUAAAUUUUUUAGACACAGAAAGAGGCAGAACACAAGGUAAGAAAAGUUUCAGAAUUAUAGAAGCAAAAGAAAGUUGUGUAGAAAAUGAAACUGUAAAAUCUCCGAGUUCGUUUUUCCGUUCAGUAAGAAAGAGUGCAUAUGAAAACUAAGCAAGUUUGCAAGUUUCAGAAUUAUUUUGCUGCAGAGGUUCUUUGAGGAACUUAGAGCGAGGAUUUUGAAGCCAAUCAAAAUAAUAUGUCUGUUCCUGCAUUUCUCCAUCAGUUCUUAUUCUACACAAAGUCUUCGUCAAUGUAGACUUUUGCAGCUAAACAACAAAUCAGCAUUAUUAUCAGGUGGGGUUGGCUACAGCAUUUUUAAAGUAAUUUUUAUUUAAAAAUAUAUUAAAAUAAUAUCUUUAUCAAGUAACUUAGAGCAAGGAUUUUGAAGCCAAUCAAAGUAAGUCCUAUCUAGACAAUCCAUAUGUUUAUCUUGCUUAUCUUCCUGUUCCUUGCAGUGAUGAUAUUUUCAAAAAAUAUUUUAAUUUAAUAAUUUAAAUUAUUAAAUGAGGUUUUAAGUUAUAAUUUGUAUUAUUUUUUAGUAUAUUUAUUUAAGUGAAAGCUCUUUAAACUUAAAAUUUACAUAAAUUUAUAUUAUUUUAAGUUUAAUUUUAAUUAAAUAAAUAAAAAUAAUAAAAUUUAAAUUUUUGAUCAUUUAAUUAUUAAAAUUAUGAUAUUAUAUAAAAAAUCAUUUUAAUUCAGUAACUUAAAUUAUUAAUUAAAGAGGAAAAUGGCAACUGAGAAAUUGGUCCGUGCCCACCAUUCCAGAAUACAAUAGACAUCCAGCUCACAUGAUUACUUUUACAUGGAUAAUCAGUCAAGACAUGACCCUGGGGCUCACAUGAUUUCACGUGAACAACAUUUUCUCAUUGGCAAAGGUUUUCACAAUGAUGCACAAGUGACUUGAAGACGUGACAAAUGCUUUUUUUUAUUUUUUUUUCAGGUCAUAUCUAGUAACUAUUCCUAGAAUUUUAAAAUAUAAUUUAUAUUAUUUUUUAAUAAAUAUGAUUUAAGGUAUAAUUAUCAAACCUAUUCUAGCCGGUAAGUCGACUUGAAGUCUAGCCACCCAGGCUUGAUUUCUUUUUGAACCAAUAAAUCAAUCUUUAACCUGGUUAUUAUAUAAAAAAAACCACUAAAACAAUAUCGUUUUGAAACUAACUACUCUGUUAUUGGGGACUUUAUUCGGGUAUGAUAAAGUUCAACAAGAUUUCCUGCUUUAUAUAGUUAUUCGAGACUCUUUUGUGUGAGAAUCCAUGGAGUUUUCAUCUGUUCUUUACAUUUGUUUUGUAUCUGUUUCAUUAUCAGUAUCAUCAAAUAAUUUGUUGAGUCUGACAGAUAGAAAUUAUCCCAGUUCAUUCACAGGAUGAAGACUGGCGAAGAAUCAAGCGAGAAAAAUGAUAAGGGAGAUCAUGUUUACAGAUUAGCAGCAAAUGUGAAAAAGAAUUUGGAAACCUUAGGAUGUCGAAAUUCUUGUUCGAAAUGGAAUUAUAGGAAACUGCAGGUUGUCUAAUAAUGAAGCAGUGGCUACUCUUUUUUACAAUCUUUCCAGAGAAAAUAUUGUCUCCCGGAAGAACUUCUACUUUUCCGAUGUCCUGGAAGAUUUGAAUAAUUACUGCGGAAGAGAUUGGCCGAGAUGGAAGGCAAACUUGAGACAAAAUUAUUUCCAAAAUCCAUGGUCCAUAAUCUCCGUUAUUGCAGCUGCUUUUCUCCUCCUACUUACCAUCAUCCAAGCGGUGUGUUCUAUUAUUCAAAUCGCUUAGAGCCUACCCUUUCAAUUGUUUCAUUUCCUGUAGAAAGCUAUAAUGUAGAAUAAAGAUGGAAAUUCUGUGUUGUUUUCUCCUGGCUAUCAAGUGUACAUUCAGAUAGCUAGGAGAAAACCAUGUCAGAUUAAUCGAGUUUUACUGGGUUAAUGUAUUUUUUAUUUCAAUUUAAAAUCUCAUUUUGAUAAUAUUUUGGGUUGAGUUUAUCAAAUUAACUCGUUUAAUCAAGACUGAACAUCAUUCAAAGAGUAGAGUAGCUUUUUCCCUAGAAAUUAAAGCAUUCCCUGCCUGAGUCCAAUUAGAAAUGGAAUUUCACGAAUAUAAUACGAUACAUUAUGUUAUCAAUAACUUCAAUGGAGUCAAAUUCAAGAAAACAAUACUCUUUGAAUUUGAAUUUUACUAUUUUUAUUUUAACUAAUUAAAUUAAUAAAACUAGAUCGAAAUAUUACUGUAAAACCUAAAUUUUUUGCACCAAAAUUAUACCUCAAAGGAUGGCUUGGGCCUCAGAUCAUUUAGCAGUUCGAUUCUUGCCUGGAACAAGUUUUAGUUGGGCCACAAGGGAAGGCAAAGUUGAAGAAUGUUUAUUUUAAAAAUCCAUGGACUGCCACCUCUAGUAUUAGAAAGCUGGCUGGAGUAGACUAGGCCUUGACCAACUGAGAGUAUUUGAGAUUAACUUACGUGCUUGGUUAAGGACAUAGCGUUGGUUUUAUGUUUUAAGAGUAUUUUUAAAAUAAUUUAAAUAUUUUUAUUUUUUUAUUUUUUUAUUAAUUUUAAAUUAAUAUGUUUUUAGUGUUUUUAAAUUAUUUUGAUGUGCUAAUGUCAAAAAUAAUUUUAAAAAAAUAAAAAAAAUAUUAUUAACAUGUAUUUUAACAUAUAAAAUUAUUUAAAAAACAACUAUAAUUACACUGUAAAAUAUAUUUGAAGACUGAACAAAUCUUUCAGCAGGCUUUGAUGAGGAGAAAUAAAAAGCCGGGCGCAAAUCAACAGUGACAUUUUGUAUUUCGUUUUUAACUUUUUUUUUCCUAUAUCUUUGAUUCAUCUACUCAUAACUAAUCGUAAUCAUAAAAAGUAACGCAAUAUUAUUUUUUUUAAUUUUCAAUCCUUUGUUAAUUAGUAUUUAUAUUUUCUUAAUUUUCAAUUCCUUUUCUGUCAAGAAAAUCCUUAAAAUAUUCAUAUUUUCUAAUAUAAUAACAAACUAGAUCAUUGACCCGUACUACGUUGCGGGAUAAGUUAAAUUUUUCUUGAAUCUAAAAAUAAAUUACAUUGUUUACAGAAGACAUUUCAAAGGAAAUGAAUUCCUCUGAAGUAGAACAUUUUGUUGACUUUAUAAGAAACUGUCUUAAUAAUUGAUAUUUUGAAGUAGUUCAUGUUUUAAUUUAUAAUUAGAUAUUACAAUGAAUGUUGUUAGAGAAUGAUAUGUAAAUUAUAUCAGGAGACAUUAUAUUUUUUUGAUAUAGUUAAUAUUAGAGUUUUAAAAAAUAGAAAUGGAUUUGAAUUUCACUAUUUCUAAUUUAACUAAUUAAAUUAAUAAAACUAGGUCAAAGUAGUAGUUUAAAACCUAAACUUUUGGUUUAAAUUCAAGCUCAACUUAGUCCAAACCCAACUUAAAUUAGCCUAGUUAUAUAAAGAAAAGCUGUAAGAGAAUUGUUUUUCUCUUUUUUAAUUAUUGUUGUCGUGACCCUUCUCUCAUCAAAUCAAGGAUUUCAGUUUUCAAUUUUAAAUUUUUUAAUUAAAGAAAGAUGGAAGUGGUGAGAAAGUGAUCUCUUUUUAUAUUACUCUCGAUUAUAAUUUGUUUAUAAAAUGAUUAAAGAAGAGAUUAAGAUUUAUAAAGAUUUGAAGUUUAUGUUGUUAAAAUUAAUUCAUGAUUAUUAUCAGUUUAAGGUUAAGUAAUUGAUUUUUAAUGUGAUGUUAGCAAUAAGAGUUUGUUAAUUGAUUUGUUAGAAAUAAGUUAUUGCAAUACUGAAAUGCACUUCAAUGGCAUUCAUUACACGAUCCUUUUCUGACUAAUUGAUAGCAUGUUGAUUGAUACAAACCAUUUUGCAGAGAAAACAAGACGAGGAAGAAACUAGCACUGAUCAUUUAAUGAAGUACAUUAUAGCAAUCUCACAGGAAACACAAACAGAACACACUUUUAUUUGUAGCACACGAUCGAAAGGGAAGAACCUAUUUCACUUGAAAGACAGAACAGACUGUUUGUAUGACAGUGAGUAUUAGAAGAGCCCCAGCUGCAACAACAGAGAUGGAAACCCAUGGAUUAUGGAAAUAAUUUUGUUUCAAGGCUGCAAUCCAUUUGUGCCUCCGCUUUCUGCAGUACUUAUUCAGACCUUCAACGACAUCAGCAAAAUAAAAUCGUUUACUGUCAACAACAUUUCCUCUGUCAAGAUCAUGGAGAGCACAAAUAACUGCAUCAUUAUCACUGAGCCAAUUAUCUAUAAUUCCUUUCUUAGCAAGUAUUUCUACAUCAUUAGUACCACGAACAAGGUCUUUGAUGGUAGCUAUAUAGUCACUUACGUAUCCACCUCUGCAUUGGCAUUGCUCAAAGGCGUGGAUGUUUCUAAAUAACUUCUCUGUAUGAUCCUCUAAAAAUAGUGGUGGUAUUUGCAGUAUCCCUUUAUGAAAGUCAAAGUUCAUGUCAAAUAUUUUUUCCCUGGACCCCAACUUAAACUUGAUUCCAGAGUGAUGGAGCUCCAUUGCACUUGGUGCGGUGAGAGUUUUAAGAGGCUCUGACUGUUUCUGCUUUGCUGGCUGGUGACACUUUCUUAGAAAGUCAAUAAAAUGCUCUACUUCAGAGGAUUUGAUUUGCUCCGAAAUGGCUUUUGGCACCCAUGAAUUCCCAAAUGCGCCUGAUAAGAAAUGACGAGUAAGCUCAAUCAUGGAAUAUGCGUCCAGUGUAUUGGAAAGCUUAAGCAAGUCGUCAAGAAUGAAGAACGGAAUCUGAUUUUCAAGCAAGCACGUGUCAUGCGUUAUGUCGUCUAUCAUAAAUGGUUUACCGAAUAUAUGGUCGUUGUUUCUUCGGAAGAAAGAGGAAAACUGUAUCAGGAAGACCAUAAUGAUGAAGGAGCUAUCUAGCAACAUCAUUUUCACAAAGUCCUCUGAACUAAUAUUUUCAAAAUUAUCUGCGUAACAGUUGCGCAAUCUUGUCUCCCUCCCUGCAACAGCUGCAAUACAUUCCUUAACACUUACCUCACUCAGUUUAAGAAACUCUUGCAGGUAAAUUUUUUUAUGCUCUUCCAUUUCUUUCAGCUCUUCUUUUCCAUGGUGAAUGGGCCCAAUGGAGACUAGUUGAGGCGUGUAGGCAUAUUCCUUCGAGUCGCGUAGUCUUUUAGGAACUCUGUAGAUGGAACACUUACUAGAGAAGGCAUGCAAGGUUUUCAACUCCCCUUCCACAGACGCUGUUAAUUUGUCAAUGUCAAGCGAAACAUGAUCAUUCCUUUUCAUCUGCUCAGUUGUUGUUCCAACAAUCUCCAUCCUGUGACGCAAAUCUCAAUUGAUCAGAUGUUUGCCGGAAUCACAGAGAAUCAUCAGAUCAAUCAUUGAAAUGAUCUCUACAGUCAAGAUUACCAAAUCAUUUAAUUAAUACAGAAGGAACACCCUUUUAUUUGUAGGACGCGAUCGAAAGGGUAGAACCUAUUUCACUUGAAUGACAGAACACACUGUUUGUAUGACAGUGAGUAUUAGAGGAGCCCCAGCUGCAACAACAGAGAUGGAAACCCAUGGAUUUUGGAAAUAAUUAUGUUUCAGGGCUGCAAUCCAUUUGUGCCUCCGCUUUCUGCAGUACUUAUUCAGAUCUUCAACGACAUCAGCAUAAUAAAAUUUGUCAAGGGAGACCCCAUUUCCUCUGUCAAGAUCAUGGAGAACACUCUUAACUGCAUCAUUAUCACAGAGUCAAUGUAAACCUAUCAAAUCUAUUAUCUCGAUCAUGAAAAUGGUAUAACCCCAUAAAAAGCAAAUGAAAAAAGAUUACGAAGCUCGAUUCCUAACCAAUUUAAUGUGAAAGUAUAAACUCAUAGAAAGCAAAUGAAAAAAAAAAUCUUGAAACUCGAUUCCUAACCAACUAAAUAUUAAAGGAAGAAAUUGAAAAAAUCAAAUAAAAAAACAAAAAAAAAACCUAAGUUAACCCGGGUUGAUUUGUCAAACUCACAACUUGAAUCAUGAGAUUGAGAUAACCCUGAAUAUAGUAAGAAAAAAAAAUUACAAAGUUCAAAUCCUAAACAGCCAAUGAUAAAGUAAAAAAUAGAAGAAAAAAAAACUUAGUCCACUCGAAUUAACUUGUCAAACCCAUAACUUAGAUCAUAAGAUCAGGAAAACCCAUAGAAAAAAAAAGAAAGAAAUUACAAAGCUCACAUCCUAACAAACUAAAUGCUAAAGGACAUUUGAUUUUUUUUUUUGAAAGGACCAUAAAAGAUGAUCCAAGUCAUCCAUGGUUAAACUUGUAAACCCGUGACCUGGGAUUUGAAAUUAGGAUUACCCCAUAGAAAGAAAAAAAAAAUCAGAAGCCAUUUAACCAUCUCAAUGUUGAAGGAUGAAAGUGAAAAAAAAAAAAUAGUAAUCAAAAGAACCAUAAUCAAAUUUGACAAAAAGAAAAAAUAUGACAGGCCACUUUGCUAUUUUCGAGAGGGCCACACACGAAAAUCGAGGAAUGUGGAGAGAGAGAGGAGAGGAGAGGAGAAGAAAGAAAAGAAGACGGCAACAUCGGUCACCUUAUAGCAAGAAAUGUUGGAGGACUAAAAUGUAUUUCACAAAUAAAUUUGAAAGUAUCAUUAUGCUACUUGUGUUUUUCAAUUCAUUUCUCAGUCUUAAAUGAGAAAUUAGAAAGAAAAAAAAGCCAAUUAAAAAAAAACUGAAUUAGUUGGGUUAACCUGUUAAACUCGUGACCUGAGUUAUGAGACAUAGACAAUCCAAUAAAAAAAACAUAUCCAAUGUUGAAGGACACGUGACCUGGAUCAUGAUUCUAAGAUAUGACUACGAUAACCUUUUAGAAAUAAAAUAAAAAAAUGAUUUAAUUUAACCUGAGUUAAACUACCAAAACCUACGACUUUGAUUGUGAGACUAAAUAUCCCAAUUGAAACCAAAUCAAAACAUAUUAUGAAACUCAAUUCUCAACCAACCUUGUGUUGAAUGAUGAAAUUUGAAAAAAAAAAUUAAUUAAAAAAUAACAUAAAAAACAGCCAAAGUCAAUUCGGAUUAACCCAUUAAGCACUAUUGAUCUUGAGUUACGAGGACGAAAUAACAUAAUAGAAAGUAAAAAAAGAAAUAAAUUUUGAAGUCUAAUUCUCAAUUAAUCCAAUAUUAAAGGAUGAAAUUGAAAAAAAAAAUUAAUUAAAGAAAAGAAAAACAUGAGUCAAUCAGGUUAACCCGCUAAACCUAUGAUUCAUAUAAUGAGAGUGUAAUAACUCAAUAAAAAUAAAUUGAUGAGAUUAAACAAAAAAAAAUUAAUUGAAAAAAAAGAAAAAUACUAUUCAAAUGAAUAGUAAUAAUGCUUUGCGAGGAGGGAAGGUGUGUUUGGGAACACGAUGCAGACCGUGUUCUCAAAAAUUUUGAAUUUGUUUUUUGCUUAAAAUGAAUUUUUUUUUAAUGUUUUCAGAUUGUUUUGAUGUGUUGAUAUCAAAAAUAAUUUUUUUAAAAUAAAAAAAUUUUAUUUUGAUAUAUUUCUAAACAAAAAGUAUUUUAAACUAUCACCGCUAAUCACAAUCCCAAACAAGUAGAGUGAAAUCCUUUCCUUAAUUUAGUUUAUAGUUGAUAGUUUUUCUAUUGAAUCUAGGUUUUCCCUGGGCAUACGACGGCUAAGUUGACGAAGGUUAUACUUAUAAUGAUUCCCUCUUUUUGUAACUCUUAAAAAUUUGACAUUUUCAAUUUUAAAUUAGUUUUUUUUUUGAAUAAUUUCGUAGUUCAUAUACUGGAUAAAGAUCCACUCAACGAGUAAAACAUGUAACUGAUCUUUACACUCACUGUGCUUGAUGGAGGGUGUAAGAAUGGUAUAGGAUCUUUCUCCAACGGACAAGGAUUCUUUAUACUCACCAUGCUUGAAGGAGGGUUCAGAAAGGGAUGUGAUCUUUUCUCCAAUAAACAGGAAUUUUUUAUGUCGCAUGUUCCAAAUUAUUACUUUUUUGUUUGUUUGUUCUAAUAUGUUACUGAAGGAUAAGCAAGAAGUGGAAGAAACCAACAGGGAUUAGUUACUGAAGGAAAUACAUAGCAAUUUCAGAAGAGGAAAUCACAGAGCACACUGUUUAUUUACAGAAAAAAAGAAACAAAAGAACAAUUGAAAUGGCAGAAUCUAAACAACUUGAAUGAUAGAACACACUGCUUGUAUGACAGUAAGUAGGAGGAGCAUUCCAGCUGCAAUAACAGAGAUUAUGGUCCACGGAUUGUCGAAAUACUUCUGUUUCAGGUCUGCCUUCCAUUUGUGCCUACGCCUUUUGUAAUACUUCUCCAGAUGUUCAACGACAUCAGAAAAAUAGAAAUCGUGGCUGACAAUAUUUUCUUUGGAAAGAUUGUGGAGAAGUCUUAAGAGGGCAUCGUUAUCACGUAGCCAAUUCUCUAUAAUUCCUUUUCUUGCGAGUAUUUCUAAGUCCUUGGAAGCAUGAACAACCAAAUUGAUCAUCGUGAUAUAGUUACCUAUAAAACCAGAACCGAAAUGGCAUUGCUCAAAGGCUUGGACAUUCCUGAAUAACGUUUCUGUGCUAUCCAUAAUCUUUAAACAUGGAAUUUCCAGUGUCCCUUUAUCAGCGUCGAAUUUUAUGUCUAGUAGUUUCUUGCUGGACCCCAACUUAAACCUGACUCCAGCUUGAUGGAGAUCCAUUGCACUGGGUGUGCUUAGAGUAUCAAUUUCCUUUUCCUUUAGCUGUUUUUGCUCCGUUGGCUGCUGACAGAUUCUCAGAAAAGCAACAAAAUGCUCUGCUUCAUAGAAUUUGAUUUCCUCCAAAUUGUCCUGGGGCACCCAUGAAGACCAUCUCUGUGUUAAGAAUACAGAGGUAAGCUUCUUAAAGGAAAGAGGACACCAUAUUUUGGAUAGCUUAAUCAAGUCUUCUAGAAUGAAGAAUGGAAGCUGAUUUUCAAGCAAGCACAUGUCCCUGGAUACAUCACUGAACAUCCAAGGUUUACCGAAUAUACGGUCAUUUCUGAAUUCAAUAUUUCCGAAGCAAUACCUCAGUAAGAACAUAAUGACGAAGGAGCAAUCGAGAAGCAUCAUUUUCACAAAUUUUGCACUGCUAAGCUUUUCAAAGGUUGCCGCAUAACAGUUUCGCAAUCUAGUUUCCUUCUUUGCAAUAAAUGCAAUAAGAUCCUCAAGGCUUACCUCGCUGUAUUCAAGAAAAUCUUGAAGGUACAUUUUCUUAUGCUCUUCCAUUUCUUGUAGCUCUUGUUUUCCAUGGUGAAGUGGGCCGAUGGAGACUACUUGAGGUGUAUAAGCUCGUCUAUUUAACUUGAGUAGUCUUUUAGGAACCCUGUAGAUUGAACACUCAUGGGAGAAAGAACGCAAUUUAUUGAACUCCUCUUGCAUGGACGUUGCUAACUUGUUAGUGUCAACCGAACCAUGAUCUCCCUUGUUCAUCAGCAGAUCAGUUGAUGUUCCAGCAAUCUCCGUCCUGUGACUCAUUGAGUGAUCUCUACAGUCAAGAUUACCAAAUCAUUUAAUUAAUACGGACGCGUAAACAAAUUCCAACACAAAUGUAAAGAGGAAAUGAAAAUAUCACACAAAAUAUUGUCAAACAUUCACAAAAAUAUUUGGAAGGAAUCGAAUCUGAAUUAUUGCAACAUACGUAGCUUCUCUAAAUUACAACUUCCAUACUUAGAUUUGCUUCAAAACAUAAAUAGCGAAAACACUCAGUAGCUCUAGGUUCUUUAAUGUUCUGUUCCUGCAUUUCUCCAGCAGUUCUUAUUCUACACAAAGUCUUCGUCAAUGUAGACUUUUGCAGCUAAACAACAAAUCAACAUUAUCAGGUGGGGUUGACUACAGCUGUUCAUUUUUUAAAGUAAUUUUUAUUUCAAAUAAUUUUUAUUUUAUUUAAUUUGGCCUGCCGAGCCAAAGGAACUCACUGCCCAUUCAUCAACCAGCUUGCGGCAUGGCGCGGCAGUUCUCUCCUACCAACAGAGAGAGAAAUUUAAUUGUCUUUCUUUCUUCUCCCUCCUACUAAAAGUUUCACUUUAUAAACCUCAUGUUAAUUUCUCUGCUUUCUAUUGUCUAACCUUGCAAUGUCUUGAGAGUAUGCUUUGGUGCAAGGGCGGAGCCUCGUAGAAGGCUUAGGUGGGCUGUAGCCCAGGUAAAAAAGUUAAUGCCGAUCUAAAAUAUCAAUAGUUUCUGAAUUAAUAGGAAAGUAACCCAUGCUUUUCGUUCCAAGUGGAAUGCCAAAAGAAGCAAGCAAACGGCCUACCACUGUAAAUGCGCAAAGUUAGUCACAGGGAAAGGAAAGCUCCAAGUUGUUUCUAACCUUCGACUCAUUAAUUAACUUUGAUGGCUUGGUUGCUUGUAUUGUUUAGCUUGUUCCUUCGUGGUGUCAUUCUUUCAUGUCAUAAAAAAUCUAAUAAUCCACUUUUUUGUUUUUCAUAAAACCUAAUAUAAAUAAUUAAUUGGUUGUUUUUUUUGUCUUUUGCAUAAAACCUAAACACAAAUAAUUAAUUGGUGUGAGAAUCAGAUUUACAUGUUUUUCAAGUAACAUAGAGUUUUAGUUUUUUUCUUCUUAACAGUAUACCGAGAGCUACAAAAAUAUAAAAUUACCUAGUAAGAAUUUACAAACCCUAACUUUUCAUUUUAAAUUCAAUAUUUUACAUUCAUUGUAGUAGAUUGUACCCUAAAAAUCUAAUAGUUUGAAUACGUUAAGUUUUUUUCAUACUUUAAUGAGUCUUAAUUUAUAGGUUAUGAUUCGCUGAAUACCUUGUUAAAUGUGUUGUCUUAAUUUGUGUAUAGUAGAAGGAAGUGUGACCAAAUUAUUUAAUGAUAGUUUCUCUUUCAUGUUUUUGUUUUAAUGAACCAUUUUGGACCAUAUUUUUUUAAUUUUUGAAACCACUUCAAGCCAAGCUAACAUGAAUUUGAGUUGAGCUUGAACAAGCCAAGGUUAUACAUAACAACCAUAACUAAAGUUACGGGGACACAACAAAAAAUAAACACAUGAAAAAACAUGACAAGAGGGUUGUGAGGUUCGAAUUUAGUCUUAUUAAAAAACAUAAAAUAAACACAAGAAAAAUAAUUUACUAAUUAAUUAUUUCAAAAUUAAGUUCCUCAAAUCUCCUGUAGUCUACAUCACUAUUUUAUCCUUGUAUAUUCUGCAUUUCAUAAAUAUUCUAUUGUGACAUUAGUAUCUUUUCAUCUGGCACCUAAUUUUUCUAAUUCUUUUUACUUGAAUAGGUUAUAAAUUAUAAUGGAAAAUCAAUGAAGUAAAAAAAGAAAAACUAUGUUUCAUUCUUUAAACCAAGCGGACAAAUAUCAAUCAGUAAAGGAAGAGAAGUUCUUAACGGAUUUCAUGAUGAUUUACAUUGAAUGCGAGCUUGUUGAAGAUAUUGAUUCAGAUUCUAUCAUAGAUGAAUUCUAUUCUACAAGACAUCGAAUGGUGCAACUUUGAUAGUGUAAUUUAUUUUUAUUUUUAAUUUUAUAUACUUUAAAUUUUAUUUUAUUAUAUUAUAUAUAUAUUAUGUUAUGUAUUUAGAUUCAAAUUUUAUUAUUAACUUAAUAAAUUCAUAUAUACAAGUUAAUGAUUGAUCUUAAAAAAUAAUUUAUAUGUAUCUAUAAUAUAGCCCAGGGCAGAAAAAAAUCCUAGCUCCGCCCUUGCUUUGGUGGCUCUAUCUGUGAAAACUAACGAGCUGGAGAACAUGGCAAGGUUUAUGCAGUGGGAGGUUCGUUUGAUUACCUGCUCUAAGGUAAUUAAUCCAACCCUAUUUAUCUUUUGUUUUUUUUAAUUAUUGUUAUUGAUGUUUUGCAUCUGGAUUAAUGAAUUAGAAUGUUAACUUUAUUUUAAUCACGUUUAAAAGAAAAUCUUAAAAAUAAUUUUUAAUCAAAUCCUAGCUAUAAAAGUGAAUAAAUUAAUUUCUAAAAGUCUUCUUCGUCAACUUUUGGAGUCUUCCAGGUGGACCACAAACAAUAAGUGGGGUCUGUUCCAGCUGUUGUCUGUUAGGAUGGAGAUGGCAGCUCAAAUCCCAUGUUGGGUGUGAGGCCUUGGGUUUGGCACAAAGUCUUUUUAUUUGUAAAACCUAAAAACAAUAACAGUAACCAGACAGAUAAAAAUUACAAAUAGCUGACAUUAUUAUAUAAGUAUCUGACCGAAACAUGACAAUUUUUUUCUUGGAAGGAACGGAAUCUGAAUUAUUACACCAUACAUGGAUCUAAAUUACAAUUCACCAUCACUUUUUGUUUCUAAUAUACAUCUGGUUUGUUUGUUUGGUUGGAGUUAGUUUUUAAAUAAUUUUUCAUGUUAAAAUAUAUGUUAAUGAUAUAUUUUUAUUUAAAAAAAUUAUUUUUAAUAUCAGCACAUCAAAAUAAUUUAAAAAUAUUAAUAAUAUAUUAAUUUAAAAUAAAUAAAUAAAAUUUAAAUUUUUUUAAAAUGUGAAUUAAGUCUUCGUCAAUUUAGACUCUCCCGGCUGGAUCCAAAUCAACAUUAAUAAGAGGGGUCGGUUCCAGCUGUCUUCUUGUUGAGUAAAAAUCAGCAGUAAUACUAAGUGGGGUCGGUUCCAACCAUGGAUAUUUAGUUACAAAAAUUAAAUGCCUUUAUAUGAAGAGAACUUAAAACUAGAGUGUAAAUAUUUUUAGACACAGAAACAGGCAGAACACAAGGUAAGAAAAGUUUCAGAAUUACAGAAGCAAAAGAAAGUUAUGUAGAAAAUGAAACUGUAAAAUCUCCGAGUUCGUUGAGUGCAUAUGAAAAUGACAUGAUUUAACUAUGCAAGUUUGUAUGGUUUAACUAGAGUUUUUUAUUUUAAAAAAAUUAUUUUUAAUAUCAACACAUCAAAAUAAUUUAAAAAUAUAAAAAAUAUAUUAAUUUAAAGUAAAUAAAAAAAUUAAUUUUUUUCAAAAACAUUUUUAAAAUAUGAACCACUUCUUCGCCAAUUUAGACUCUACCGGCUGGACCCCAAAUCAACAUUAAUAAGAGGGGUCGGUUCCAGCUGUUGUCUUGUUGAGUAAAAAUCAGCAGUAAUAGGAGACUCUUUGUUUGCGUGAUUGUUUCUGUAUUUGUAUCAAUCACAGUAAAACAAACAUUUUAUAAUGCUCCAAAACAUAAUUAAUUUCUGGUGAGGCCCAUUGAGUUUGUGUUUAAAACGAAGUUAAAUUGAAAGCAACUCUCAACUGCCUUUUUUUUCUUUAUCUGUACUGUUCAUAACUGAACAUUAUUUUUUAAAAACCAAAACAGUACAGUGAAUUUAUAUAUUAAUUCACUAGUACUUUAAUGAACUAUUUAUUUUUUUUAAAAAAUUAGUUUAGAGUGAAUUAAAUUUUCUUGUAUUGUAAUCUCAAUUAUAUAUAUAUUUUUUAUAUUUAUAUUAUAACCUCAAUUUAAAAGGUAUUAUUAACCAAACACAUUAAACUAUUUUUUGUUCAAUCUCAGUUUUAACCAAACAUAUAAAUAUUAAAUCAACCUUAAUUAAAAAUAUUUUUUAUAAAAUAAUUUUUUUAAAAUUAGAAUUACAAAAACUAUCAUAAUAUCAAACACACUCAAGUGGGGUCGGUUCAGCCAUGGAUAUUUGGUCACAAAAAUUAAAUGCCUUUAUAUGAAGAGAACUUAAAACUAGAGUGUAAAUAUUUUUAGACACUGAAACAGGCAGAACACAAGGUAAGAAAAGCUUCAGAAUUACAGAAGCAAAAGAAAGUUAUGUAGAAAAUGAAACUGUAAAAUCUCCGAGUUCGUUUUUUCUGGUUAGUAAUAAAGAGCGCAUGUGAAAUUGACAUGAUUUAACCAGAGUUAAAAUGAUAUAAUUUAACUGGAUUAAUCUAUAAAACUUGUUAUUUAUAUUAUAAAAAUAUGAUAAUUUAAUAAAAAAAAAUCUAAUAUUAAAUAAUGAAAUUAAAUAAAAAAUUAAUUGAAAAAAAAAUCAUAAAAAAAAGAAAACAUCACUACUCAAAUAAAUAAUGUUUGUGAAAAGAGAUAAAGUAUAAUCAUUUCGUCAAUUUAGUUUAUAGUUAUAGUAGUUUCUAUUGAAUCUAGGUUUUUCCUGGGCAUAUGACGGCUAAGUUGACGAAGGUUAUACUUAUAAUGAUUUCCUCUUUUUGUAACUCUUAAAAAUUUGACAUUUUCAGUUUUAAAUUAGUUUCUUUUUUGAAUAAUUUCGUAGUUCAUAUACUGGAUAACGAUCCACUCAACUGUGCUUGAUGGAGGGUGUAAGAAUGGUAUAGGAUCUUUCUCCAACGGACAAGGAUUCUUUAUACUCACCAUGCUUGAAGGAGGGUUCAGAAAGGGAUGUGAUCUUUUCUCCAAUAAACAGGAAUUUUUUAUGUCGCAUGUUCCAAAUUAUUACUUUUUUGUUUGUUUGUUCUAAUAUGUUACUGAAGGAUAAGCAAGAAGUGGAAGAAACCAACAGGGAUUAGUUACUGAAGGAAAUACAUAGCAAUUUCAGAAGAGGAAAUCACAGAGCACACUGUUUAUUUACAGAAAAAAAGAAACAAAAGAACAAUUGAAACGGCAGAAUCUAAACAACUUGAAUGAUAGAACACACUGCUUGUAUGACAGUAAGUAGGAGGAGAAUUCCAGCUGCAAUAACAGAGAUUAUGGUCCACGGAUUGUCGAAAUACUUCUGUUUCAGAGCUGCCUUCCAUUUGUGCCUACGCCUUUUGUAAUACGUGUUCAGAUGUUCAACGACAUCAGAAAAAUAGAAAUCGUGGCUAUCGACAAGAUUUUCAUUGGCAAGAUUGUGGAGAAGUCUUAAGAGGGCAUCGUUAUCACGCAGCCAAUUCUCUAUAAUUCCUUUUCUUGCGAGUAUUUCUAAGUCCUUGGAAGCAUGAACAACCAAAUUGAUCAUCGUGAUAUAGUUACCUAUAAAACCAGAACCGAAAUGGCAUUGCUCAAAGGCUUGGACAUUCCUGAAUAACGUUCUUCUCCCUCCUACUAAAAGUUUCGCUUGAUAAACCUCAUGUUAAUUUCUCUGCUUUCUAUUGUCUAACCUUGCAAUGUCUUAAGAGUAUGCUUUGGUGGCUCUAUCUGUGAAAAUUAACGAGCUGGAGAACAUGGCAAGGUUUAUGCAGUGGGAGGUUCGUAUAAUUACCUGCUCUAAGGUAAUUAAUCCAACUCUAUUUAUCUUUUUUUAUUAUUGAUGUUUUGCAUCUGGAUUAAUGAAUUAAUGAAUUAGAAUUAGAAUGUUACCUUUAUUUUAAUGACGUUAAAAAGAAAAUAUUAAAAUUAAAUUUUAAUAAAAUCUUAGCUAUAAAAGUGAAUAAAUUAAUUUCUAAAAGUCUUCGUCAACUUUUAGAGUCUUCCAGCUGGACCAUAAACAAUAAGUGGGGUCUGUUCCAGCUGUCGUCGGUUUUGGCUUCCUUGCAAAUUAAUCCCGGCUCCGCUCCUGUUUAGGUAAGUAAUAGGUGAUUAAGCAUGUUGAAUGACAUAACCGACAUGAUUGAUCCAUCAUCCAUGUAAUCAAAGCUCUAUAAUUCAGCUUAUAUUUUCCAUCCCUGAAUUUGCCUUUUCUUCCCAAAUCUUAAAGCUAAUGAAGAUUUACAUGGUGAUUGAUUUUAGAAUCUAUAAAAUUAGGAAUACACAAGGUAAUAAAACUAAAUAAUUAAUAAUAAUAAUAAUCUAGACAUGCAAUUUAAUAAUAAUAAUAAUAAUAAUAAUAAUAAUAAUAAAAACUAAAUAAUUCUACAUGUUGCGUCAGCUAACCAGCCGCUUGAAACUCUUUUCUAGGCAAUGAUCUACUUCAUUGCUGAGGGAGCAUUGCUGUAGAAGAGGCAUCUGGUUACCGAUUGGAUAUUAAUUCUAACUUAGCUGAUUUAUAAUCUUUUGGAUUUUGAAAUUUACAAGGCAAAAUUGUCACCCAGGUAGUUUUCUUUAGGGUUCCUUGGCCUUUUAAUUUUUUUUUUGGUUAUUAGAAUCUACAAUUAUCUUUUCUCGAAAAUCCCACUACUAUCAUAUUAUCUUACCACUGUACAGUUUAAAAAUCUUAGGUAAACUUUAGUGUUUCUCAGGAGCAGGAGGAGGAUACUGUUACAUUUAAUGUUUGCAGCAGCUCUGCCCUUGUCUCAAAAUUCGUUUGGUUUUGCAUUUUGAAAGAAAUUAUUUGUUUUUUAUCUUAAAAAUAAUUUUUUAAAAAUAAUAAAAUAUUAUUUUAAUAUAUUUUUAAAUAAAAAAUACUUUAAAAAAUAAUUAUUUAUCAAUUUUAAUCGAAUACAAGUGUGAGCAGCAUGUCUAGAAAAAGUUUAGCAUUGUUUGACGAAUCAUUGUACAGGAACAUUUUUGUUUUUAUCUUAAGAAUUAUUGUACAUGUGCAUCUAAUGCGCUGAAGGUUGUCGUCACAGAUCAAUCAUACCAACGUAGAAAGUAAAACGAAGAUGCCUUCUCUUCCAAUCCUCGAGCACGGUUUGUUUUUAUGUUUUUGAUGCGUUUAUGUACGUUUAGAUACUGGUGGGCAGGACUAGACCAUGCCAUCACCAACUACAUCGGCAUCAAGAUGGUCAAUACCGAAAUCUUAGGGACAUGAUUUAUUUUUUGAAUUAUUUUCAAGUAUGGUAAGUAUUAGUUUUUAAAAUUUAUUUUUAAUAUUAAUACAAUAAAACAAACUAAAAAAUAAAAAAUAAAUUUGUAACCGAUUUCUAUCUGGAUUCAUGCUUCAUUAACACAUGCAUAUUUUAAAGCACCACAUGCAGGCGCAAGCCAAAAGCGAAAACUAGAGGGGUCGGGCCAUGAACCCACGGGUAAGGUCCGAAUCUUACAUCAAUAAAAAAAAAAAAUCCCAGACUGCAUUUUAAGUCACCAAAACGCACAGCUUAACACGUCUGCCUUUCGUUAAGCAAGAUUCUUUUUUUAAUCUGUACUUUUCUCCUUUCUGUUAUGGGUAUGAUGUUUUUUAAUUUGUAUUUCAUGAUUUUUUAAAUCUUUUUAUAUAUAUAUAUUUUGAUUUAUUAAUAUGAAAAAUAAUUUUUUUAAAAUAAAAAAUAUUAUUUUUAUAUAUUUUAAAAAAAUCAUUUUAAAAAUCAAGCUAUCGCACUGCCAUAUAGUGCAUUUCUUUGGUUUGGAUUCAAUCUUUCACUCAUGAUAUUGAAGGAGCCGUUCUUUUCCUCUGAUCACUUUCUUUUGAAUGAACCUUGAAGCGAAAUGCUUAGAUGUAUUAAUCUAUGAAGAGGUCCUCCAAAACCCUUAAAUGCUAAACUUCACAACUAGCAACGUAAAUAUCAUCUUAUAUGUUACAAAUAAUUUCAUGAAAAAAAUCUAAAAAGGAGUAAUUAAUAUGUUUCUGCAAGUAAAAACAACAGGACAAGUUGAGGUGUAUUUUUUAAUAUAUAUAUAUAUAUAUAUAUAUAUAUAUAUAUAUAUAUAUAUUCAACAAACAUAAUUCAAAUUCAAGGUAAAUUAAUUAUAAAUUAUACAAUACAAACACAAUGUCAAACAAAUAUAAUUUUAAAAUUUAAAAUAUUUUUAAAUAGUCAAGAUUUAAUAAAUCUUUAACUUAAAGUAAUUCAACUUAAACAAAAUAUCAAAAUAUUUUAACACAAAUAUUUUAAAUAUAAAGUUAGUUUACUGUAAUCAAGGCUAAUGAGAUCUAAAGCAUCAUUUGUUUUGCUCAAAUUUCUACAAAGUAUAUAUAAAUUUUUUUUUAAAAAAACAACAUGAAUAUAAACCAUAUAUAUUAGUGAUAAAUCUAAUUUUAAAAAAUUAAUAUCAUUGUUAAUGAAAAUAGUAAUAACAAUUUUCAAUAUUAUUAUUAAUAUCAUUGUUAUUGAAAAUAAUAAUGAAAAAGAACUUUUUAUACUUGGAUGGUUUAAUUAAUUAAAUUGAACUACGUUCAAUUUGAUUCAAUGACUUUUUAAGACUGAAACAGAACAUGUGGAAUGAAACCGGAACAUUCCUGCUGGAAUUUAACCGAAAAAUCCAGAACGCACCGAGAUUUAAAAUAAAAUGAAAAUUGUUUUGUAUUUUGAAUUGGUAUGAAAUAUUUCGACCAUUCCGGAUGAAACAAAACGAAAUUGACAACCUGAAUUUUGUAUCUUGUAUUCUUUUAUGAUCUGCUUUUAGGAAAAUCAAAGCCGGAAAAAACUAGGCAUUAGUCUCUUUGAGAAAUGCUAUAGCUUAAUUAAUGCGAUUAUAGUUGUUUGCCUGGUGAAAUUAAUUCAUGGGAUAUUCUUUCAUAAAUUAAGGUGCUUCUGUAAUGAAACUUAUUCAAGUUAUCAACUCUAUUGUCAUGCUAAUUUCUCAUGUUCAUAAUGAUGAUAAUGAAAGAGGAAAAACUGUAUCAGGAAGACCAUAAUGAUGAAGGAGCUAUCUAGCAACAUCAUUUUCACAAAGUCCUCUGUAACAGUUGCGCCAUUUCUCCAUCAGUUCUUAUUCUACACCAAGUCUUCGUCAAUGUAGACUUUUGCAGCUAAACAACAAAUCAACAUUAUCAGGUGGGGUUCAUUACGGCUGUUCAUUUUUAAAGUAAUUUUUAUUUAAAAAAUAUAUUAAAAAAAAAAUAAUUUCUUACUUCAACCCAUUAACGAUUGACCAUUUGCAUUAUCCUUUUGUCUUGAGGGUAUGCUUUUGGUUAGCUCUAUCUGUGAAAAUUAACGAGCUGGAGAACAUGGCAAGGUUUAUGCAGUGGGAGGUUCGUAUGAUUACCUGCUCUAAGGUAAUUAAUCCAACCCUAUUUAUCUUUUUUUAUUGAUGUUUUGCAUCUGGAUUAAUGAAUUAGAAUGUUACCUUUAUUUUAAUCACGUAAAAAGGAAAUCUUAAAAAUAAUUUUUAAUAAAAUCCUAACUAUAAAAGUGAAUGAAUUAAUUUCUAAAAGUCUUCGUCAACUUUUAGAGUCUUCCAGCUGGACCACAAACAAUAAGUGGGGUCUUUUCCAGCUGGUGUCCCGUGACUCGUUGAAUGAUCUCUCAUCUCUCCUGUCAAAAUUACCAAAUCACUUAAUUAAUACGGAUGCGUAAACAAAUUCCAACACAAAUAUUGAAAAAGGAAAUGAAAAUAUCACACAAAUUAUUGUCAAACAAUCACAAAAAUAUUUGGAAGGAACCGAAUCUGAAUCAUUACAACAUACAUAGUCUAAAUUACAAUUCACCAUCACUUUUUGUCUAGGCUUAUUUGAUAAUAAUAAUUAAUUAUGGUUGUUUAUUAAAUAACUUUCAUAUUAAAUAUAUAUUAAUGAUAUUUUUUGAUUUUAAAAAAUUAUUUUUAAAUAUCAAUAUAUCAAAAUAUUUAAAAAUAUUAAAAAAUAUAUAAUUUAAAAAUAAAAAAUAAAAAAAAAUAUUUUUUUAAAAAUAUUUUUAAAACAUGAAAAUAAAUAAAAACUAAAUCUUCGUCAAUUUAGACUCUCCCGGCUGGACCCCAAAUCAACAUUAAUAAGAGGGGUCGGUUCCAGUUGUUGAGUAAAAAUCAGCAGUAAAACUAAGUGGGGUCGGUUCCAGCCAUGAAUAUUUGGUCACAAAAAUUAAAUGCCUUUAUACGAAGAGAACUUAAAACUAGAGUGUAAAUAUUUUUAGACACUGGAACAUGCAGAACACAAGGUAAGAAAAGUUUCAGAAUUAUAGAAGCAAAAGAAAGUUUUUCUGGUUAGUAAGAAAGAGUGCAUAUGAAAACUACGCAAGUUUGCUUGCAGAUAAGACAGCGUACUGUAUUUUGCAGCAGAGGUUCUUUGAGAUAGGUAAGCGAGUAAAAUACGGCUGUUUCAGGUUUUUAUAAGAGAUACACAUCCUGAUUCGAACUCGAAACCUGCUGUGCAUAUCUCAAAUCUUUUACCAUCACGCUACACUCCUUGCAGACAAAUAUUUUUUUUUUUCAAGUCAUUCCUGGAUUUUAAAAUAUAAUUUAUAUUAUUUUUUAAUAAAUAUGAUUUAAGGUAUAAUUAUCAAACCUAUUCUAGCCGGUAAGUCGACUUGAAGUAGUCUAGCCACCCAGGCUUGAUUUCUUUUUUGAACCAAUAAAUCAACCUUUAACCUGUUUACUAUAUCAAACUUGAAUGAGAUUAAAUCAGGUUAUUUCCAAGGAAUUUUACAAAAAAUUAUCUCAAUGUUUUGUUUUUUAAAAACCACUAAAACGAUAUCGUUUUAAAACUAACCACUCUGUUACUGGGGACUUUAUUCGGGUAUGAUAAAGUUCAACAAGAUUUCCUGCUUUAUAUAGUUAUUCGAGACUCUUUUGUGUGAGAAUCCAAGGAGUUUUUCAUCUGUUCUUUACAUUUGUUUUGUAUUUGUUUCAUUAUCAGUAUCAUCAAAUAAUUUGUCGAGUCUGACAGACAGAAAUUAUCCCAGUUCAUUCACAGGAUGAAGACUGGCGAAGAAUCAAGCGAGAAAAAUGAUAAGGGAGAUCAUGUUUACAGAUUAGCAGCAAAUGUGAAAAAGAAUUUGGAAACCUUAGGAUGUCGAAAUUCUUGUUCGAAAUGGAAUUAUAAGAAACUGGUUGUCUAUAUUCGACUCGGAGCUAACCUGAAAAAAGAAAUCUGAGUUUUAUUAGAUCAUUAAAAAAAUUAUUUUUAUUAAAAAAUAUUUUUGGUGUUAACUCUACUGAGUUUGAAUCGAUUUAUUUUAAUUUAGUUUAGCUACAUACAAAUUAAAAAAAAUGUGUAUGGAUAAAAAUAAAUUUUGUUUUUGUUUUUAUUCACAGACGCUAGAGUCAGGAAUAAAAAUAUGAAUUUAAAUUUAUUUUGUUUUAUAACUACGUAAUAUUUACCAACGUCAAAGUUGGAAGUAUCCGUAGUUGAAUAUUCACUGGCGUCAGAGUCAGAAAUAUCACAUGCAAACCAGCAUAACAUAAACCAACAAAACAUUAGUAAUUUAUGACAAAAUUAGCAAUGCAGCCUGCUUCAGACAUGAUGUUUAAAGGGUGAUAAUAUCUUCCUUUUUGCGUAACCAGUCCCGUACUAUAGAAUCUUUGUUGACCAGUCAGGGUUCCUAGUGACCAUAAUACUAGGUGGCGACUCCUUAAACAAGAAUAUUCUCCAUCAAAGAAUAGGAUGCCAUAAUCCAUUCUUUUUGAUAUACUAAUUUUUAAGGCCGCCACGAUGUCGGGUUUGACACCAUUUAUUUUAAUUGUUAGUCUAGAUUGUUUUUUAAUUUAUUGAAUAUAGUUUAUUGUUGAAUUGACAUAAUUAUUGAAUAAUUUGUUGAAUUGUAAUUUUUAAUGUUGAAUUUACCUUAGGAUUAGUAAUUGAAUAUGUUGGAAUAAUUAGUAUAGAUUAGGUCAAUUGGUUGUGACUAUUGUUAAUAUUUGCAAGUUUGUGGAUUUGGGUAGUAUCCAGUAUAAGGGAAGUUGACACGGCCAAAAGAUUGAUGUCUUCUCCCAAGUGCAGGAGUGUCGAAGUAAUAAAUAACCCAGCAAGACCGAGGUCGAACCACAGAGAUGUUAAUUGUAUAAAUUAUAAAUAACAAGACAACAACAAUAAUAGUAAUAGUAUUAAUAGUAUUAAUAGUAGUAGUAGUAGUAUAAUAAUAAUAAUAAUAAUAAUAAUAAUAAUACUCAGUACGUGGCGUUGUUAUACCUGAGAAUGAUCUAAAAGAUCGGGUCACAGGUUUCCAGCCUAUAUACUGAUUUUAUGAUAAUAAUAGUAAUAGUAAUAAUAAUAAUAAUAAUAGUAGUAGUAGUAGUAGUAGUAGUAAAUAAAAAAAAAAGAGGAGGAAGAAAUUAAUGAGAACUUUGAGAUGGAAGAUUAAUGUAAGGAUUAAACAAUGAUAAAAACAAAUGUCAAGGUUAGAGGAUCCACUAAUGGUAUUUCAAACAAGUAUAAUAUAAACUCUUAUUAUUCAAUUGGAAACCACACACAAAGGAGGUUCUAAUCGGAUGAUUUCUCAUUAAUAGCUCAUUAUAAAUUAUUAACAUGAUCAUAUUAAUUAUCUUAUUUACAUAACACCAAACUUUUAAAUAUUGUCAGGAAUUCAUGAUUAACUGAUGUUAACAACAAAUCAAGUAUUUUCAUAGCCAGGUGUAGGUAAUACCAUACGGUUGGGCUAUGAGAGUGCCAAGCAUUUGUUGUACCAAGUGUUAUACAACACAAAUCUAGAUUAACCAUUUAACAAGCAAGGUAUUAAGAAUUAGUAAGAUAAAAAGAUAAGACAUGUUAAUAUUAAACAUUAAGUCCAUGUUGAGUUUACAUAUACUUAUUCUUACACCAUUAGUGUAACCUUUUCACCUUGACAUAAUAAACUUAGCUAAACAUAAUGAAGAAGAGAAACAUAAAUAAACAAAACAAGAACAUAAAAAAAUACAAGUUAACUAAGUAAAGGAAAGGAAAUGAAAAGCAUAAACAAGAUAUUAAUGAAAGCAAAACUUAAAAAUUACAAAAAAUAUAAAGAGAGAAAUAAAGAGCAUGACUUGAUCUGAACAACCAAGCCCCAAAUACAUGGCAAAUGCCUCCUUUUAUAGGCCAAAAUUCGGAAUUAUUGAUUUGAUGACUAAUUGUUGAGUGGGUGGCCAACUUUUGACUUGGUGAAAAUCCUUAUCUUCUUGUCUGAAUAAAACAAAAAUGCUACCAUCCGAACUGGGUCCUCUGAAAACAUGAAAGUUGUAGGAAAUUGACUCAGCUUUCCAGGAAAAAAAAAUGGAGGUCAUUUGGACUUCUAGAACUCCAGAUAUGGGCCAAACACUGAACAGUGUUCGGGCUGGACAGAUUCGGACUUCUCCGUUGUUGCUAUUUUGGACUUGAAAACGGCCUUCUUAGAUUUAUGUCACAUGAAAGUUGUAGGCCUAUGUCUUACCAAUUUGUGUAAAAAUUUGAGUCAUUUGGACAUCUAGAACUCGAGAUAUGACCCAAACCGAACAGUGUUCCAGUUUGGACUGCACCAACAUCUCUUUUCUAAGUUUCACCCUCUCUUUAUCUUCACAAAUUUCAGUAGUUGAAUUCAUCAAUCAAUCCUUUGAUUUAUGUGAUAGGCCUGCAUUUAAGAUGAACAUUUACCAUAUAUUAGGGCAUUUUAUAGUAUUAGACUUGUUAUUAUAAAACAUGCUUUAGUUAAGGAGUUAUUGAUACUUUAAGUGCAAAAUGAUGAUAUAAAACCUUGAUAAAUAUGCACUUUUAAGUACUAAUCACACCCCCCAACCAGCUUAUUACUAGUCCCUAGUAAUCAAAGCGUUAAAAUAGAAAAACAAUUUGCAAAUUCCAUAAAGCAAGGCAUUCAUCAUUCAACUUCCUUUAAUCUAUCCAGAUAAACAAACUCUCAUUAAAUUCAUAUAUCUGCUCAAUACCUCUUAAACAAGAUAUUACUAAACCUUUCUUUUGUGCUCAAAAUAUCAACAUAUAGUUAUGGGGCUUUACUUGGAAGAAAAACAAAUUUUUGUUCUAAUGUUUAAGGCUAACUUCCUUAGGUUGGGAUUUAUUUUUUUUUUCUUUUUUAUUAUUAUAUACACAUACAACUUGAAACACAAUGCAUCUUUAACCCAUGUAACGAGUUUUAGGCUAAUGACUCCCAGACCAGUUGGUCUUAGGGCAUUAGGUGUUGAGACACCCCUACGAGCUUAGCAACUCGGGUUGCAGAUACUGAUACGUAGAUAGUGCAAUGUUUGAUUCCCUUAAGCUUUUCUCCUCAACCCAUGUAACAAGCGUUGGGCCAAUAGCUCCCAAGUCAGUUGACUUUAGGGUAUUAAGUGUUAAAACACCCCUUCGGGCUUAAUUGCUUAGGUUAGGGAGGCUACGAAACCAAACUUAUCUACCUUUUUUAUCAUUUUUUUUUUUUUUUUUUUUUUUUUUUUUUUGCAAAUUAUAUACUAUCCCUUUCCCUUAGUUGUUACCUUUAACAAAAGAACAUAAAUAAUGUAAUAAUCCAAUGUGCAACCCACAAUCAUAUGUUAAAGUGUGUGUGUGAAAAUGAAGAUUUAAGAAUACUUGUUAAAUGAGCAUAUGAGCAGAAUCAAGUGCUACAAUACGAGAGUUUGUAAACCUGAAUAUUUCAAGAAGUAUUCUGAUAGACCUUGUUAAGAAUGUUUACUAAGAUGCGUCUCAAGAGUCACUUUAACAAAAGAACUCCUUUUACUCUGCCAUCCUAGUAACAACAGUUUUGCAAAUAGUUUAUGAAAUAGAAAACACAGUUUUUUUUUUUUUUUUAAUAUCAACUACUACCCUUUCCCCCCAACCAAAAUGAGACAUUGUCCUCAAUGUCCUAAGGUAGAAAGAUAGAGUAUAGAAGACAUCACCUGAAACAACGAACACUGACAAACCUGAAACACACUUAAACAAAUAUAAGAAAACAAAAAAAAAUAAUAUAAAAACCAAAAGACACAAAGUUUACAAACGAAGGCUCAAAUCCAAUCUAAGCUUUUUACGGCUUUCCUUAGUUGACCAAUUUAUGCGACUCAUGGAGGGAUCAAUUACAGGGAUGAAAGAUUGUAGUUGGUCAAUCAAUUGUUCAGCAGUAGCAGCAGAGAUUAUGAUUUGUCGUGCCGAAGAUGUUAGAAAUUGUUGUUCCACAGCUUGAUCAAGAAAAGAUAACAAAUUAUCAUAAAAACCAUUAACAUUUAACAGACCUAUGGGUUUAUGGUGAAUGUGCAGUUGGGCCCAAGAGGAAAUAUGAAAGAUCUCUUCCAAUGUGCCCAGACCACCUGGUAAGGCAAUGAAGGCAUCAACAUGGUUAAACAUUGUAUUCAUUCGAUCAGACAUUGUGGAGACCUGUAAUUCCUCUCCAAUUGUUUUUCCAAUGAUGUCCCCUUGUGCUAAAGCUUUGGGGACAACCCCCAAAACUUGACUACCUCCUAAAAAUACAGCUAUUGACACUCCCCCCAUUAACCCAAGGCUGCCUCCUCCAUACACUAAAUGAAUCUUUCCCUCAGCUAGUACCUGACCAAGAUGAUUUGCGGAUUCUAUAAACUCUUUUUCUUUCCCAGGACUAGAUCCACAAAAAACACAAAUAUUUUUUAUUUUAAGAGCUGAGGAUCCUGCCAUUUCAAGAACUGUCUAUACUUGUAAAAUGUAUGGGUUAAGUAGAAAUGAAGGGAAGAAGAAGAAGCUUUUAUAGAUGAGAAAAGGAAAUGCAAUCAUAUCACCUAUAUGGAAGCUAGCUGGAGUCUCUCUCUCUUUCUUCUUUUUUUUUAAAAAAAUGUGUAUGUACAGGUAGUUGUGAUUGUGGCUCACAUAUUCCCUUAGUUUUACGUCUAAGAACGGCUUAAACGCCCUCUAUGGGUCGAAGGAUUGGCUUCCCAUCCAGUUUUCUUAAAAACUAGCAAAAAUGGUCUUUUUUUUAGUCAGAUUCCCAAGACUAUGAUGAGCAUGUUCUUUAUGAAAAUAGGGUCAUAAAUCAUGAAUUGCACUAUGCACAUCUCCAUUGUGAUGAGACUUAAGAGUCAAUAGAAGAUUAUCUAAAGACUCUCUAUGUUUUGAAAUAAAUCCUACCUUUUGACAAUUUUCACAGGUUUUGCAGAAUGCAUAUGAGUCCUUGAACAUGGUGGGCCAGUAAAAUCCACUUUGUAAGAUUUUUACAGUUAUCUUUUUUGACGAGAAAUGAUCCCCACAUGCUUCAGAGUGAUAAAAUUUAAUGACACUACUUACCUCAUUGUCGGGAAUGCAUCUUUGAAAUAUUUGAUCAGGACAAUAUUUGAAUAAGUAAUGGUCAUCCCAAUAAAGGUUUUGCACGUCACCCAAAAACUUUCUUUUAACUUGGUUAUCCAAAUUAGCUGGCAAAAAUCCUGAAGCAAGAAAAUUGUUAUUUUUAGCAAACCAAGGCAUUGAACAAAGAGAAAGUAAAGAUUCAUCAGGAAAGUAAUCAUUGAUUGGUGUGAUGUCGGAUGUCGAAUCUAUUGUCAACUUUGAUAAAUGAUCCGCGACAACAUUUUCGGAGCCUUUUUCAUCAUCGAUUGCUUCCUGUUUGGUCAUGGCAUGAGGAAAUGGAAGUGCUGGUAGGGAAUCAGUCUUUUCUUUGCAAUGUUCAGAUUCAACCCCUUCCUUACCCUCAGAGAUUGACUCAUCAUCUUUCUCACAAGGUUCAAGAAUGGGUUUUUCAAUAACCUUACCACUGCGAAGAGUGAUGUCUGAUUUAACUUGAUCCAUGUGUUGACUUCUAGAACUACUUGCAUUUACAUUGUAUUUCUCCUUUGGAUUUUGUUGUGGUUGAGAUGGAAACUUACCGUUCUCUUGAAAACUGAGAGCAGAUGUUAACUUUGCAAGAGUAUCUUUAAAACCUGUCAUGCUUUGAGCAAGUUGAGUGUUGAUUAUCUCUUGCUUUUCAAUGAAUGAAUGCAAUGGUUCCUCAAGAUUUCUUCUAGAAGGUGGAGCAAAAGGAGGUGCAUAUCCAUGAAAAUUUUGGAAAAUAUAGUGUGCUUGAAACGAUGGCUGUGAAGUUUGUGCAUUAUUGUUAUCACUCUUCCAACUAAAAUUUGGGUGAUUUCUCCAACCAGGAUUGUAUGUUUGCGAGUAUGGGUUAUGAUUACGCCUUUGGAAACUGUUUAAAGCAUGGGCUUAUUCAUGGAGGCAUUCCUUGAAAGAAGGCAAAGUUGGACAAUCAUUGGUUGCAUGUUCAUUUGUUUCACAGAUUUGACACACAAUGUCUUAAACAGAUUUUAAUUGACCACUCCUUUUCAAUUCUAGUGCCUCGACUUUUCUAGCUAAAGAUGCAGUGGAUUGGAGGUCAUGAUCUUCCCUAAGGUUAUACAUACCUCCAUUAGAUGUAUGAGGUUGAGUUUUACCCGGUGCCUCAUAAGUGCCCGUAGUGUCCCAAUUUUAUGCAUUUUCAGCUAGCAAGUCUAGGUACUCCAUUGCUUCAUCAGGGUCUUUAUCUUUAAAAGUUCCAUUGCAUAUCAAUUUCACCAUUUGCCUAUCUUUAGGUGUUAAUCCUUUAUAAAAAUAUGAAACCAAUCUCCAUGUUUCAAAACCAUGAUGAGGGCAAGUAUUAAUCAAGUCUCGAUACCUAACCCAACAUUGGUAAAAUGUUUCUCCUGGUUUUUGAGUGAAACUGGUGAUUUGUCUUUUGAAAGAGUUUGUUCUAUAAGAUGAAAAAAACUUCUUUAAAAAUUGUUGUUGCAUUUCAUCCCAAGCACGAAUGGAUCCUGACCUAAGAUUUUGUAGCCAUGUUUUAGCUUUAUCUUUUAAAGAAAAAGGAAAAAGCUUUAAUCUAAUGGUAUUCAUGCUACAAUUUGAGUCAUUAUAAGUGUUACAAACUUCCUCAAAUUCUCUCAAAUGCAAGUAUGGAUUUUCUAGAUCUAAGCCGUGAAAAGAAGGUAAAAGUUGAAUAAUGUCUGGCUUAAAAUUAAAAUGAGAUGCAUCAGGAGGAAAAAAUAUACAUGAUCGCGCAAUUAUUCUUGUUGGAUUCAUAUAGUCUCUAAGUGUUCUAACCCGAUUAUUCUCAUUAUUCUCAUUAUAAAGCGAUUGAUUAUCCUCUUCGGCCAUGUUUUCUAAAAAAGAUGAGUAUACUUUACAAAGUUUAUCAUUUAAUGUACGUGACCAAACUCUCAUGCACGUGUAGAAAGAGAAGAAAAGGAAGAAGAAAAGAAAAAAAAAAAAAAACAAAAGAAACAAAGUUAGAAAAAUUAAAAUAAAUACUAUAAUUUAUACAAGAAUUUACCUCCCCGGCAACGGCGCCAAAAACUUGACACGACCAAAAGAUUGAUGUCUUCUCCCAAGUGCAGGAGUGUCGAAGUAAUAAAUAACCCGGCAAUGGCGCCAAAAACUUGACACGGCCAAAAGAUUGAUGUCUUCUCCCAAGUGCAGGAGUGUCGAAGUAAUAAAUAACCCGGCAUGACCGGGGUCGAACCAUAGAGAGGUUAAUUGUAUAAAUUAUAAAUAACAAGACAACAACAACAACAACAAUAAUAGUAAUAGUAAUAAUAGUAUUAAUAGUAGUAGUAGUAGUAGUAUAAUAAUAAUAAUAAUAAUAAUAAUACUCAGUACGUGGCGUUGUUAUACCUGAGAAUGAUCUAAAAGAUCGGGUCACAGGUUUCCAGCCUAUAUACUGAUUUUAUGAUAAUAAUAGUAAUAAUAAUAAUAAUAGUAGUAGUAGUAGUAGUAGUAAUAAUAAUAAAAAAAAAAAGAGGAGGAGGAAGAAAUUAAUGAGAACUUUGAGAUGAAAGAUUAAUGUAAGGAUUAAACAAUGAUAAAAACAAAUGUCAAGGUUAGAGGAUCCACUAAUGGUAUUUCAAACAAGUAUAGUAUAAACUCUUAUUAUUCAAUUGGAAACCACACACAAAGGAGGUUCCAAUCGGAUGAUUUCUCAUUAAUAGCUCAUUAUAAAUUAUUAACAUGAUCAUAUUAAUUAUCUUAAUUACAUAACACCAAACUUUUAAAUAUUGUCAGGAAUUCAUGAUAUUAACUGAUGUUAACAACAAAUCAAGUUAUUUUCAUAGCCCAGGUGUAGGUAAUACCAUACUGUUGGGCUAUGAGAGUGCCAAGCAUUUGUUGUACCAAGUGUUAUACAACACAAAUCUAGAUUAACCAUUUAACAAGCAAGGUAUUAAGAAUUAGUAAGAUAAAAAGAUAAGACAUGUUAAUAUUAAACAUUAAGAUCCAUGUUGAGUUUACACUAUAUUUAUUCUUACACCAUUAGUGUAACCUUUUCACCUUGACAUAAUAAACUUAGCUAAACAUAAUGAAGAAGAGAAACAUAAAUAAACAAAACAAGAACAUAAAGAAAAUACAAGUUAACUAAGUAAAGGAAAGGAAAUGAAAAGCAUAAACAAGAUAUUAAUGAAAGCAAAACUUAAAAAUUACAAAAAAAUAUAAAGAGAGAAAUAAAGAGCAUGAGCUUGAUCUGAACAACCAAGCCCCAAAUACAUGGCAAAUGCCUCCUUUUAUAGGCCAAAAUUCGGAAUUAUUGAUUUGAUGACUAAUUGUUGAGUGGGUGGCCAACUUUUGACUUGGUGAAAAUCCUUAUCUUCUUGUCUGAAUAAAAAAAAAAAUGCUACCAUCUGAAAUGGGUCCUCUAGAAAACAUGAAAGUUGUAGGAAAUUGACUCAGCUUUUCAGGAAAAAAAAUGGAGAUGAUUUGGACCUCUAGAACUCCAGAUAUGGGCCAAACACUGAACAGUGUUCGGGCUGCAGGACAGAUUCGAACUUCUCCGUUGUUGCUAUGAUUUGGACUUGAAAACGACCUUGUUAGAUUUUUAUGUUCACAUGAAAGUUGUAGGCCUAUGUCUCACCAAGUUUGUGUAAACAUUUGAGGUCAUUUGGACAUCUAGAACUUGAGAUAUGAGCCAAACACAAAACAGUGUUCCAGUUUGGACUGCACCAACAUCUCUUUUCUAAGUUUCACCCUCUCUUUAUCUUCAUAAAUUUCAGUAGUUGAAUUCAUCAAUCAAUCCUUUGAUUUAUGUGAUAGGCCUACAUUUAAGAUGAAAAUUUACCAUAUAUUAGGGCAUUUUAUAGUAUUAGACUUUUUAUUAUAAAACAUGUUUUAGUUAAAGAGUUAUUGAUACUUUAAGUGCAAAAUGAUGAUAUAAAACCUUGAUAAAUAUGCACUUUUAAGUUCUAAUCAGAGGUGCUGUCGAAUUUAUUUUAACAUUUGAAUUUAAUUAUAUAAUUAUUUGUAUAAAAUUGGGUAGAUGCGUAGAAUGAAAACCAGAGCUAGUCGUUCACGUACAGUCGCAGUUAGUUCGUCUAGCAGCGAUGAUGAUAUUUCCUUAGGUGCCUCUCAAGAAGAGGUACCUACACCACCUGUGCCGUCAACCGAUGCUGCCUCUUCCAAUGCUAGUUCACAGCGCAGAAGUGGCACAGUGGAAGGACGACCUUUCAAUAUAAGUUUGUUAAGGUUUUAGUUUUUUUUUUUUAAAAAAAAUUAUAACAUAAUUUAUGAAGUAAUCACUAUUUCAUUUAUUUCAACAUUGAGGCCGCCCCAGUAAUAUCAUCGGCGUUUAAAUCGUCGAUGGAGAUUCCAUUGUUUCAAUGGAGUCAGAUAUUCAGGCAUCCUAAAUGGAUGCCUCAAAUCAAUGCAUGGUUUGACAGAUUUGAUAUUGGUGUUAAUUUAUAAUUUUCAGCUUAUUUCUAAUAAAUUAUUAAUAUAAUUGUAAAUAAAUUAUUAUUUUUAUUUAAAAUUAAUUAUUUAUACACAGGAUAAAUUGCUGGGACAAUGACCAUAACACUGUUGUGAGGAGGGUGUAGGAAAAUCACGCGGCAACUAGGUAACAUCGAAAACAAUACAAGAUUUUUUUAGACAAAAAUUAAUGUUUCGAAAUGUAAUUUUUGGUUGCGUGAAGUAGAGUGAUUUUUGGUACGAAGCACAAAAAAGAGAAAAAAAAACAGCGAGGGAUAUGGGGUUUCAAGGCUGGAACGAUGUUAAGGUUAGGAGGGAUUUCAAACCGAUAUACAUCUUGGAAGAUAUAUGGCCACACUAUCUUGAGCACGUGAUGUCUGAACGAUUCACACGACACUCACAGUCCGGUGUUGGCAACCGGAAUCGGCUAAUUCAUGGCUUGGUGACAACGCACAUCCACGGCUCCGUUCUGUUUGUUGCACAUACAAAACGGAUGGUAAGAUUAAUUUAAAUAAAAUUUAUCGUUCAAUUAAUUUGUUGUUAAUAAAUUUUUUUCAUUAUAGGCUACGUCUCUUGGAUGCAAGCCGAGCCCGAUGGAGCUGUUUGUGGAGACGCAUGUGCGGAGUCAAGACCGUCAAAAGGGGGUGCAACAGUUCAUUGACAACCGUGCUCAACAUUUCGUGGUAUGUUUGUUCAACCAUUUUAUUUUGUAAGUUAUUAUGUUUAUUGAAUUGAAUAUGAUGAUUACUUUUUUUUAUUAUUUUUAGGAGACCUAUAAUAAUCGGUUGAGGGAGAGAUACGGGGACGAUCCUUUAACCCAUCCGGAAUUCGAUCCCAAUUUAUGGAUAGAGGUUGGAUCGUCAGGUGGACCCGAUAAUAAUCGGGUUUACGGGCUCUCCAACACUACGGCCGACAACUUGUGGUCGGCCUGUAGUGCUUCAACUGUUGGGAGCUCCCAAUCAAUAUCGAGCUCCCAAUCUAAGGAGUUCGUGACCUUGCAUCAACACACGGCUCCGCAUUAAAAAAUACGACCACCUAUCAGAGGCGUACGCACAACUCCAAGCGUCUCAAGCACAACAAAGAGCAGAGUCUGAACAACAAAAAGCGGCUUAUAAACAGCUUCGUGAAAUGGUCAUGAACAUGGCAUCACAGAGUGGAACAUGUGCGCCCAAGGUUGUCAAAAAUGUUUUUUUGACACGACACGGAACAUACAAUAGAAACUCGACUCGUAAACUCGAAUCGUAAAAUCGGAAGUAAAAUUUUUUAACUAAAAAUCGUAAAAUCGCAAGUAAAAUAUUUUAACUAAAAUCAUAAAAUCGUAAAAUAAACAUCCAAACAUUUUAAAUAACUUUAAAAUAUAAUACAAUAUAAUUAUGUCCAUAGAAUUUUAUUAACUAAACAUUAACAAACUUAAAACAAAUAAUAUAUUAGUGUGUCAUAUAAACUAAACAUGACCUCAUUGCCUUGAUCUUCAUUGUCACGUAUCCUCCAGUUCAAGAAUCAAUAUAUAUACCAAUAAGGAUGUCUAGUGCUGAGAAUUGAAUAAAAUACAACAAAAAAACCAACAUAUAAAUACAAAGAAAACACAACCAUCCCUUGCAGCAGCAACUAAUGCAGGGUUAUCUUCAAUUCGAAAGUCCCUCCUAAACCAAACAAUGGUCUUACUGCUACCCAUUAGGAUCAUAACCCCUUUUGCACCAGAAGAUAUGCAAAUAUAAACAAGCUCUUGGUUAUUAUCCAGCAUAUAUAAGACAAAUCAUUGCAAGCACCUCUCUUUGUUUAACCAAAUAUUCUUCAACUAAUUCUUUUAACUCUAUGUGCAACAAGAAGAUGAGAUAUCAUGUGACUGAAGAAUCAAUAUAUAUACCAAAAUUCAGGACAGUAUUAAGCAUUCAUUUCAUGCUCUGCCCUUCUAGUGGGAAUUGCAAUAAAAAGGAAGAUGGGUUUUGGAGCUAUAUAUGAUGUAGCACAGUAGCAGCAUUGUAGCAACCAGAAACUGAAAGCAACCAUUUGAAAGCAACAUAUUUGGUAUCGUCUAUCAGAUUAGGACACAAACAUGCAAAGAUUGCAAAAACCCAAUAUGGCAAUAUAUAUUUACACACAUACAAGACUUGUCAGCACAGUUAAUAAGGCAUGCGAAAUUACAAAAGAGAAAAGAUCUUAUGAUUCAGCAAAUGAGCAAAUGUUAAUAUGACAGGCACUCAACUCUUAUUCUAUAUCAGACACUUCGUCGCCAUGGAUGAGGGGAAAAAGAAAAGAUUAACAGAAAAUAAUAUGUUUACCUGGAAGAUUUUCAGCACCAGGAAGAUUUUCAGCACCAAUUGCAAGAUUAACAGUAAGUACAAGAUUAUUUAACUGCCAAAUCACCCAAAAAUGAUAUAAGAUUGAUAACCCAAAAAUGAUAUAAAACAUGAUAGAGAAAAGAGAGAAUCAAGCAAACCUGGCCACUAAUGAAAGAAUCCAGCAAGCAAAGCUGAGAGAGUGGAGACUGGAAACUGGAGACCGGAGAGGCGAAGACAAUUAGAUCAAAGGCAAACGAAAUAAAGAAAAAAAUGGGGGUUUUGAGAGAAAGAAAGAGAGUGGAAGGCGUUGGCUUCUGCUGGGUUUAAGAUUUGAGAAUCAGAGAAUGUGAGAUCUGCUUCUGCUAGGGUUGAAUUUGAGAAUCAGAGAAUAUGAGAUUUGGGGGAAGCGGAAAGGAAAAAGGAGAAUUUUAUGAGACUAACGGGAUGGAAAGGAGAGGAUUGAGAACAAUAAGAAGAUUCAAUAGUUUUUUUAAUUCUGUCGAACUCUGUAAACUCGGUCCGAGUUUACCGAGUUCACCGAGUUUGACCGAUUUUAACCGAGUUUGACCGAGUUUACUAAUUUUCGAGUUUUCUACCCGAUUUCACACGGUAUAUCUGAGUUGACUCGUAAAAUCGUACGAUUUUACGAGUCAACUCGCGAGUUUAACAACCAUGUGUGCGCUUAACCCUUUUUGGCCGUAUUACCACCAGCCUCCUCCUCCUCCUCCUCCUCCUCCACCUUUAUAUUAAUUUGUAAUAAACAUUAUUUACCUUUAAAAUUUCAUUUAAUAUUUUUUUGAAACACAUUUAUUUUGUAAUGAAUAUUAUUUAACUUUGAUUUUUUGUUUUUGAUGUUUAAUAUAAAUUUUAUUUGCAUAAUUGGUUUUUAUUACCAAUAAUUUAUAUAAUUUUAUAUUAUGUAUUUUAAAUAAUUUUUGAAAUUUUUUUUAUAAAAAACUAUUAUAAAGGGUUUUACCGACGAAAUGAAUCCAUCAACAUUUGACAGUAACAAUCACCGAUGAAUUUACAGACGAAAUAAAAUCCGUUGGUAUAUUUCAAGCGGGAAAUUUUUUUUUGGCUCGCAAAUUCCGUUUGUAAAACCAUCGGUAAAUGAUUUUUUUGUAUUUCCGACGGAUAUAGCGAUGCAAUGUGGAAUCACCGAUGAAAGGAAAGCCGACGGACGUAUUCCGUCGGUAAAGACGCCGGUAAAUAAUUUACUGACGAACUCCUAAUCACACACCGAUGGAAUUUUUUGUUGAUAAAACUGUAAAAUCUUGUAGUGAAAGAACGCAAUUUAUUGAACUCCUCUUGCAUGGACGUUGCUAACUUGUUAGUGUCAACCGAACCAUGAUCUCCCUUGUUCAUCAGCAGAUCAGUUGAUGUCCCAACAAUCUCCGUUCUGUGUCUCAUUGAGUGAUCUCUCCUGUCAAAAUUACCAAAUCAUUUAUUAAUACAGAUGCGUAAACAAAUUCCAACACAAAUGUAAAAAGGAAAUGAAAAUAUCACACAAAAUAUUGUCAGACAAUCACAAAAAUAUUUGGAAGGAAACGAAUCUGAAUUAUUACAAUAUACGUACGUAGCUUCUCUAAAUUACAGCUUACAUACUUAGAUUUGCUACAAAACCUAUGUAGAAAAAACUCUAAGUGGACUUAAGUGUUUCUGAUCAGAAUUUUCUUGACUGUUUUGUUCCUGCAAUUCACCAUCUCUUCUUAUUCUACACAAAGUCUUCGUCAAUUUGGACUCUUACGGCUGGAUUCCAAAUCAACAUCAAUAAGAGGGGUCGGUUCCAGCUGUUCUCUUGUUUAGUAAAAAUCAACAAUACCAAGUUGGACCGCAUUCUAUAAAAUUUUAAAAUUAUUUGUUUUAGGUUUAAUUUUUUUUUGUUUUCAAAUUAUUUUGAUAUAUUUUUUAACAAAAAUAAUUUUAAAAAACAACCUGUUCCAACCAUGGAUAUUUUUUCACAAAAUUAAAUGCCUAUAAACGAAGAGAACUUAAAACUAGAGUGUAAAUAUUUUUAGACACAGAAACAGGCAGAACACAAGGUAAGAAAAGUUUCAGAAUUAUAGAAGCAAAAGAAAGUUGUGUAGAAAAUGAAACUGUAAAAUCUCCGAGUUCGUUUUUCCGUUUAGUAAGAAAGAGUGCAUAUGGAAACCAAGCAAGUUUGCAAGUUUCAGAAUUAUUUUGCUGCAGAGGUUCUUUGAGGAACUUAGAGCGAGGAUUUUGAAGCCAAUCAAAAUAAUAUGUUCUGUUCCUGGAUUUCUCCAUCAGUUCUUCUUCUACAGAAAGUCUUCGUCGAUGUAGACUUUUGCAGCUAAACAACAAAUCAGCAUUAUUAUCAGGUGGGGUUGACUACAGCUUUUUUAAAGUAAUUUUUAUUUAAAAAUAUAUUAAAAUAAUAUUUUUAUCUUUAGAGGGAGGAUUUUGAAGCCAAUCAAAGUAAGUCCUAUUUAGAAAAUCCAUAUGUUUAUCUUGCUUAUCUUCCUGUUCCUUGCAGUCAUAAGAUUGUCGAAAAAAACCAUUUUAAUUUAACAAGUUAAAUUAUUAAGUGAAGGUUAAAGUUAUAAUUUGUAUUGUUUUAUAGUAUAUUUAUUUAAGUGAAAGUUCUUUAAACUUAAAAUUUAUAUAAAUUCAUAUUAUUUUAAGUUUAAUUUUUAUCAAAUAAAAAAAAAUAAGUUUUAAACUUUUAAUUAUUUAAUUAUUAAAAUUAUGAUAUUAUAUAAAACUUAAAUUAUUAAUUAAAGAGGAAAAUGACAACUGAGAAAUUGGUCCGUGCCCACCAUUCCAGAAUACAAUAGACAUCCAGCUCACAUGAUUACUUUUACAUGGAUAAUCAGUCAAGACAUGACCCUGGAGCUCACAUGACUUCACGUGAACAACAUUUUCUCAUUGGCAAAGGUUUUCACAAUGAUGCACAAGUGACUUGAAGACGUGACAAAUGCUUCUUCUUCUUUUUUUCAGGUCAUAUCUAGUAACUAUUCCUAGAAUUUUAAAAUAUAAUUUAUAUUAUUUUUUAAUAAAUAUGAUUUAAGGUAUAAUUAUCAAACCUAUUCUAGCCGGUAAGUCGACUUGAAGUCUAGCCACCCAGGCUUGAUUUCUUUUUGAACCAAUAAAUCAACCUUUAACCUGGUUACUAUAUAAAAAAAACCACUAAAACAAUAUCGUUUUGAAACUAACUACUCUGUUAUUGGGGACUUUAUUCGGGUAUGAUAAAGUUCAACAAGAUUUCCUGCUUUAUAUAGUUAUUCGAGACUCUUUUGUGUGAGAAUCCAUGGAGUUUUCAUCUGUUCUUUACAUUUGUUUUGUAUCUGUUUCAUUAUCAGUAUCAUCAAAUAAUUUGUUGAGUCUGACAGAUAGAAAUUAUCCCAGUUCAUUCACAGGAUGAAGACUGGCGAAGAAUCAAGCGAGAAAAAUGAUAAGGGAGAUCAUGUUUACAGAUUAGCAGCAAAUGUGAAAAAGAAUUUGGAAACCUUAGGAUGUCGAAAUUCUUGUUCGAAAUGGAAUUAUAGGAAACUGGUUGUCUAAUAAUGAAGCAGUGGCUACUCUUUCUUACAAUCUUUCCAGAGAAAAUAUUGUCUCCCGGAAGAACUUCUACUUUUCCGAUGUCCUGGAAGAUUUGAAUAAUUACUGCGGAAGAGAUUGGCCGAGAUGGAAGGCAAACUUGAGACAAAAUUAUUUCCAAAAUCCAUGGUCCAUAAUCUCCGUUAUUGCAGCCGCUUUUCUCCUCCUACUCACCAUCAUCCAAGCGGUGUGUUCUAUUAUUCAAAUCGUUUAGAGUCUACCCUUUCAAUUGUUUCAUUUCCUGUAGAAAGCUAUAAUGUAGAAUAAAGAUGGAAAUUCUGUGUUGUUUUCUCCUGGCUAUCAAGUGUACAUACAGAUAGCUAGGAGAAAACCAUGUCAUUAAUCGAGUUUUACUGGGUUAAUGUAUUUUUUAUUUCAAUUUAAAAUCUCAUUUUGAUAAUAUUUGGGGUUGAGUUUUUCAAAUUAACUCGUUUAAUCAAGACUGAACAUCAUUCAAAGAGUAGAGUAGCUUUUUCCCUAGAAAUUAAAGUAUUCCCUGCCUGAGUCCAAUUAGAAAUGGAAUUCCACGAAUAUAAUACGAUACAUUAUGUUAUCAAUAACUUCAAUGGAGUCAAAUCCAAGAAAACAAUACCAGGCUGCACAAUCCUUUGCCCCAAAAUUAGACCUCAAAGGAUGGCUUGGGCCUCAGAUUAUUUAGCAGUUUGCUUCUUGCCAUAAGGGAAGGCAAAGUUGAAGAAUGUUUAUUUAAAAAAUCCAUGGACUGCCACCUCUAGUAUUAGAAAGCUGGCUGGAGUAGACUAGGCCUUGACCAAAUGAGAAUAUUUGAGCUUAACUUAUGUGCUUGGUGAAGCAGAUGGGCACGAGCUUAAGGCUGAACAAAUCUUUCAGCAGGCUUUGAUGAGGAAACAAAAAAAAACCUGGCCCAAAUUAAUAGUGACAUUUUGUAUUUUGUUUUUAACCUUUUUUUUUUCUAUAUCUUUGAUUCAUCUACUCUUAACUAAUCAUAAAAAGUAAUGCAAUAUUAAUUUUUUUAAUUUUCAAUCCUUGGUUAAUUAGUAUUUAUAUUUUCUUAAUUUUCAAUUCCUUUUCUUGUCAAGAAAAUCCUCAACAAAAAUAUAUAUUUUUUUAAUAUAGUAAUAAACUAGAUCAUUGACCUGUACUAUAUUGCGAAACGUGUUAAAUUUUACUUAGAAUUAAAAAUAAAUUACAUGGUUUACAGAGGAAAUGAAUUCUUCUGAAGUAGAAUAUUUUGUUGACUUCAUAAGAAACUGUCUAGUAAUUGAUAUUUUAAAGUAGUUCAUGUUUUAAUUUAUAAUUAGAUAUUACCAUGAAUGCUGUUAGAGAAUGAUAUAUAAAUUAUAUAGGGAGACAUUAUGGUUUUUUGAUAUAAUUAAUAUUAGAGUUUUAAAAAAUAAGGAUGAGUUUGAAUUUCAUCAUUUUUAUUUUAACUAAUUAAAUUAAUAAAACUAGGUCGAAGUAGUAGUGUAAAAUCUAAAUUUUUGGUCAAAAUUCAAGCUCAAGUCAGUCCAAAUUCAAUUUAAAUUAACCUAGGUAUAUAAAGAAAAGUUGUAAGAGAAUUGUUUUUCUCUCUUCUAAUUAGUAUGGUUGUUGUGACUUUUUCCUCAUCGAUUUAGAUUUUCAAUCUUGAGUUUUUUAGUCAAAGAAAGAUGGAAAUAACGAGAAAGUGGUUUCUUUUUAUGUUAUUUGUAAUUAUGGUUUGUUUAUAAAAUAAUUAAAUAAAAGAUUAAGAUUUAAAAAGAUUUGAAGUUUAUAUUGUUAAAAUUAAUUCAUGAUUAUUAUGAGUUUAAGGUUAAAUAAUUGAUUUUUAAUGUGUCGUUAAAAAUAAAAAUUUAUUAAUUAAUUUGUUAGAAAUAAGUUAUUGCAAUACUGAAAUGCACUUCAAUGCCAUUCAAUACUUGAAGGUAUGCUUUGGUGGCUCUAUCUAUGAAAAUUAACGAGCUGGAGAACAUGGCAAGGUUUAUGCAGUGGGAGGUUCGUAUAAUUACCUGCUCUAAGGUAAUUAAUCCAACCCUAUUUAUCUUUUUUUAUUGAUGUUUUGCAUCUGGAUUAAUGAAUUAGAAUGUUACCUUUAUUUUAAUCACGUUAAAAAGAAAAUCUUGUAAAAGUGAAUGAAUUAAUUUCUAAAAGUCUUCGUCAACUUUUAGAGUCUUCCAGCUGGACCACAAACAAUAAGCGGGGUCUUUUCCAGCUGUUGUCUGUUUGGAUGGAAAUGGCGGCUCAAAUCCCGGGCCACGUGUUGGGUGUGAGGCCUUGGGUUUGGCACAGGGUCUUUUUAUUUGUAAAAACAAUAACAGUAACUAGACAGAUAAACAUUACAAAUAGCUGACAUUACUAUAUAAGUAUCUGACCGAAACAUGACCUCCUUUUUCAUCAGCUCAGUUGCUGUUUCAACAAUCUCCGCGCGUCCUGUGACUCGUUGAAUUGAAUGAUCUCUCCUGUCAAAAUUACCAAAUCACUUAAUUAAUAUGGAUGCUUAAACAAAUUCCAACACAAAUGUAAAAAGGAAAUGAAAAUAUUGUCAAACAAUCACAAAAAUAUUUGGAAGGAACCGAAUCUGAAUUAUUACAACAAACAUAGCUCUAAAUUACAAUUCACCAUCACUUCUUGUUCUACACAAAGUCUUCGUCAAUUUAGACGGCUGGACCCCAAAUCAACAUUAAUAAGAGGGGUCGGUUCCAGCUGUUGUCUUGUUGAGUAAAAAUCAGCAAUAAUUAUUGAGACCGUUUAUUUACGUUCUUGUUUCUGUAUUUGUAGCGACCACAGUAAAAUAAAUAUUUUGUAACGCUCCAAAACACAAUUAAUUUCUGGUGAGGCCCACUUAGUUAAAUUGAAAGCAACUCUCGACUAUUUUUUUUUUAUCUGCACUGUUCAUAAGUAAACAUUCCUUUUUUAAAACCAAAACAGUACAGUGAAUUUAUUAAUUUAGUAGGAUUGGUCAUGUGAAUAAUUUUUUUUUAAAAUUAAUUUAGAAUGAAUUAAAUUUAUUUAUAUUGUAAUCUCAAUUAUAUAUAUAUUUUUUAUAUUUAUGUUAUAAUUUCAAUUUAAAAAAUAUUAUUAACCAAACACAUUAAAUUAUUUUUUAUUUAAUUUUAGUUUUAAUUAAAUAUAUAAAUAUCAAACCAAUUUUAAUUAAAAAUAUUUUUUAUAAAAUAAAGUUUUUUAAAUCACAACUACAAGAGUUACCAUAAAAUAUAUUAGUGAAGGAUAAACAAGAAGUAGAAGAAACCAACAUGGAUUAGUUACUGAAGGAAAUACAUUGCAAUUUCAGAAGAGGAAAUCACAGAGCACACUGUGUAUUUACAGAAAAAAAGAAACAAAAGAACAAUUAAAAUGGCAGAAUCUAAACAACUUGAAUGAUAGAACACACUGCUUGUAUGACAGUAAGUAGGAGGAGCAUUCCAGCUGCAAUAACAGAGAUUAUGGUCCACGGAUUGUCGAAGUACUUCUGUUUCAGGUCUGCCUUCCAUUUGUGCCUACGCCUUUUGUAAUACGUGUUCAGAUGUUCAACGACAUCAGAAAAAUAGAAAUCGCGGUUGACAAGAUUUUCAGUGGCAAGAUUGUGGAGAAGUCUUAAGAGGGCAUCGUUAUCACGUAGCCAAUUCUCUAUAAUUCCUUUUCUUGCGAGUAUUUCUAAGUCCUUGGAAGCAUGAACAACCAAAUUGAUCAUCGUGAUAUAGUUACCUAUAAAACCAGAACCGAAAUGGCAUUGCUCAAAGGCUUGGACAUUCCUGAAUAACGUUUCUGUGGCAUCCUCAAUCUUUAAACAUGGAAUUACCAGUGUCCCUUCAACAGCGUUGAAUUUUAUGUCUAGUAGUUUCUUGCUGGACCCCGACUUAAACCUGACUCCAGCUUGAUGGAGAUCCAUUGCACUGGGUGUGCUUAGAGUAUCGAUUUUCUUUUUUAUUUGCUGUUUUUGCUUUGUUGGCUGCUGACAGGUUCUCAGAAAAGCAACAAAAUGCUCUGCUUCAUAGAAUUUGAUUUCCUCCAAAUCGUCCUGGGGCAUCCAUGAAGACCAUCUACUUUUUAAGAAUGUCAAGGUGAGCUUCUUCAAGGAAAGAGGGCACCAUAUUUUGGAUAGAUUAAUCAAGUCUUCUAGAAUGAAGAAUGGAAGCUGAUUUUCAAGCAAGCACAUGUCCCUGGAUACAUCACUGAUCAUCCGAGGUUUACCGAAUAUACGGUCAUUUCUGAAGACAAUAAAUCGGAAGCAAAUCCUCAGUAAGACCAUAAUGACGAAGGAGCAAUCGAGAAGCAUCAUUUUCACAAAUUUUUCACUGCUAAGCUUUUCAAAGGUUGCUGCAUAACAGUUUCGCAAUCUAGUUUCCUUCUCUGCAAUAAAUGCAAUAAAAUCCUCAAGGCUUACCUCGCUGAAUUCAAGAAAAUCUUGAAGGUACAUUUUCUUAUGCUCUUCCAUUUCUUGUAGCUCUUUUUUUCCAUGGUGAAGCGGGCCGAUGGAGACUACUUGAGGUGUAUAAGCUCUUUUAUUUAACUUGAGUAGUCUUUUAGGAACCCUGCAGAUUGAACACUCAUCAGAGAAAGGACGCAAUUUAUUGAACUCCUCUUGCAUGGACGUUGCUAACUUUUUAGUGUCAACCGAACCAUGAUCUCCCUUGUUCAUCAGCAGACCAGUUGAUGUUCCAUCAAUCUCCGUCCUGUGACUCAUUGAGUGAUCUCUCCUGUCAAAAUUACCAAAUCAUUUAUUAAUACGGAUGCGUAAACAAAUUCCAACACAAAUGUAAAAAGGAAAUGAAAAUAUCACACAAAAUAUUGUCAGACAAUCACAAAAAUAUUUGGAAGGAAACCAAUCUGAAUUAUUACAAUAUACGUAGCUUCUCUAAAUUACAGCUUACAUACUUAGAUUUGCUACAAAACCUAAGUAGAAAAAACUCUAAGUGGACUUAAGUGUUUCUGAUCAGAAUUUUCUUGACUGUUUUGUUCCUGCAAUUCACCAUCUCGUCUUAUUCUACACAAAGUCUUCGUCAAUUUGGACUCUUACGGCUGGACUCCAAAUCAACAUCAAUAAGAGGGGUCGGUUCCAGCUGUUCUCUUGUUUAGUAAAAAUCAACAAUCUCUUACGGCUGGACUUCAAAUCAAUCAGCAAGAUUUCCUGCUUUUUAUAGUUAUUUGAGACUCCUUUGUGUGAGAAUCCAUGGAGUUUUCAUCUGUUCUUUACAUUUGUUUUGUAUUUGUUUCAGUAUCAGUAUCAUCAAAUAAUUUGCUGAGUCUGACAGAUAGAAAUUAUCCCAGUUCAUUCACAGGAUAAAGACUGGCGAAGAAUCAAGCGAGAAAAAUGAUAAGGGAGAUCAUGUUUGCAGGUUAUCAGCGAAUGUGAAAAAGAAUUUGGAAACCUUAGGUCCAAAUCCUUUAUCGGAAGAGUGUUGUAUCUAUAAAGUUCCAAAGCGACUGCGAGUGUUAAACGACAAGGCCUACACACCUCAAGUAGUCUCCACUGGUCCAUUUCAUCGUGACAAAAAGCAGCUGCAAGAAAUGGAAGAACAUAAAAGAAUGUACCUGCAGGAUUUUCUUAAAUGGAGCAAUGCAAGCUUGGAGGACUUUAUUGAACUCACAGGCGACCGUGAAGCAACAUUGCGUAAUUGUUAUGCCGAAACCUCUAAAGAUCUUAGCAGUGAGAAAUUUGUGAGAAUGAUCUUAGUAGAUGCUGCCUUCGUCAUUAUGAUCAUACUGAAACGAUGCAUCAGUGCUUUCCGAGGCAGAAACUGUUGGCGUGAGCUGUAGCACAUGUGUAAUAGCAAAUAUUGUAGGAACAGAGAUGGUAAGACUAGGAGAUAUUAUAGGAACAGAGAUGGAAAGAAUAAUUAUAGGAAUCAAAUAUGUAUAGCCUAAAAUAGAAGAUUUAUUCUGUUAGUAUAAAUAUGUAACCUGUCACUGUGUUAAUAUUUAUUCAGAAAUAAAAAGCAAUUAUUCUGACAUGGUAUCAGAGCAUUCUAUUUUUUUCUGCGUCAAAAACCCCUAAUACUCGCCUUUGUCUUUUUUUUCCUUUCUCUUCUUCCCAUGACUUCAGAAGCUGGUUUAGAGCAUUCUAAUAUACCUCAACCAGAGUCCAUGUUUACAGAAUUCACCACAAAAAUCACUGAGGCUCUUAGCAAAAUCCAAACACCGACCAUGACUACUGAGCCUCCUGCUGCUCCGAUUGGCAUCAAGUUGAAUGGCACCAACUAUGCCCUCUGGUCCCAAGUUGUCGAGAUGUACAUCUCAGGCAAAGAUAAAUUGGGAUAUAUCUGGUGAUCUUCCACAACCAUCAUCAACAGACCCUAUCUUUUGUAAAUAGCAUACAGAUAAUGCCAUUGUCAAAGGAUGGCUAAUUAACUCGAUGGAUCCCUCAUUAAUAGGGAAUUUUAUGCGGUUCCUACUGCAAAGAUGGUGUGGGACUCCAUUGCUACCACUUAUUUUGAUGGAAGUGAUACAUCUCAGGUUUAUGACUUGAGACGUGGUGUGACACAGCUCAAACAAGCUGGAGGGACUCUGGAACAAUACUACAAUGACCUUCAGGGGUUAUGGCGUGAGAAUGGUCUUAGUAGGUGCUGCCUUCGUCAUUAUGGUCACACUGAAACGAUGCUUCAGUGCUUUCCUAGGCAGGGACGACAGUAUCUUCUCUCGUCAUUAUGGUCAUACCAAAAAUUGCUUCACAUAGAAUUUAAUAAAGAGUUUCUGAAAAUCCCACAGUUCAGAAUAUCAGAUGAUACGGAAAUAAUCUUCUAGCCUUUCAGCAAUGCCAUUGCGGCGAAAAUUAUGUAGGUAACUAUAUAUAUUCACAUGAUGGAUUUGCUUGUUGAUUCUCCUGAGGAUUUCGAAAUUCUUGUUCGAAAUGGAAUUAUAAAGCUGGCUGGAGUACACUAGGCCUUGACCAACUGAGAAUAUUUCAAAAAUUAAAUUUUUUAAAAAUAUGAUUUCAAACGCAUUUUUAAAAAAAAAUAUAUAUUUAAUACUAUGAUGUAUAAUAUUUUUAUUAAAAAUAAAUUUUAAAAUUUAUUUUUGUCGAUGUCGAAACAUGAUUAUAUUAUUCCUCUUCAUCUGCUCAGUUGUUGCCUCCCAACAGUCUCCAUCCCGUGAGGCAAAUCUCAAUCGAUCAGAUGUUAGAAAAAAAAAAAAAACAUGGAUAGACUUCUCAAAUUAUAUUAUUUACCACAUGAUUGAGAAUAAGAUUGCGCAUGCUAAAAGAAUUAUGGGCUGGAUCUUUUCAGAUAUGUCCAUGCUCUAUCGUAAGCUUCAGACUUUUAUUUGCUCAGCUACUGGAUUUCAAAACUUUGCCUGCCGAGCCAAAGGAACUCUCUGCCCAUUCAUGAACCAGCUGGAGAACAUGGCAAGGUUUAUGCAGUGGGUGUUAAAAAAAGUUAUAUUGAUUAUGCUUUUGAGUUUGUCUAGAAUAAGUUAUGGAAGACCUAUUCUAUAGGAAAUAUCUAUUUUGUAGGAGUUCCAUCCACGUCUUAGAUAGUGGAGAUUUUAUUGUUAUUCUGUUAAGAUUUCCUUGCUUCUGUUGCUAUUUCCUUGCUACUGUACAACCUAUUUAAAGGCUUGCUAUUGAUUCAUUCAAUACACUGAGUGCAUUAGUCUUAUAUUUGUUCUUAUUUACGUAACAGUGGUAUCAGAGCCACAUAUAGAAGAGAGUGUGAGAGUCUUAAAAACAAAAAACAGUGUCCACGAAAUAGUCAUCAAUAAGCAGCAGCUUUCUUUUAUUAACUGUUUUCUAUUUUGCAGCAAUAGAAAUACGAUGGCAGAGACAAAUUUUGUGCAGGCAGCAAUCCCUCGUUUCGAUGGUCACUAUGAUCAUUGGAGCAUGCUAAUGGAGAAUUUCUUACGAUCAAAGGAGUACUGGCAGGUGGUCGAUUCUGGGAUAGCAGAACCAGAAACUGGAAUCAUUUUAACAGAAGCUCAACUGACUGAGCUGAGCAGCCUGAAAUUAAAAGAUUUGAAGGCAAAGAAUUAUUUAUUUCAGGCCAUUGAUCGUUCAAUCUUGGAAACAAUUCUUAGCAAAGAUACUUCCAAGCAAAUAUGGGAUUCUAUGAAGAAGAAAUAUCAAGGCUCUUCAAGAGUAAAACGUUCACAACUCCAGGCCCUCAGGAGAGAUUUUGAGACUUUACAAAUGAAGGAUGGAGAAUCAGUCACUGAAUAUUGUGCAAAGACCAUGGGAUAUCAAACAAAAUGCGGUUUCAUGGUGAAAAAAUGAAUGAUACGGUAAUUGUUGAAAAGAUUUUACGUUCCUUAUCAUCAAAGUUUGAUUAUGUUGCUUGCUCAAUCGAAGAAUCUAAAGAUAUAGAAGCUCUUUCUCUUGAUGAACUUCAAAGCUCAUUAUUAGUACAUGAGUAGAAGAUGAAACGAAGCACAAUCACAGAGGAGCAUGUUUUGAAAGCUUCUACAUUUACUGAAUCCUCACACAUAAGAGGAAGAGGUAGAGGCAAAAGUCGGGGUAGAGAAUAUCGUGACAACAAAGAUGGAGGCAAAGGAAGAGGACGUGAACAACCAUUUAACAAAACUAAUGUGGAGUGCUACAGGUGUCACAAAAUUGGUCAUUAUCAAUCUGAAUGCUAUACCAAAUUGCCUCAUAACAAAGAAAAGUGGCAAAAAUCAAAUUUUAUAGAGAACAAGGAAGAAGAAACUCUGCUGAUGGCAUUCCAUACGAAGGAUAAUAUCAGUGAACCAAAUGUUUGGUACUUAGACACCGGCUGCAGUAAUCAUAUGUGUGGUAGUAAGUCUUUCUUCUCUAAUCUCAAUGAAGAAUUUCAUACUACUGUGAGCUUUGGUGAUCAUUCUAAAGUUGAUGUUAUGGGCAAGGGUGAUAUUCAAAUCAGAACAAAGAUAAAUACAAUUGAGACUAUCUCAAAUGUUUUUUAUAUUCCUGAUUUGAAAAGCAAUUUACUUAGCUUGGGACAACUGCAAGAGAAGGGCUAUGUGACUACAAUAAAGAAUGGUGUUUGUGAAAUUUAUGAUCCUACAAGGGGUCUGGUUGCUCAUGCUAAAAUGACACCAAACAGAUUGUUUCCGCUGCAAAUUCAGAUCUUUCAGCAUUGUCUUGUGGCUAAGGAAGUUGAUUCAACAUGGUUGUGGCACUAUCGCUAUGGUCAUUUGAAUUUCAAUGGUUUAAAGACACUAUAUCAAAGAACAUGGUGAUUGGUCUUCCAACUAUUACUCAUUUAACAAGGUGUGUGAACAUUGUGUUGUUGGCAAACAACAUCGUAAAGAAUUUCCACAAAGAUCAACAUGGAGAGCAAAGAAAGUCUUGGAGCUGGUACAUUCUGAUCUGUGUGGACCAAUAAAUCCAUCAUCAAAUGGAGGUAAACGAUACUUCAUCACCUUCAUCGAUGACUGCAGCAGGAAAACAUGGGUUUAUUUUUUGCAGGAUAAGUCUGAAGCUUUUUCUGCAUUUAAAAGCUUCAAGACACAUGUUGAGAAUGAAGUAGAGAGAACCAUUAAAACUCUUCGAACAGACCGAGGUGGCGAGUUUUGUUCAAGAGUUUCAAGUUUUUUGUGAUGAACAUGGAAUUCAAAGACAAUUGACUGCAGCAUACACACCACAACAGAAUGGUAUAUCGAAGAGGAAAAAUCGAACCAUUCUGAAUAUGGUGAGAUGCUUGUUGACACAUAUGAGUGUUCCAAAAGAUUUCUGGCCAGAAGCUGUGCAAUGGAGCAUUCAUGUUUUGAAUCGCAGUCCUACAUUUGCUGUUCAAAACAUGACCCCUGAAGAAGUGGAGUGGACGAAAGCCAUCAGUUGAUCAUUUCAAAGUGUUUGGGUGCAUUGCAUAUGUUGUAACCCAUUUUUGGGUUAACUACAUAAAAAAUAAUAAAAUACAAAAAAAUCAAAAAAAUAUAUUAUCAAAAAAUAUAACAGUGAAAAAAAUGCCAGAGCGCCCUAAAAAUGUUCAAAAAUUGAUUGAGGAUGUUCAAAAAUAUAAAAAUUAAUUUUUGACAGUAUAUCAUUGACUGAUGAGAGCCCCGAUGAUAAAGAAAAUUCAAUUUGUGGAAGAAAAAUGCAAAAUUAGAAGUUUAUGGACUCAAUUAAAUUUUAUUGAAGGUUUAAUUGCAUUUAUGAAGAUUUUAAUUGAAAGAAAAAUUGAUUUUGGAGUUAAUUUGGGCUUUAAUUAGGAGAAAUUAAUUUUCUGGGGUCAAAUUAUAAUUUUUGAAGUUAAUUUGGUCAAAUCAGGGGCUUAAUUGCAUAAAUAUUGAAGUUUAAUGGCCAAUUAGGGACUUAAUUGAAGAAAUCCGAGACCAAGGACUAAAUUGUAAAACGCGCGCAAAUGGAGGGCCGAAAUUUGAAUCUGAUGCUUUUGGCGCCUUUUCCUUUUAAAUGAAACGGCGCGUUUUGACCAAAACGGCGCCGUUUCAUUCACUGUUGCAAAAAAAAAAAAAAAAACAGAAGCCCAAAACGGUGCCGUUUUGACGGCACUGUAGCUCUUCUUCUUCCCCUGGACGCGCGAGGCAGGAGAAGAAGAAGAUUUUUUCUUCCCCUUUUCGCCUAAUUUCUUUCCCGUUUUUCGAGCAAUAAGACGCCCGCAAUCACCCACUUGUCUCCUCCUUUUUAUCCUUCUGAGUUGAUAGUGGAGGGGCGGCCGACAGUGGCCACCCCACCAUGACACCGCCCCCCUGUUUUUGCCUAUAAAAACAGGGGAGGGGCACCGAGAAAAGAAAAAAAAAGAACAGAAGGGAGAGGGAGACGAACCGAGAUAGAAGAGAAGAGAAGAGAGAGGGCAGAGAAGAAGAAGAAGCAGCAGGGAAGAAAACGAAGAAAAACAGAAGAGAGAGAGAGAGAGAGAGAACCACCGCCGGCCUCCGCCACCGUGCCUACGCCGCCAGCAGCACCGCCACGACGUCACCGCAGGUAAUCUCUCGCCGCCUUGUCGCCUUCUCUGUUUGCUGCCUCCCUCGUUUGCAUGCAGAACGUGAAUUAAUUCACGUUCUACAGCUGAAGAGGGCUGGUUACUGUGCCUAAGCACAGUAACCAGCCCAUUUGGUAAUGGGCCGGGUUGGCCCAGCCCAUUUUAAUUUAUUUUUUUUUCUCAGAAGUUUUUUUACAAUUUUUUGGCACAUUUUUUUUAUUUUUAUCAAUUUUGCUUAAUAUCGGUCUGUAUUUUACAUCGUAAAAAUAUAAAUCCGGUAUUAAAACACUCGGUUUUCGGCAAAAACUUCCAAAAAUAAAAAAAAAUUGAAAAAAGAUAAAAAAAUGUUUUUAUGCAUACGGCCAAGUGUCUCAAAUCUAAAAAAUCAUAUUGUAUUUUGCAUAUGUCAAAAAAAAAAUAUAUUUUAGCAUGCAUUUUGGCUUUAAUAACUAGUUUAUUAAAGUCAAGAGAAAAUUGGCCAAAAUCUCAAAAACAACAAAAUAUUUUAUUUUUGUUUGAUUUUAGUAUUAGAGAUUAUGAAUUUAUACGUAAAUCGUAUUCUUGAUAUUAAAAAAAUAUUUUCUUUUGACGACUUCGAAUAGUUAGUUUUUUUUACCCGAUAAAGAUAAGGACCUCCUUACAGAGGAGGACUUUUCUUAAACCGUAAACGAACCAACAAAUUCAAAAAAACCACAACACGAUUUUAUAUUUUAUCAGACAUUAAAACAAUGCAGCCUACCUUAGGUAGGGCGUAGUUGGGGUGCUAAUACCUUCCCUUUACGCAACCAGUCUUCGUACCCGAUCUCUAAAGACCAGUUAAGGUUCCUAGUAACCAGAAUACUAGGUGGCGACUCCCAGUCCUUAUUUUCACUUGUAGAGACAAGAAUUCCUUGUCUCUCCCUAAUUUUCCAGGAAUAAAUAUUUGUAUUUUUAGUUGAGGGUGGACGAUCGCCGCGCCGCCGCACACGUGCGACAACAUAUGCACAUGUUCCAGAUGCGAAGAGAAAGAAGCUAGAUGACAAAGGUGUAAAAUGUAUAUUCCUUGGAAUUAGUGAGCAUUCAAAAGCCUACAAAUUGCUCAAUCCUAUUACAAGGAAAAUUGUCAUUAGCAGAGACGUUGUGUUCGUGGAGGAUAACACUUGGAAUUGGUCCGAACAAAGUGCAAACCAACAACAACUACCAGUAUUAUUUGAUGAGAAUGAGGCAGACGUAAGUGAUUCAUCAGAUCAACAACUACACCAUCAGCAACAACGACAAAGCCUGUAAUCAGAUCAGGAAAUACCACAACUAUGUCUUAAUGAAGAUCACCCAGCUCUAGAGUGUUCACGAUCUCAACGCAGCAGAAAAAGGCCAGCUUGGAUGGAAGAUUAUGAAGUGAGUGGUGUUGUUCAAACUGGUGAGCAAUCUGAUGAUUUUUCCCAUUAUGCAUUUUUAUCCGAUUGUGAUCCUAUCACAUUUGACGAAGCUGCUAAAGAGUCAAAAUGGCAAAAAGCCAUGGACGAGGAGAUCAUGUCUGUCGCACGUGUGCGGCGUCGCGGCGAAAAUUAUAUAGUUUUUCCAUUUUUUUUUAUCUACAAUGUAAAUCUAUCUAUAUCUGUUGGGGAGACAAGAAAAUAUUGUCUUUUGUUGGUGGAAAAAAUGGAAUGUGAGUCGCCACCUAGUAUUUUGGUCACUAGGAACCCUAACUAGUCUCAGAGAUCGGGCACAAAGACUGGUUGCAUAAAGGAAGGUAUUAGCAUCCCAAAUACGCCCUACCUAAGGUAAGCUGCAUUGUUUUAUUGUCUAAUAAAAUCUAAGAUCUUUUCGUGUUUUCCUAGUUGGUAUGGUUCAAGAAAAGUCCUCCUCGGUAAGGAGAUCCUUAUCUUAAUGGGUAAUUCUGACGUUAACAAAAGAAUUUAAUAUUCAGAAUAUGUCUUACGUAUAAGAUCGUAACCCCAAAUACUAAAAGAAAACACAAUAAUUUUUUUGGAAUUUUUGAAAUAUUGACCUAGUUCUCAUGGCUUGAAUAAACUAGUUAUUAAAGCCAAAAUGCAUGCUAAUAUAUAUAUUGUUUUGAAAUUUCCUUUUGUUGUGUGAAAAUACGAUGUUAUAAUAUUUAUAUAUAUAUAUUGGAGAGACUAGGCCGUAUGCAUGAAAAUAAAACAUUUGUUUUACGAAAACCGGGUAUUUUAAUACCGGAUUUGUAUCUUUACAGUAUAAAAAUACAAACCGGUAUUGAUCAAAAUACAGUAACAAAAUUGUGGAAAAUCACAUAUUUUUUUAAAGGUUUUUUUUUGGAAUUUAAAACUUUUUUACUAGACCGGACCCGACCCAAAAAGGGGACUGGGCCGAAAUUGGCUCGAAAUAAAACAAGCCUACUUUCUACAGGGCUGGACUUAGUCCAGGCACCUGGGCUGGGCUGAUAUUCCAGCCCGAAAUGAACAUGGACUGGUUAUUGUGCACCUGCACAGUAACCAGUUAAUUAAUUAGGUGGUUACUGUGCCUGUUAAUUAAUUAGACCUGCAUAGUAACCGGGGAAUUAAUUAGCUGGUUACUGUGCCCCUGCACAGUAACCAGCUAAUUAAUUUCUUACUUGCAGAACGUGCACAGUGCACGUUCUGCAUGCAAGAAGACGAAUACGAGAUAAAAGGGAAGAGUUACCUGCGACGAUGAGCUUGGGUAGAGGAGCUGACAGUGGUGCUGGUGGCGGUUUUGCUGACCGAAGGUUGGCUCUUCCUCUUCUCUGCUGCUUUUGUGUUAUUCUCUACUUCUGUUUCAAGCUUCCCUGUCUUCUUCUCUUUGGUUGCCUUUGCUCCUUCUAUCAACCAAGCUCUCCUAUCCCUGCAGCAGCUUCGUGGAGAUGCUGGUGGUGGCGGCCUGGGAAGUGGCCUGGAUGGUGGUCGGUGGCCGGGGAGCCCGGUGAUAGCAACUGUUCCUCUGCAGCGGCUCCUUCUCUUCUGUGUUUGGCCCUCUCCUUUGUCUCCGCUCAAAAACUUCACCUCCCCUCCUCUGUUUUGGUUUCUCUCUUUUCUAUACUCUCACAGUAUCUUUCAUCGUUUCAAACUUCCCUCUCCUUUAAGUUUCCAAAAGCCCUCUCUCGUCCAAAACAAAUCCCCCUCUCUGUCCGUUUUUCUCCUCUCCUCCUUCAAUGUUUUUGGGUACUAUUUAUAGAGCCAAGGAGCGGGGCUUUUUGCUAGUGCUCCUUGGGAGCAAAUCACGCGGUGGCUGGUCGGCCAAUGACUUCGGUCGAUGGUCCAAAGGUGUGGGGUCGGUCGGUAGGUGCGAGGAGAGAGAGGCGGGAAGAUUUUAAAAACAAAGGUUUUCUUCUCCCCCUGCUGCACGUUCGGCGGGGGGGAAGAAGAAAGAGGAACAUUGUCGUUCAAAACGACACUGUUCCGGUCUUUUUUUUAUUUUAUUUUUUUAUUUUAUGUAUGAAACGACGUCGUUUUGGAGAAAACGCGCCGUUUCAUUUAAAAAUGGCGCCAGUACGCGCCAAAAUUCAAAUCAGCCCUCAAUUAUCUUUUGUUCAUUUCAAUUGUGUCCCUGCCAAUUUCGGUCCCCGCCCCCAUAGUUGGCCGCGUUUUUCACUUCGGUUCUUAACCUCUGAUUUAUGCAAUUGAGCCCUCAAUUGAUCAAUAAACUUCCAAAUUCUUCAAUUAGGCCCCUGAACCGAAUAAUUGCAGCCCCUCCAUUUACGCGCCUCUUCCAAUUUGGUCCCUGGUUUCGGAUUUUCUCAAUUAAGUCCCUAAUUGGCCAUUAAACUUCAAUAUUUAUGCAAUUAAGCCCCUGAUUUGACCCAAUAAAUUCCUAAAAAAUAUAUUUUGGCCCAGAACUUAAAUUUCUUCUAAUUAAAGCCCAAAUUGACUUAAAAAUCAAUUUUUCUUGCAUUCAAAUCCUCUAUAAAUUCAAUUAAAAAUCCAAUUAAGUCCAUAAACCUCCAAAUUUGGACUUUUCUUCUCAAAAAUCAAAAUUUCUUAUCCACCAGGGCUCUUAUCAUUCAAGAAUAUAUUGUCAAAAAUCCAUCUUUGUAUUUUUAACCUACUUGACUAAUUUUUCUGACCAUUUUCUGAGCGCUCCUGCCUCCUGUUAUUUUUCUAACAUCCUUUGGCUAUUUAUUUUAUUUUAUUUAUUUUUGUGGGGACCCGAAAAUGGGUUACAACAAUGUCCAUUGAAAGAAACAAUAGCUGGGAACUGACCAUACUUCCUGAAGGUAAAAAAUCCAUUGGUGUUAAAUGGAUAUACAAAACUAAGCUGAAGGAAGAUGGUAGAGUAGACAAGUACAAAGCACGACUUGUUGCAAAGGGGUACAAGCAAGAAUUUGGUAUUGAUUACAAAGAGGUAUUUGCACCAGUUGCAAGAAUGGACACUAUUCGGUUGGUAUUAUCACCUGCUGUUCAGAAUUCAUGGCUUAUCUAUCAACUUGACGUAAAGUCUGCGUUCUUGCAUGGAGCUUUGGAAGAAGAGGUGUACAUUGAUCAACCUCCUGGAUAUGUGAAACAAGGUCAUACAUAUCAGGUAUACAAAUUAAAGAAAGCACUAUACGAGCUGAAACAAGCACCAAGGGCUUGGUACAGCUGUAUAGAUGCUUACUUUAAGAGGGAAGGUUUUCUUAAAUGCCCUUAUGAGCACACUCUAUAUGUUAAAUCUGGAGUUGAUAAGAAGGUGUUAGUUGUGUGCUUAUAUGUUGAUGAUCUCAUUUAUAUGGGUAAUGAUAGAUCCAUGUUUACUGAGUUUAAGAGUUCUAUGAUGAAGGAAUUUGAUAUGACCGAUUUGGGGUUGAUGCAUUAUUUUCUGGGCAUUGAAGUAGUGCAAUCAUCUUAUAGUAUAUUUAUCUCACAUAAAAAAUAUGCUAUGGAAAUUUUAGACAGGUUUAAAAUGACGAAUUGUAAUUCGGUUUCCACCCCAACUGAUCUCAGCUUGAAGCUCGUCAAAGAUGGUGCAGGAGAGAAAGUGAAUGCUACUCUUUAUAAGAAAAUAGUUGGGAGUCUUAUGUAUUUAACAUUAACCAGGCCAGAUAUCAUGUAUGCUGUCAGCUUAAUCAGCAGAUAUAUGGAGUGUCCAGCUGAAGCACACCUCUUGGCUGCAAAAAGAAUUUUUCGCUACUUGAAAGGCACUGCAAACUAUGGAAUCCUGUAUAAAAGGGAUAGCAAUUCAACCAUGAUUGGUUUUUCAGAUAGUGAUUAUGCAGGAUCUCUUGAUGAUAGAAAGAGUACUUCCGGAUUGGUGUUCAUGUUAAAUUCUAGAGCUGUUUCAUGGUCAUCGAAAAAACAACAAAUAGUAGCUUUAUCAACCACUGAAGCUGAAUUUGUUGCUGCAACAUCAACUUCAAGUCAAGCAAUUUGGUUACGCAGGCUACUUGAAUUCUUACACAACAACCAGCAACAAGGUCCGACCUUAAUCUACUGUGAUAACAUGUCCACCAUAAAGCUUUCAAAGAAUACAGUACUACAUGAGAGAAGCAAACACAUUGAUGUCAGGUUUCAUUUCUUACGUGAUCUAUGUAAAGAAGGUGUUAUUGAUCUGGUAUUCUGCAAGAGUGAAGAUCAGAUUGCAGAUAUAUUAACUAAGCCUCUUAAGCCUGCAAUUUUUGUCAAGCUUCGAAAUCUACUUGGACUGUGCUCUUCAAAAGCUGUCAUCAGAGAACGAGUAGUAGCUGUUAAUUCCUAAACCAAUAUCUACAGAUAUUAGUUUAAGGGAAGGUGUUAAAAUAAGUUAUAUUGAUUAUGUUUUUGAGUUUGUCUAGAAUAAGUCAUGGAAGACCUAUUCUAUAGGAAAUAUCUAUUUUGUAGGAGUUCCAUCCACGUAUUUUAUUGUUAUUCUAUUAAGAUUUCCUUGCUUCUGUUGCUAUUUCCUUGCUACUGUAUAAUCUAUUUAAAGGCUUGUUAUUGAUUCAUUCAAUACACUGAAUGCAUUAGUUUUUUAUUUGUUCUUAUUUACAUAACAGUGGGAGGUUCGUAUGAUUACCUGCUCUAAGGUAAUUAAUCCAACCCUAUUUAUCUUUUUUUAUUUUAUAGAUGUUUUGCAUCUAGAUUAAUGAAUUAGAAUGUUACCUUUAUUUUUAUCACGUUAAAAAGAAAAUUUCAAAAAUAAUUUUUAAUAAAAUCCUAGCUAUAAAAGUGAAUGAAUGAAUUUCUAAAAGUCUUCGUCAACUUUUAGAGUCUUCCAGCUGGACCACAAACAAUAAGUGGGGUCUUUUCCAGCUGUUGUCUGUUAGGAUGGAAAUGGCAGCUCAAAUCCCAGGGUGUGAGGCUUGGGUUUUGCAGAGUCUUUUUAUUUGUAAAAACAAUAACAGUAACCAGACAGAUAAAAAUUACAAAUCGCUGACAUUACUAUAUAAGUAUCUGACCGAAACAUAAUAUUUUUUUUUAAAAUAAUUUUUCAUGUUAAAUGCAUAUUAAUAAUAUUAAAAUAAUAAUAUAAAUUUAAUUUUUUUAAAAAUACUUAUAAAAUAUAAAAACAAACAAGUUUUUUUAUCAGCUCAGUUGUUGUUUCAACAAUCUCCGCGCGUCCCGUGACUCGUUGAAUGAUCUCUCCUGUCAAAAUUACCAAAUCACUUAAUUAAUACGGAUGCUUAAACAAAUUUCAACACAACUGUAAAAAGGAAAUGAAAAUAUCACACAAAUUAUUAUCAAACAAUCACAAAAAUAUUUGGAAGGAACCGAAUCUGAAUUAUUACAACAUACAUAGCUCUAAAUUACACUACACCAUCACUUCUUCUUCUACACUUAAAUUUUAUUUGAAAAUGUGGUUAUAAUCAGGGGCGGAGCUAGGAUUAUUUAUUAGGGAGGUCAAAAUUAAUAUAAUAAGAUAUAAUAUUUGUUUUAAUUUAUUAUAUAUUAGUUGUAAAACAAAACCUACAAAAUUUAGUUUUAUUCAAAUAACUUACUACAAACAUAUAAUAACCUUUGUAUAAGGUAAAAGGUUUGGAGCAAUACCAAAUUGAGUCAAAGCAAUGAAGUUAAUUUCAUCUUCAUAAUGUAUUGAUCACUUUAAUGUCGUUGGUUUUUAUACCUAUCAAAUAUAAACAUACAAAGUAUAUAAGAAACAUUAGCUAAAACAAAGCAUUAUUUAUGUUUGAUAAACUUUGAAAUAAAGCAAAAAAUAAUAAAGAAUGAUUCUUACAUAUUUAUUUUAAUUAUGUUCAUCGUUUUUUCAUAGAAUAGAAAUCAUCGAUUAUCAUAUCAGUUGUGAAUCUUUCAACAAUUUCUUUUUCUAUAUAGACAAUCAAAUAAUUUGCAAGAAAAUCAUCCUCCAUGCUAUUGCAAAGUUUUGUUUUAACAAUCUUCAUCGCUGAAAAAGCUCAUUUAGUAGCCUGUGAGUUAUCAAUUUUUUUUUCAAAAAAAGAAUCAAUUCUUCUUAUUUUGUUAAUGGUUCAACCUAAAAUCAAAACAUAUAUCGUAAGAAAAAAUUGAUAAUUUUGAUGGCUCUGCUAAUAAAAAAAUCCAAGCAUAAUCAAAACAAACCAAUAAAAUAUAUCUAAUUAUUUAGAGAAAAAAAUCACUAUAACAAGAAUUCAAAAAACAAUUGGUAGAACUAGCAGAUAUGAGAAAAAAAAAGGAGCAAAAAUGGUAGAAUUAUAUAAAAAAAAUCCUCAUCAAAUUAUUAACAAACAUCUCAAAACAAAACAAAAAUAUAUUUUAAAUUUAAAUUAUUUUAUUUUGUUUGAUGAAAGAUAAAUUAAUUAGUAGCUCUGCUUCAACUUUUUUGUAGAAAAAGUUUGCUCGCGAUUAGUGUUUUUAUUUUUGUUUUUGAUCGACCAGGAUUUAUAUUAGGGUAAAUUAGUAGCUCUGUUUUUUAUUUUACAAAAUAAUGUUUUUAUAUUUUUUUUCUUUUCCAUGUAGGUCAAGAAUAAAUUCAAAGGAAAUCAAAAGUGAAAUCACAGCCCACCUCUUUAAAAUAAAAUAAAAAAUAUAAUACUUCCUUAUAUUUAAUUACCUAAUUACCUAAUAAAAAUAAUAAUAAAUUGCAGGGGGGGCUCGGGCCCCUGCUUGCCCCCCUUGCUUCCGCCUCUGAUUAUAAUUAUUUUUCAAAUAACUUUUCGUGUUAAAAUAUAUGUCGAUGAUAUUUUUUUAUUUAAAAAAAAUUAUUUUUAACAUCAACAUAUUAAAAUAAUUUAAAAAUACUAAGAAUAUAUUAAUUUAAAAUAAAUAAAAAUUUAAUUUUUUUCCAAAUUUUUUUUAAAAUGUGAACUAAGUCUUCGUCGAUUUAGACUCUCUCGGCUGGACCCCAAAUCAACAUUAAUAAGAGGGGUCGGUUCCAGCUGUCGUCUUGCUGAGUCAGCAGUAAUACUAAGAGGGGUCGGUUCCAACCAUGGAUAUUUGGUUACAAAAAUUAAAUGCCUUUAUAUGAAGAGAACUUAAAACUAGAGUGUAAAUAUUUUUAGACGCAGAAACUGGCAGAACACAAGGUAACAAAAGGUUCAGAAUUAUAGAAGCAAAAGAAAGUUCCGUAGAAAAUGAAACUGUAAAAUCUCCGAGUUCGUUUUUCUGGUUAGCAAGAAAGAGUGCAUAUGAAAAUUACAUGAUUUAACCGGAGUUAAAAUGACAUGAUUUAACCAGGUUAACCCACCAAACCUGCGAUUAAUAUAAUGAGAAUGUGAGAACUUAAUAAUAAAAAAAUAAUAUUAAAAUAAUAAAAUUAAAAAAAAUUAAUUAAAAAAAUCAUUAAAAAAAAACACAACACUACUCAAAUAAAUAAUGUUUUAUGAGAAGAGAUAAAGUAUAAUCCUUUCGUCAAUUUAGUUUAUAGUUAUAGUAUUUUCUAUUGAAUCUAGGUUUUUCCCGGGCAUAUGACGGCUAAACCGGUUUCGAUUUGUUUUUUUUUUUUAAUUUUGAUUUGAUUACUUUUUUUUGAUAAAAACCGAAUCGAACCGAAAAUGAUCACCUCUAUUUCUGUCACAAACCAAAUAUGUUGAGGAUUUGUUGGCUAAAUCUGAAAUGAUUGAAGCUAAACCUUGUGAUACUCAAUGUCUCCCUUACCAUAGGCUACUCAAAGAGGAUGGGAACCUUAUUCAAAUCCUAAGUUGUACAUAAGCAUUGUAGGGGCUCUGCAAUACUUAACUUUCACAAAGCUAGAUAUUACCUUUUCUGUGCACCAAGUAUUUUAGUUUAUGCAGAAUUCCAUGAUGUCUCAUUUUACUGCCGUUAAACGUAUAUUAUGACACCUAAAGGGCACCAUCCAGUUUGGUAUAUCAUAUACUAGAGGAGAUUUGCAGUUAAAAGCCUUUAGAGAUACUGAUUGGAUGGAGGACCCUAAUGACAGGAGAUCUACCACUAGUUUGGUGGUUUUUUUGGGUAACAAUCCAAUUUCAUGUUCCUCUAAGAAGCAACAAAUUGUUUCUAGAUCAUUGACCGAAGCUGAGUAUCACGCUUUGUUAUCUCAGCUGAGUUGGAUUGGAUAAAACAGUUAUUAGCGUUUCUGCACAUUUCACUACUUCAUGUAGAGAUACCUGGUAAACAACUGUCAGUGCAGUUUGUGUCCUCACAAGAGCAGUUUGUUGAUAUUCUGAUCAAGGGGUUGAGUGCUCUCUGUUCUGCGCUCAUUGUUGCAAUCUCAUGAUUGGUUUCUCGAAGCCUGAUUUUGAGGGGGAUGUUAGAAUAUAUUAUUUCAGAUUGCCACACUUCUCAUAAUCUUAAUAUAGUAGAUAGUUAGUUAGUUAGCUAGCUGAAGUUUGUUAUUUUGUUAUCGACAGCUUUAUAUCUAACUAUCUCGUGUAAUGACUAUCAAUAAGUGAGAAUUUAUCACUCUUCUCUUCUCUCUCUUUCUCUCUAUUUGAUAUUGAUUUAAUCUACAAGAUUACAGUUUCUGCUUAAUCAAUUGAUAUAGAUUAACAAUUGAUAGCAUGCUGAUUGAUACAAAUCAUUUUGCAGAGAAAACAAGACGAGGAAGAAACUAGCACUGUUCAUUUAAUGAAGUACAUUAUAGCAAUCUCACAGGAAACACAAACAGAACACACUUUUAUUUGUAGGACACGAUGGAAAUGGUGGAAACUAUUUCACUUGAAUGACAGAACACACUGCUUGUAUGACCGUGAGUAUUAGAAGAGCCCCAGCUGCAACAACAGAGAUGGAAACCCAUGGAUUAUGGAAAUAAUUUUGUUUCAAGGCUGCUAUCCAUUUGUGCCUCCGCUUUCUGCAGUACUUAUUCAGAUCUUCAACAACAUCAGCAUAAUAAAAAUUGUCAAGGAAGACCCCAUUUCCUCUGUCAAGAUCAUGGAGAACACUCAUAACUGCAUCAUUAUCACUGAGCCAAUUAUCUAUAAUUCCUUUCUUAGCAAGUAUUUCUACAUCAUUAGUACCACGAACAAGGAAAUUGAUGGUAGCGAUAUAGUCACUUACGUAUCCACUUCUGCAAUGGCAUUGCUCAAAGGCGUGGAUGUUUCUAAAUAACUUCUCUGUUUCAUCCUCUAAAAGUAGUGGUGGUAUUUCCAGUAUCCCUUUAUGAAAAUCAAAGUUCAUGUCAAAUAUUUUUUCCCUGGACCCCAACUUAAACUUGAUUCCAGAGUGAUGGAGCUCCAUUGCACUUGGUGCGGUGAGAGUUUCAAGAGGCUCUGACGGUUUCUGCUUUGCUGGCUGCUGACACUUUCUUAGAAAGUCAACAAAAUGCUCUACUUGAGAGGAUUUGAUUUGCCCCAAAAUGUCCUUUGCCACCCAUGAAUCCCCAAAUGUGCUUGAUAAGAAAUGACGAGUAAGCUCAAUCAUGGAAAAUCCAACCUGUAUUUUGGAAAGCUUGAACAAGUCGUCAAGAAUGAAGAAUGGAAUCUGAUUUUCAAGCAAGCACAUGUCAAAAUGGAUUCCUCUUACCAUCCACGGUUUACCGAAUAUACGGUCAUUGUUGCUUCGGCUGAAAUGGUGAAAGCACAUCAGGAAGACCAUAAUGAUGAAGGAGCUAUCUAGCAACAUCAUUUUCACAAAGUCCUCUGUACCAAUUGUGAAACCAGCCACCUAAGUCAACAAUGGUGGGAGUCAACAAUGGUGGUGAAGCCAUCCUUCCUUAGUCACAAAUUGUAGGCACCAAACUUGUGCCACUUGCCUUGCCCCUUGUAUUUGCAUGGAUGUUUGCCUAUAAAUAGGCAAUGCAUCCAAGCAUUGUAAACACACAAUAAGAGAGAAACAAGAGGAAGAGGAGAGUGAAGAGGGAAAAUAAUCCCACAAAGUUGUGAGGUAUUUGUGAGAGAGUAAGUGAGGUAUUUGUGAGAGAGUAAGUGAGGUGUUUUCUCUUAGUAAUAGAGAGAUUCUUAGUUGUUCUCCUAUUAUUUGAGAGAUGUUGUAAUUCCCACAUUACUUAGUAAAAUCCUUCUAUACUUGCCCGUGGACGUAGCCUAAUUGGGUGAACCACGUAAAUUCUUGUGUGUGUCAUUGCUCAUUUUAUCUUAUCCCUUGUCUUUUGUCUUGUCGGGUUUGCAUGCCAGUAUCCUAACAGUGGUAUCAGAGCCUUCCUGGUUGGUGUUGUUAACACACAAAAGUUAUUCGUGUAUACGGUUACUUUUCACAUCUACGGUUACUAUUCACCUAUACGGCACUAUUCAUCCAUACCGUACUGUUCACUUACGCUACUGUUGGCGUAUAUAGAAAGUCAGUGCGGUGAUUAAAUACAGUCUAGGAAGUUCUGUCUAAGGAGAUUGGGUUUUAAGCGGGACCGUUUGUGACCCCUCCAAUCUUUCCUGGGAACUUACUUAGUGAAGUAUUAUUCACACGAUACUAUUUCUAUAUACGUUACAGAUCUGUGAAACAGUGAUAGCUAAAUAGAUCUCGGUGAAUACAAUGGCAGCAAAGUACGAGAUUGAGAGGUUCAAAGGGAGCAAUUUCUCAUUAUGGAAAAUGAGAAUCAAGGCAAUCUUAAGGAAAGACAAUUGCUUGGCAGCAAUUGGGGAUCGGCCCGCAGAGAUCAUUGAUGAUGCAAAAUGGAAUGAGAUGGAUGGCAAUGCUAUUGCUAACAUACAUUUAGCAUUAGCCGAUGAAGUAUUAUCAAGUGUGGCGGAGAAGAAAACAACUAAGGAGAUAUGGGAGACUCUAACCAAGCUAUAUGAGUCCACGUCUUUGCAUAAUAAGAUUUUCUUAAAGCGGAGACUUUAUACCCUUCGAAUGGCAGAAACCACGUCGGUGACUGACCACAUCAACACAAUAAGAACUCUAUUUUCACAACUCACUAUGUUGGGUCAACAAAUAGAGGAACAUGAACGUGCAGAGCUUCUACUUCAAAGUCUUCCUGAUUCGUAUGAUCAGCUCAUUAUCAACUUGACCAAUAAUAUCCUCUCAGACUAUUUAGUCUUCGAUGAUGUUGCAGCUGCUAUCUUGGAAGAAGAAAAUAGGCGCAAAAACAAAGGAGACAGAAACAGUUCAAACCAAGCUGAGGCAUUGUUGGUAUCAAGAGGAAGAUCAACGGAACGUGGCUCAGUGGGAGUCAAAGGCAGGGGAGGUCCAAAUCAAGAAGUAAGAAGACGGUGAAAUGCUACAACUGUGGCAGAAAAGGGCACUUCAAAAAGGACUGUUGGUUUAAAAAGGGUAUAGAGAAUACUGCAGAGUCAUCAAAACCUCAAGGAUGUGUUGCAAGCACCUCAGAAGAUGGAGAGGUUCUAUAUAGUGAAGCAGCAACAAUCUCUACAGAUAGAGAAGAGCUCACUGAGGUCUGGCUAAUGGAUUCAGGAGCAACAUGGCAUAUGACCCCUAGACGAGAUUGGUUCCAUACAUAUGAACCUAUCUCUGGAGGCACAAGUGUUCAUGGGUGAUAAUCAUGCUGUAGAGAUUUCUGGCAUUGGCACCAUCAAAUUGAAGAUGUAUGAUGGCUUAAUUCGUACUAUUUCAGGAGUGCGACAUGUGAAAGACUUAAAGAAGAAUCUUUUGUCCGUAGGACAAUUUGAUAGUCUUGGCUGUAAGAUCCGAACAGACAAUGGAAUCAUGAAAAUUGUCAAAGGCGCGCUGGUGGUUUUAAAGGCAAGAAAGACAGUUGCAAACAUGUUUGUAUUAAUGGGAGAAACACAUCAUGGGGCAGAAGCAUCAAUCGCAUCAGCCAGUCCUGCAGAAGAGAAGACGAUGAUGUGGCAUCAAAAACUAGGCCACAUGUCAGAGAAAGGUUUAAAGGUUCUCUCUGAUCAGAAGUUACUCCCUGGGCUUACAAAGGUUACUUUACCCUUUUGUGAGCACUGUGUUACAAGCAAACAACAUAGGUUGAAGUUUGGCACGUCAACAACUAAGAGCAAAUGCAUCUUAGACCUGAUUCACUCUGAUGUUUGGCAAGCAAUGGUUGUAUCCUUGGGAGGAGCAAGAUACUUUGUAUCAUUCAUAGAUGACUUCUCCAGGAGAUGUUGGGUGUAUCCGAUUAGAAGGAAGGCAGAUGUGUUUGCAGUUUUUAAAACCUUCAAAGCGCGGGUAGAACUUGAAUCUGAAAAGAAGAUCAAGUGUUUGAGGACUGACAAUGGAGGAGAAUAUACCAGUGAUGAAUUUGAAUGCAAAUGGAAGAAAAUAAUAGCAUUUUAAAUGAGACUACAGAAGUCCAGAUGGAAAAUACUCAGAAUCGUACUUCUUCUGAAGUUGCACCAGAGCAUGAAGAACAAGAACAAAUAGAGUCUGAAACUCCUGAAGUUCGACGGUCAACUCGUGAAAGAAGACCACCGGCUUGGCACUCAGAAUAUGUUACUGAGAGCAAUAUUGCAUACUGUCUUCUAACAGAGGAUGGAGAGCCAUCAACUUUCCAUGAGGCUAUCAAAAGCACAGAUGUAUCUAUGUGGAUGACAGGAAUGCGAGAGGAGAUUGAAGCUCUGCACAAGAAUAACACUUGGGAUCUUGUUCUGCUACCACAAGGAAGAAAGGCCAUUGGCAACAAAUGGGUUUACAAGAUAAAGCGUGAUGGCAAUGAUCAAGUGGAGCGGUAUCGUGCAAGAUUGGUGGUGAAAGGAUAUGCUCAGAAAGAAGGAAGAGACUUUAAUGAGAUAUUUUCUCCGGUGGUACGACUUACUACAAUCAGAGUAGUCUUGGCAAUGUGUGCUAUAUUUGAUCUUCACUUAGAGCAGUUAGAUGUGAAAACUGCAUUUCUUCAUGGAGAACUUGAAGAAGAAAUUUAUAUGCUCCAACCAGAGGGUUUUGCUGAAACAGGCAAGGAGAACUUGGUUUGCAGGUUGAACAAAUCUCUAUACGGUCUCAAACAGGCGUCGAGGUGUUGGUACAAGAGAUUUGAUUCCUUCAUAAUUAGCCUUGGGUACAAUAGACUCAGUUCAGACCAUUGUACGUAUUACAAGAGGUUUGAAGAAAAUGAUGUUUUCAUCAUUUUGUUAUUGUACGUGGAUGACAUGUUGGUAAUAGGCCCCAACAAAGAUCGAGUCCAAGAAUUGAAGGCAUAGUUGGCUAGGGAGUUUGAUAUGAAGGACUUGGGACCAGCAAACAAGAUUCUAGGGAUGCAAAUUCACCGAGACAGAAGUAAGAGGAAGAUUUGGCUUUCUCAGAAGAAUUAUUUAAAGAAGAUCUUGCGACGCUUCAACAUGCAAGAUUGUAAGCCAAUUUCCACCCCACUUCCUGUUAACUUCAAAUUAUCCUCAAGUAUGUCUCCUAACAAUGAAGCAGAGAGAAUGGAGAUGUCUCAAGUACCGUAUGCAUCAGCAGUGGGAAGUUUAAUGUUUGCCAUGAUAUGUACAAGACCAGACAUUGCACAAGCAGUGGGAGCAGCUAGUCGAUACAUGGCAAAUCCUGGUAGAGAGCAUUGUAAUACUAUUAAGAGGAUCUUGAGAUACAUCAAGGGUACCUCAGAUGUCGCAUUAUGUUAUGGAGGAUCAUAAUUUACUAUCAUAGGUUAUGUUGACUCAGAUUUUGCUGGUGACCUUGAGAAAAGAAAAUCCACUACAGGCUAUGUGUUCAUAAUUGCAGGAGGAGCUGUGAGCUGGGUCUCUAAACUUCAGACUGUUGUAGCGUUAUCCACAACAGAAGCUGAGUAUAUGGCAGCUACACAGGCUUGUAAAGAAGCAAUAUGGAUGAAGAAACUUAUGGAGGAGCUCGGGCACAAACAAUAGAAGAUUCUUUUGUAUUGUGAUAGUCAGAGUGCCUUGCAUAUUGCAAGGAAUCCAGCGUUUCAUUCAAGAACAAAACAUAUAGAUGUUCAGUAUCACUUUGUUCGCGAAGUGGUGGAAGAUGGAAGUGUGGAUUUUCAGAAGGUUCACACAAAGGAAAACCUAGCAAAUGCUUUAACCAAACCAGUCAACACUGAUAAAUAUAUAUGGUGCAGAUCCUCUUGUGGCCUAGCAGAAACGUAAGCAGAAUGAAGAUGGCAAGUAUUGAAAGGAUAGAAGAAUCAUAAAUGAUGAAGUGUGAAGACUUGAUUCAAUCAUCAAAGUUUUCAAGUGGGAGAAUGUGAAACCAGCCACCUAAGUCAACAAUGGUGGUGAAGCCAUCCUUCCUUAGUCACAAAUUGUAGGCACCAAACUUGUGCCACUUGCCUUGCCCCUUGUAUUUGCAUGGAUGUUUGCCUAUAAAUAGGCAAUCCAUCCAAGCAUUGUAAACACACAAUAAGAGAGAAACAAGAGAGGAAGAGGAGAGUGAAGAGGGAAAAUAAUCCCACAAAGUUGUGAGGUAUUUGUGAGAGAGUAAGUGAGGUUUUUUCUCCUAGUAAUAGAGAGAUUCUUAGUUGUUCUCCUAUUAUUUGAGAGAGGUUGUAAUUCCCACAUUACUUAGUAAAAUCCUUCUAUACUUGCCCGUGGACGUAGCCUAAUUGGGUGAACCACGUAAAUUCUUGUGUGUGUCAUUGCUCAUUUUAUCUUAUCCCUUGUCUUUUGUCUUGUCGGGCUUGCAUACCAGUAUCCUAACACCAAUAUGUUCAGAAUUAUCUGCAUAACAGUUGCGCAAUGUUGUCUCCCUCUCUGUAAUAGCUGCAAUACAUUCCUUAACACUUACCUCACUCAGUUUAAGAAACUCUUGCAGGUAUAUUUUUUUAUGCUCUUCCAUUUCUUUCAGCUCUUCUUUUCCAUAGUGAAUGGGCCCAAUGGAGACUAUUUGAGGUGUGUAGGCAUGGUCCUUCGAGUCUCGUAGUCUUUUAGGAAUUCUGUAGAUGGAACACUUAUUGGAGAAGGGAAGCAAGGUUUUCAACUCCUCUUCCACAGACUCUGUUAAUUUGUCAAUGUCAAGAGAAACAUGAUCAUUCCUCUUCAUCUGCUCAGUUGUUGCUCCAACAAUCUCCACCUUACGCAAAUCUCAAUUGAUCAGAUGUUUUUCGGUAUUACAAAUGUCAAAGGACGAGUUCAAACGAAAAACUUAAGCUAUAGAUGAGACCACGAUGAUUUAUAUUAUUCACAAUCAUCAGAUCAAAUAUUAGUGCAGACAAAUGUAAAAACGAGAUGAAAAUAUCUGAAGUCAUGUCUUUGACUACACAAUUUGCGAACAGAUUAGUAAAAAGAUAUAUAGAUUCUCUAAAUUAUAACUUACACUCGUAGAUUUGCUUAAAAACUUUCCUUCUUGAAAAGCAGAACACUAUCUUUAAAAGGUGCUAUGAAGCUUUUCUGAAGAGUUUUCUUGUUUGAAGUAGGAUCGACUGGCUUACAAGGCUUGCCUGGUGAACUAGUGGUGUUUUCUGCAAUUCCACACCUCUUCUUAUUCUAGCUUUACAAUGUCUUUAACAACCUCCUGGUCCUCUGGUCAUGGCAAGGCAUUGAGUUACCUUUAUGCUUUCUAUGCUUGAGUGAUGGUUUAAGAAUAUACAAUAUAUGCUGCUAUUAUGGCAUCUGGAUGCAGAGGAACUUAAGAGUACAUUGGGAGAAGGGAAUCUCUCUAAUUAUCUCUGUCGCAUGUGUGCGACAUCGCGACGAAAACAUUCAUUCUAAAAAAUAUCUCUUAUUUAUUUAUCUGACAAAUAUAGGGAGACAAUGAAUUCUUGUCUUUUAUUAGUGGAAAAAUAGAAUGAGAGUCGCCACCAAAUAUUUUGAUCACUAGGAAUCCUAACUGGUCUCAAAGAUCAGGUAUGAGGACUGGUUAUAUAAAGGAAAGGUAUUAGCACCCCAAAUACGCCCUACCUAAGUAAGCUACAUUAUUUUAUUGUCUGAUAAAAUCUAAGGUCUUGUGCUUUCUAGUUGUUGGUCCAUUUAUGGUUUAAGAAAAGUCCUUAGUAAAGAGAUCCUUGAUGUAACCAUAUUAUUCGAUAGUUUCACCCGCAUUUAACUAGUGUUUUGCAUAUGUUAUUUAUAUAAAAUGCCUUGAUAUUCUUUGUUUUAUGUUUUGAAGGCAUUUUUGGAUGAAAGAUGCAAAAAGGAGUAAAUUGGAGGUAAUUGGCAGAUUUGACGUUCAGUCGGUAUUUUGUGCAGAGCGUGAGUUCCAGAGAUCGAAAUGAAGUGAUUCCAGUGGCAUUAAAAAGCUAACAUCCAUACCUUUCUAGAAAUGUAAUGAAAGAAAAAUAAAAAGAGAAAUAUCAUGGAAAUCACAUCCUUCAAAGUCAAAUCUCGCAGUCUGCCAAUGUUGACCUUUGCCCAUUCAAAAUUCAAUAUCUGGAGCUUCAGAAAUACAAUUGAUGCAAACUCAAUUGUGUUGGAUUCAUUACUCAAAUCUAUAUAAACGCUCCAAAUAUCAGCCAAAAACGAUGUGAUAUGAGGGAGAUAUGAGUUUUUAAAGAUGACAGCUGAAUUCUGCCAGCAAGUAGGUUGCGUGAAGAAACGAAUCCAAAUUUCAUCCAGAAGCAUCCAAACCGACCAGCAAUUUAGCUCCUCUAAUAAAUAUUCUAGAAGGUCAAGGAAGGCAACCACCAACCUCAAGGCAGCCACCCACCUCAAGUCAGCCAGCAGCCAGCCACCAACCUCAAGUCAGCCAGCCGCCAGCCGCCUUCACACUACCACCAUCUAUUGAUGUUCACACUUGAACUUUGAUUUUCUUACUUACAAUUUGUGUAUAAAUAGAGGGUGAGUAGAAGGAGGUAGCAAGCAAGAAGGGAGGAAACACAAACUCUCCUCUCUACAAAUCAAAAAUUAUGUAUUCUUUCAUCUUUAGGAGUAGUUGUUCAAUAGAUAUGCAAGGCUAAGCUCGUUUUCUUGGUUGCAAGGACACAACAAACCUUCGGAUUUCAAGAACCGUGAGAUUUAUUCUUCCUUUUAUUUUCAAUUUAUGUUAUGAAUGAGUAUGAUUGUUUUCCUAUGCAUAUUUCCUAUGAUUGUUUAUCUUAAUUGCUAGAGCGGACUCUAAGUUAUUAUUGUGAACAAUCUAUUAUUGCGAAGCAACUAAGCUUGAUAAUUGUAGCGGAACUAUGUUAUUAAACUUAGGGAGAACAUUCGAUCAUAGCAACACAAAUUGACAACUUGGUUGUUAAGAUUAAUGAAUUUAUCUGGAUCUUAAGGCUGCCAUUGGAUUAAAUCAUUAGUGCGGACACUGUGAUUGCUUGUUGGUUAGGGCUAGUUAUACGGCGGAUCCGUUAAUUAACCAAUAUUAAGAAAAGAUAAAAUUCAUAAUAUAAACUGGAGUUUCGUUUCAAGGAUCGGUUCUAAUCUCUGUUGGUGGAUGUGUGCUUGCAACCAAGGUUUGUUUUCUUGAUAUAUUUCAAUUUCAAUUGACUUUGUUUGCUAGUUUAAUUGCUGCCAUAGCUUAGAUAAUCACAAACCAAAUCCCCCCAAUUACAUAACGUACAACAUAAAAAUCUGACUUGAAACUUCCUCGUGGGAUCGACCCCUUGCUUGCUCUAUACUAUCUUGUGUGUUUUAAGCUAGGGUAAUUAAUUUGUGCGACCGCGACAUCGCAACAAUCCUUAUCUUAUCGAGUAAAACCUAACUGUUCUGACAUCAAUAAAAAAAUUUAAUAUCUGAAAUACAUCUUACGUAAAUGGUUAUAACCCCAGAUAUUAAAAGAAAAAAAGAAAAUAUUUUUUUUUGAAAUUUUUGAAAUAUUGGCCUACUCCUCGUGUCUUUAAUAAACUGGUUAUUAAAGCCCAAAUGCAUGUUAAUACAUAUUUUUUGAAAUUUUCUUUGUUAUAUGAAAAUACAAUAUGAUGAAUUUUUUUUUAUUUUUGAGAGACUUAGCCAUAUGCAUGAAAACAAAAUAUUUUUUUGUUAUGUUUUGACAAAAACUAGGUAUUUUAAUACUAGAUUUGUAUCUUUAUAAUAUAAAAAUACAAACCAAUAUUGAUCAAAAUGUAGUAAAAAAUUUUAAAAAUCAUAUAUUUUUUUGAAAUAAUUUUUUUUAAAAAAAAUAUAUUUUUUUUUUUUUUUUUACUGGACCUAGCCUGGGUGACCCAUAAGAGGCACGCUUGCUCGACCACUGUUCAAGUCACUUGAUUAGUAAUUGUUGCUUGAGCAGUAAAACAUAACAAUGAAAAAAAACAAAUGCAUGCAGUGACAGAAACAAUGCAACGUGAAGAGAAAUAUGUGAAGCUUACCUGGUAUCUAAAACAGAUGAAGACGAUGGCGAUGGCGAUGAAGCUGCUGCGCAGGAUCGGUGGUGACUGGUUUUGGGGACGAUGAAGACGAUCAACGCUGGGUCUUUUUUCUUCUGGUUUUUCUCUGCUUUUUUUGAAAUGAUGAAGCCCCUGUGUUCUCCUCCUCUCUGUCUUUCCCUUCCCUUUUCUUUCUGUUUUUCUCUCCUGUAUUCCCCUCUCAACGGUUGUUGGCGUGGUUGCUGGGAUGAAGAAGAUGAUGAGCUGACGAUGGCGUUGGCAGUGCUGGUGCGGUUGUGAUGGAGAAUGGCAGGGGUUCUUCCCUUGUUUUUAUAUCUUUCUCGUCUUCUUCUUUCUCUGUUCCUUUCUGUAUUUUUUAUAAUCUUUUUCUCUCCCUCUGUUUCCCCCUGUUCUUUUUCUUUCCCUCUCUAUCUCGUCUUUUCUGUUUUUCCCCCCAUCCUCGUGUUCGGUUCUUCCUUUGGCUUUUAUAGCCAGAGGACGCAAGUGUGCUUUUGGUAACAGUCGUGUGCAUCACGGUGGCGAGGAACAUCAGCCGCGAGACGCGACUCCUGAUUGAAAACAGUUCCAUUAUCACUGCCAACGUCUCCUUGCCUUUACUAUCACAGUUGUUAUGUUUAAGAAGACAGUGAAUAGUGCUUCAAUGGAACGGCGCCGUUUGCAUUUCUUCUGAUUUGGUUAUUGAAGUUUUUUUACAAUUUUGUAAUCAAAACCCUGGAAAAACUGCAACUGGAUCCCUUAAUUUUAGUGUCUUUUCUGAUUUGGUCCUUGAUUUCGGAUUGUUUCAAUUAAGUCCCUAAUUAGCCAUCAAACUUCAAUAAUUAUGCAAUUGAGCCCAUGAUUUGACCAUAUCAACUCUUAAAAAUUAUGAUUGGACCCCAGAACUUUAAUUUCUUCCAAUGAAAGCUUAAAUUAACUUAAAACAUUAAUUGUUUUUACAAUCAAACCCUCACAUAAAUUCAAUUAAACCUCAUAUAAAAUUUAAUUAAGUCUAUAAACAUCUUAUUUUGGACUUUUUUUCCUCAAAUUGAAUUUUUCUUGUCCUCGGGGUUCUCAUUAGUCAAAAAUAUACUGUCAAAAUUUCAAUUCUUCUAUUUUUGAAUAUCUUUAACCAAUUUCUCGCCAUUUUGUGGGCAUUCCAAUACCUUUUUCUCACUCCUACUAUUUUUUGAUAUGUAUUUUUUUGUAUUUUUAAAUAUAUUUUUAUUUUUUGUGUGGAACCCAAAAAUAGAUAACAAUAACCUCAUUACGUGGAGAGUUCAGAUUGGCAGCAGGAAACUAGAAUUCUGAAGGAAGCUUUGUUAAAUCCUAAGUUUUCUAUUAUUAAAUACAAAUCCAUAGACAAGUAAGCGAGAAGCAUGCUUUUAUCUUCUCUUUUUUUUUGUAUGGCAGAAUGUUGAAUUUGCUUUAUGAUCUCCUUAUGUUUGACAGGGGCCGGCCAGCUUAAGAACCGCACAUGUAUUUCUCUUCUUUUUCUCUUUUAAAGUAUAGCAUAUGUUCUUCUUGCCGCAAUUUUAUUUUUUUUGAACUUGUUCUUAGUUUAUGCCCCGGCAUAUGUUUACCUACAAGCUCUUCAAUGCCAUUCAUUACAUGAUCCUUUUCUGACUAAUUGAUAGCAUGUUGAUUGAUACAAACCAUUUUGCAGAGAAAACAAGACGCGUAAGAAACUAGCACUGAUCAUUUAAUGAAGUACAUUAUAGCAAUCUCACAGGAAACACAAAUAGAACACACUUUUAUUUGUAGCAUUGAUUGAUACAAACCAUUUUGCAGUGAAAACAAGACGUGGAGGAAACUAGCAUUGAUCAUUUAAUGAAAUACAUGUAUAGCAAUCUCACAGGAAACACAAACAGAACACACUAUAAUUUGUAGGACACGAUCGAAAGGGUAGAACCUAUUUCACUUGAAUGACAGAGCACACUGCUUGUAUGACAGUGAGUAUUAGAAGAGCCCCAGCUGCAACAACAGAGAUGGAAACCCAUGGAUUAUGGAAAUAAUUUUGUUUCAAGGCUGCUAUCCAUUUGUACCUCCGCUUUCUGCAGUACUUAUUCAGACCUCCAACGACAUCAGCAAAACAGAAUCGUUUACUGUCAAAAACAUUUCCUCUGUCAAGAUCAUGGAGAGCACUGAUAACUGCAUCAUUAUCACUGAGCCAAUUAUGUAUAAUUCCUUUCUUAUCAAGUAUUUCUACAUCAUUAGUACCACGAACAAGGAAAUUGAUGGUAGCUAUAUAGUCACUUACGUAUCCAACUCCGCAAUGGCAUUGCUCAAAGGCGUGGAGGUUUCUAAGUAACUUCUCUGUAUCAUCCUCUAAAAGUAGUGGUGGUAUUUCCAGUAUCCCUUUAUGAAAAUCAAAGUUCAUGUCAAAUAUUUUUUCCGUGGACCCCAACUUAAACUUGACUCCAGAUUGAUGGAGCUCCAUUGCACUCGGUGUGGUUCGAUUCUCAAGAGGCUGUGGCUGUUCCCGCCUUGCUGGCCGCUGACACUUUCUUAGAAAGUCAACAAAAUGCUCUACUUCAGAGGAAUUGAUUUGCUCCAAAAUGUCCUUUGGCACCCAUGAAUCCCCAAAUGUGCUUGAUAAGAAAUCACGAGUAAGCUCAAUCAUGCAAUAUCUGCCCUGUUUUUUGGAAAGCUUAAGCAAGUCGUCUAGAAUGAAGAACGGAAUCUGAUUUUCAAGCAAGCACGUGUCCAUCUUCAUGUCUUCUAUCAUCCACGAUUUACCGAAUAUACGGUCGUUGUUUCUUCGGAAGGCAGGGGAAAACUCUUUCAGGAAGACCAUAAUGAUGAAGGAGCUAUCUAGCAACAUCAUUUUCACAAAGUCCUCUGUACUAAUAUUUUCAAAAUUAUCUGCAUAACAGUUGCGCAAUCUUGUCUCCCUCGCUGCAAUAGCUGCAAUGCAUUCCUUGACACUUAACUCACUCAGUUUAAGAAACUCUUGCAGGUAUAUUUUUUUAUGCUCUUCCAUUUCUUUCAGCUCUUCUUUUCCAUGGUGAAUGGGCCCAAUGGAGACUAGUUGAGGCGUGUAGGCACAUUCCUUCGAGUCGCGUAGUCUUUUAGGAGCUCUGUAGAUGGAACACUCAUAAGAGAAGGCAUGCAAGGUUUCCAACUCCCCUUCCACGGACGCUGUUAAUUUGUCAAUGUCAAGCGAAACAUGAUCAUUCCUUUUCAUCUGCUCAGUUGAUGUUCCAACAAUCUCCAUCCUGUGACGCAAAUCUCAAUUGAUCAGAUGUUUGCCGGAAUCACAGAGAAUCAUCAGAUCAAUCAUUGAAAUGAUCUCUACAGUCAAGAUUACCAAAUCAUUUAAUUAAUACGGAAGCUUAAACAAAUUCCAAGAGGAAAGUAAAGAGGAAAUGAAAAUAUCACACAAAAUAUUGUCAAACAUUCACAAAAAUAUUUACUACAACAUACAUAGCUUGAGGAAAUGAAAAUAUCACACAAAAUACACAAAAAUAUAUACUACAACAUACAUAGCUUGAGGAAAUGAAAAUAUCACACAAAAUAUUGUUAAACAUUCACAAAAAUAUUUACUACAACAUACAUAGCUUCUCUAAAUUACAACUUGCAUACUUAGAUUUGCUUCAAAACAUAUAUAGCAAAAACACUCAGCGGCCUUCUGGCAGAAACAAAAAACUCACUCAGUAGCUCUAGGUUUUUUCACAAACUAUGGUCUGAAGUGUUUCUGAUCAGAAUCUUUUUGAAUGUUUUGUUCCUGUAUUUCUCCAUCAGUUCUUAUUCUACACAAAGUCUUCGUCAAUAUAGACUUUUGCAGCUGAACAAUAAAUCAACAUUAUCAAGUGGGGUUGACCACAGCUGUUCUUCCUGGUUUGAAUUAUUUUAUAAAAUAAUUUUUAUUUAAAAAUAUAUUAAAAUAAUAUUUUUUUAUUUUUAAAAAUAACUUCUUACUUCAACACAUUAAAAAAAAAUUUAAAAAUAAAAUAAAAUUUAAAUUUUAAAAAAAUACAUUUCAAACAUGUUUCCAAAAAAGAGUUAUAUUUAUUAUUAUAAUGCUUUUUAAAAAAAAUUUAUUAAAUUUGUUUUAUAAUAUCAUUUUAAAACAACUAAAAAGUAAUAAAAAAAAAUUCAAUUUAAUACUUUUUAAAUGAAAUAAGUAGCUAUUUGAGCGCUCUCAAAAUAGUCUUUUGGCUAUUUGAGAAACUCUUGCAGGAAUAUAUUUUUUUGCUCUUUCAUUUCUUUCAGCUCUUUUUUUCCAUGGUGAAAGGGCCCAAUGGAGACUAUUUGACGUGCGUAGGCAUAUUCCUUCGUAGUCUUUUAGGAACUCUGUAGAUGGAAUACUGAUGGGAGAAGGGACGAAAGGUUUUCAACUCUCUUCCACAGACUCUGUUAAUUUGUCAAUGUCAAGCCAAACAUGAUCAUUCCUCUUCAUCUGCUCAGUUGUUGCUCCGACAAUCUCCAUCGAUCAGAUGUUAGAAAAAAAAAAACACGGAUAUACUUCUCAAAUUAUAUUAUUUACCACAUGAUUAAGAAUAAGAUUGUGCAUGCUAAAGAAAUAUGGGCUGGAUCUUUUCAGAUAUGUCUAUGCUCUUUCUUUUCGCUCUUACAAAGCUAAAACUUGACUGAGUUCGUCAUUCUCUUUUGCUUUAUGGUUCGUGAAACUCAAACUUUGCCAUUGCCAUAGAUGACCCUAAUGUGAAUUGAAUCCUGUUGAUGCUCUAUCGUUAGCUUCAGACAUUUUUAGACACUGAAACAGGCAGAACACAAGGUAAGAAAAGUUUCAGAAUUUCAGAAUUGAAUCCUGUUGAUGCUCUAACGAUUCCCUCUUUUGUAACUCCUGAAAAAUUGACAUAUUCAGUUUUAAAUUAGGUUCUUUUUAAAAUAAUUUCGUAGUGCAUGUAUUGGAUAAAGAUCCACUUAACGAGUAAAAUAUGUAUAUGAUCUUUACACUCACUAUGCUUGAUGGAGGGUUCAAGAAUGGUAUAGGAUCUUUUCUCCAACAAAAAAAAAAAAAGUAAUAAUUCGGAACAUGAUCGACAUAAAAAAAUUCGUGUUUAUUGGAGAAAAGAUCACAUGCCAUUCUGAACCCUCCUUCACCCAUGGUGAGUAUAAAGAAUAAUAUGUGUAUGUAUGAAUAAAAAUAAUAUAAAUUUAUUUUAUUGGUUUAUUUAUUGAUACUAGAAUCAGGAAUAAAAAUACUGAUUUAAAUUUAUUUUUUUAUUGUAUUUUUAUUUUAUUUAACUAAAAAAUAUAAAAUAUAUGCAGGCGUAAAAAUAAAUUUAUUUUAUUGUUAUUUCUAUUUUUUUAAAAUGGAUAGUCAAAUCUUUCAGAAUCAUCUUUUGAGCACUGAUGCUCCUGUUAUGAUAGUUUUUAUUGUUAUUUCUAUUUUUUUUUCGACUUCUAAGUUUUAAUUUGUUUUUUUUUUUAUAUAUGUUUUUGGAUUGCUAGUUGUUUCCUAGUAGAAUUAGGGUUUCUAGCAUGUAAAACCUCUUAAGAAAGCGGCGUCCAUAUACUUUAAUUUUUAAAUAAUAAAAUUAUGAAUCCAGGUUCACAUCUAUAAUCAUCUUUGCUUAUUAAAUCUUCUUUGUUUUUCUUGUGAUUUUUUUAUUGUUAGUGUAGUACUUCUAUUUAACUUGAGUAGUCUUUUAAGAACCCUGUAAAUUGAGUAGUUUUUUGCCUGCAUCACAAUCGGUAUCAACAUAAGCACUUCUAUAUUGAGUAGUCUUUUAAGAACGCUGUAAAUUGAACACUGAUCGGAGAAAGGACGCAAUUUAUAGACCUACUUUCGCACAUACGUUCUAACUUGUCUGUGUCAACCGAAACAUGAUCUCCCUUUUUCAUCAGCUCAGUUGUUGUUUCAACAAUCUCCGCGCGUCCUGUGAGUCGUUGAAUGAUUUCUCCUGUCAAAAUUACCAAAUCAUUUAUUAAUACGGAUGCGUAAACAAAUUCCAACACAUGAAAAUGUAAAAAGGAAAUGAAAAUAUCACACAAAUUAUUGUCAAACAAUCACAAAAAUAUUUGGAACGAAAUGAAUCUGAAUUAUUACACCAUACAUAGCUCUAAAUUACAAUUCACUAUCACUUCUUGUUCUACACAAAGUCUUCGUCAAUUUAGACUCUUCCGGCUAUUCACCAUCACUACUUGUUCUACACAAAGUCUUUGUCAAUUUAGACUCUUCCGGCUGGACCCCAAAUAAAUUACAAUUCACCAUCACUACUUGUUCUACUUUGAAUUUAGACUCUUCCGGCUACUCACCAUCACUACUUGUUCUACACAAAGUCUUCGUCAAUUUAGACUCUUCCGGCUACUCACCAUCACUACUUGUGUCUUCGUCAAUUUAGACUCUUCCGCCGGACCCCAAAUAAAUUACAAUUCACCAUCACUUCUUGUUCUACACAAAGUCUUCGUCAAUUUAGACUCUUCCGGCUAUCUGGACCCCAAAUAAAUUACAAUUCACCAUCACUACUUGUUCUACUUUGAAUUUAGACUCUUCCGGCUACUCACCAUCACUACUUGUUCUACACAAAGUCUUCGUCAAUUUAGACUCUUCCGCCGGACCCCAAAUAAAUUACAAUUCACCAUCAGUUCUUGUUCUACACAAACUCUUCGUCAAUUUAGAGUAAAAAUCAACAAUACUAAGCGGGGUCGGUUCCAACCAUGGAUAUUUGGUCACAAAAAUUAAAUGCCUUUAUAUGAAGAGAACUUAAAACUAGAGUGUAAAUAUUUUUAGACACUGAAACAGGCAGAACACAAGGUAAGAAAAGUUUCAGAAUUAUAGAAGCAAAAGAAAGUUAUGUAGAAAAUGAAACUAUAAAAUCUCCGAGUUUGUUUUUCUGGUUACUAAGAAAGACAGAAUAUCAAAAUAAAAUGAUUUUACUAUGCAAAUUUAUAUGAUUUAACUGGAGUUAAAAUAAUAUGAUUUAACUAAGUUAACCUGUCAAACCUGUAAUUUAUAUAAUUUGCGUUUGAUAACUUAAUAAAAAAUAAAUCUAAUAAUAAAUAAUAAAAUUAAACAAAAAAAAAUGAUUGAAAAAAAAUCAUAAAAAAAAAAUACAACACCACUCCAAUAAAUAAUGUUUUGUGAGCAGAGAUAAAGUAUAAUCAUUUCAUCAAAUUAGUUUAUAGUUAUAGUAUUUUCUAUUGAAUCUAGGUUUUUCCUGGGCACAUGACGGCCAAAUUGACGAAGGUUAUACUUAUAAUGAUUCCCUCUUUUGUAACUCUUUAAAAAUUGACAUUUUCAGUUUUAAAUUAGUUUCUUUUUUAAAUAAUUUCGUAGUGCAUGUAUUGAAUAAAGAUCCACUCAACGAGUAAAUAUGUAAAUGAUCUUUACACUCACCAUGCUUGAUGGAGGGUUCAAGAAUGGUAUAGGAUCUUUUCUCCAACAAACAAAAAAAAAGUAAUAAUUCGGAACAUGAUCGACAUAAAAAAAUUCGUGUUUAUUGGAGAAAAGAUCACAUGCCAUUCUGAACCCUCCUUCACCCAUGGUGAGUAUAAAGAAUAAUACGUGUAUGGAUGAAUAAAAAUAAUAUAAAUUUAUUUUAUUGGUUUAUUUAUUGAUACUAGAAUCAGGAAUAAAAAUAUUGAUUUAAAUUUAUUUAAAUUUAUUUUGUUAUUGCAUUUUUAUUUUAUUUAGCUAAAAAAUAUAAAAUAUGUGCAUGCGUAAAAAUAAAUUUAUUUUAUUUGUUUAUUCACUAAUGCUAGAGUCAGGAAUAAAAAUAUUGAUCUAAAUUUAUUUUAUAGCUACGUAAUAUUUACCAACGCCAGAGUUGGAAGUAUCCGUAAUUGAAUAUUCAUUGGUGUUAGAGCCAAGAAUAUUUUAAGAAAAUUAUCAUAGCACAAACUAAUAAACAUUUAGCAAUUUAAUCUGGUUAUACCUAGAGAAUCCGUCCAUGAAGGAAUAAGUUGAGCUUCUAGCAGCAUUGUCUACUAAGACAUCUAUAUGAGGCAAAGAAAAAUUAUCCUUUGGAUUAGCUUUGUUUAGAUCCUUGAAGUCCACACAUACUUUGAUUUUGUCAUCCUUCUUUGGUACUACCACUAUGUUCGAUACCCAUUGAGGGUAUUUAAUGACUUCUAGAAAACCAGCAUCCCACUGCUUCUUUAUCUCUGCCUUGACCUUGAGUAGAAUAUCCGGGCGAGUUCUUCUCAAUUUCUGCUUGACAGGUUUACAUCCUUCUAUCAAAGGCACUCUGUGUACUACAAUAUCAAUGUCUAAACCAGGCAUAUCUGCAUAAGACCAGGCAAACACAUCCAUAUACUCUUGUAGUAAUGAGGUUAAACUGCAUCUUUCUUCUGUAGUAAUCAGAGUUCCAAUCUUUAGCUCUCUUUUAUCUUGCUCGGUGCCUACAUUUAUCACCUCUAAUUCUUCUUUUGCAGGUUUCCAAGCAUGCUCAGACUGUUCUACCUGUCUAGUAAACUCUUUCAUAUAAUCUUCAUUCCAUUCCUCUUCAUCCAUUGCAAUCACAUCCUUAUCAAAGUUUGGCCAUUCAUUUUCAAUGCAAUAUGUUUGUGGAUUUAUGGAGGAUUCGCUUUCAGAACUCCUGAAAGGAAGGUGUUUUUAGUGUAAAUGCGUAUCUUGUAGCCAAACAAAAAAAAAGAUACCAAUUGUUGAAGAAAAUGCAUGAUCUCAAUAUUAUUUUAAAAGCUGACUCAAUAAUUAUGAAAAGACCUUAUGUUGACAUCUUGAGCCAAGAUUUCCAACUAGGUACAAAAACACAAAGCAAACUACAAAGCAAAGCACACAAAGCACAUAAAAGCAAAUAUAAGCAGACGCUUAUUCAUUACUUCUUGAAAACAACUGGGGCUUCUUCAAUCUCCCAAUUAUGGAAUACUUCAUCAACCGAAAGCUUUCGCACAAAGGCGUUGGUUGGAGCCUCUUCUAGAGAGUGGACAGUUAACUAAGGUAACAAUUCAUCUUCUUUUGUUGUUUUUGGCUCAUCAUUACAAUUCCAGCCUUUUCCUUCACCUUCCUCUACAUUGUUGAUAUCCAUGAAAGCAAGUUUCUGUCCCAAGACUUCCAUCAUGUUUUCAGGUUUCAUCACAUAUGCUGACUUUGGGAAAGAAACAUGGAUGGGUGGGAUUACAAUGUCUUCUUCUUCUGGCUUUCUUCCUUCCAUUCUGGCCAACCUUCUUUCUCGCUUAAUCCUAGCAGCUCUCUGGUAAUCAUCUUUCUUAGGCUUAAAGCCAAGCCCAAACCUCUGAUCAGCAGCCUUAAUUUUCAUUAUGUUGACUCUCUCAAGAUUUCCAGUAAUUGGAUCAUUCUGGAAUGGUAGCCCAUGUUUCAAAAAGCACUUAGCUAUCAUUCUGGCAGUAUCAGAAAUCAUUGGUCUUCUUAACACCGUAUUCUCUGGUACCCAUUCAGUGUUCACAAUCUCGAAGGCAUGGAGAUUUCCAUCUUUGCAAUCUUCUGCUUCAAUAUAAGGGACCGACACAUUCCUUAUCAUGGACAAGGUUUCUUCUGCCUUAACUUUACUAGAGUACCAUUGAUAAUGUACUUCAAACAUUGGUGUAGAGAUGAUGUCACAGCCCCAGCGGCAUGUAUCCAUGGCCUUCCAAUAACAUGUUAUACGAAGGAUGGAUGUCCAUCACUUGUAAGGUUAUCAAAAACAUCUGAGGCCCUAUAAACAAUUCAAUGUCAAUGGCCCCUAUCACCUGUCUAGGGAACCAUCAUAUGCUCUAGCUGUUAUGUGCUUGGUCUCAUGUAAGUAGCAUCAAUUGGCAUCUCAUCUAAUAUAUGCCUUGGUAGCACAUUCAACGCUGAACCAUUAUCCACAAGCACUUUGCCGAUCAAAGUCUUUACAUUUCACGGUGAUGUACAAAGGCUUGUUAUGCCCAGUCCCUUCCGAGUCUAGCUCAUCUUCUGUGAAGUAUAAGUAAUUAGAGGCUUGAAUUCUUCCCACCAAAUGUUCCAUUGUAUCUUGAGUAAUAUCCUGUGGCACAUAUGCUUCAUUCAACACCUUUUGCAAUGCUUUACGGUGUAACUCAGAACUCAAGAUAAGUGACAUUAAAGAGAUUCUAGCAGGAGUUUUCUUCAAUUGAUCCACCACACUAUACUCACUAUGCUUCAUCAACUUCAGAAAUUCAUUAGACUCGUCUUCACUUAUAGGUUUGUUCACUUCCAUGCCUUUAAAAGCAUCAACUAUCUCUUUUCCUUUAGCUUUCCUCUGCCUCUCUAAUUCUUCUGGUGUAAAACACCGACCACUUCGAGUUAAACCACCGAUUUCAGGGUGAAAGAUGGGAGUAGGGUUCUUAAUGUUGAAAGAAUACCCAUAAUUGUAAGGCAUUGAGCCAUAACUUUCACUGUUUGUGCAUACAGGCUUGGUCAGGAUUAGUUUUGGUGGACCACCCACAGUUGGUUGGAGUCUACAAACUUCCAUUUUUGUCUCCUGACGGCCUAUCAUCCCAACUUCACUGCUCUCUUCUUCACUCUCUAUCCUUAACAUGCCGAAAGUCAGCAUCCUUUUCACUUCUUGGUGAAAUUCUUCACAAUCAUCAAUGUGAUGUCCCACCUUGCCAUGAAACUUACAGUAGUUAUUUCCAUUCAUCACUGGUUCAAACUCAGAUAAAUAUCCAGACUGUACCAACAUACCAUACAGUCUUUCCAUGGAAACCUUCAAAACUCUUUCCUUCUUACCCUCCACUCCUACAGCAUUCACUCCUCCACUGCUUGCAGCAUGAUUGGGCAAAGGGUUGGACUUCACAUUCGGUGCAUCAUCAAAAGUUAUCCAUCCAGCUUUUAUCAAUUACAGAAGCUUGUUUUUAAAUGUAUUACAGCUUUCAAUGUCAUGCCCAGCAACGCCAGCAUGAUACUCACAUUUCAGAUCUGGCUUAUACCAAUUUGGGUAUGGAGUUUGUAGUGGGGUUAAGGGAACAGGGGUUACUUGCCCAAUACUCAACAACUUUGAGUACAUUUCUCCCAAGGGAAGUGGUAAGGCGUGGAGGUUUCUAAGUAACUUCUCUGUAUCAUCCUCUAAAAGUAGUGGUGGUAUUUCCAGUAUCCCUUUAUGAAAAUCAAAGUUCAUGUCAAAUAUUUUUUCCGUGGACCCCAACUUAAACUUGACUCCAGAUUGAUGGAGCUCCAUUGCACUCGGUGUGGUUCGAUUCUCAAGAGGCUGUGGCUGUUCCCGUCUUGCUGGCCGCUGACACUUUCUUAGAAAGUCAACAAAAUGCUCUACUUCAGAGGAAUUGAUUUGCUCCAAAAUGUCCUUUGGCACCCAUGAAUCCCCAAAUGUGCUUGAUAAGAAAUCACGAGUAAGCUCAAUCAUGCAAUAUCUGCCCUGUUUUUUGGAAAGCUUAAGCAAGUCGUCUAGAAUGAAGAACGGAAUCUGAUUUUCAAGCAAGCACGUGUCCAUCUUCAUGUCUUCUAUCAUCCACGAUUUACCGAAUAUACGGUCGUUGUUUCUUCGGAAGGCAGGGGAAAACUCUUUCAGGAAGACCAUAAUGAUGAAGGAGCUAUCUAGCAACAUCAUUUUCACAAAGUCCUCUGUACUAAUAUUUUCAAAAUUAUCUGCAUAACAGUUGCGCAAUGUUGUCUCCCUCUCUGCAAUAGCUGCAAUACAUUCCUUAACACUUACCUCACUCAGUUUAAGAAACUCUUGCAGGUAUAUUUUUUUAUGCUCUUCCAUUUCUUUCAGCUCUUCUUUUCCAUGGUGAAUGGGCCCAAUGGAGACUAGUUGAGGCGUGUAGGCAUAUUCCUUCGAGUCGCGUAGUCUUUUCGGGAGAAGGCAUGCAAGGCAUUCACUUAUCAGAGAAGGCAUGCAAGGUUUUCAACUCCCCUUCCACAGACGCUGUUAAUUUGUCAAUGUCAAGCGAAACAUGAUCAUUGCUUUUCAUCUGCUCAGUUGAUGUUCCGACUUUCUCCAUCCUGUGACGCAAAUCUCAAUUGAUCAAUCAUUGAAAUGAUCUCUACAGUCAAGAUUACCAAGUCAUUUAAUUGAUACGGAUGCUUUAACAAAUUCCAACACAAAUGUAAAGAGGAAAUGAAAAUAUCACACAAAAUAUUAUCAAACAUUCACAAAAAUAUUUGGAAGGAAUCGAAUCUGAAUUAUUACAACAUACGUGGCUUCUCUAAAUUACAACUUGCAUACUUAGAUUUGCUUCAAAACAUAUAUAGAAAAAGCACUCACCGGCCUUCUGGCAGAAACAAAAAACUCACUCAGUAGCUCUAGGUUUUUUCACAAACUAUGGUCUGAAGUGUUUCUGAUCAGAAUCUUCUUGAAUAUUCUGUUCCUGCAUUUCUCCAUCAGUUCUUAUUCUACACAAAGUCUUAUACAAGAGUUACGAUCAUGUUGUCACCCCUUGAAGGGCGAGUCCAUCAUAGACUUCAUGUUCAUACAUUUGUCAUGCAGGCACCAGAAUAAAAAGUAGGUCCCCUCCGAGUCUACAACACCUGAUUUUGAGAGAAAAACAUUGGAGAUAAAGAGCGCGCUCACCGCAACAUUCAUUUUCAAGAAGAGUUGGAGUCUCUGAACAAAAGCUUGACUCACCUCUAGCUUACUCGAGCAAAUAUUGAAAAAUAUCUCUAGGGAAAUUCCUUCCAAUUGACCUAUCAUUUUGUUCAAAGCCCCAACAAAGACUCAACCCGAAGAAAUUGGGGGCCCACAUGAUCAAGAGCCUCAACACAAUUUGAAGGGGAAUUGCAUCACCGUUGCAGAAUGGAGCCUGUUCUUGCUCUGCCAAAAUAACUAUUUUAAAUUCCUUCCAAUUGCGGGAUUUUCCGACGUGCGACAAUUACAACCAUUUUAAAUUCCUUGAGCUAUUAUCAAUUCGAAGUUUACAACCAUUUUAAAUUCCCUGUUAUCAAUUCGAAGUUUGUUUCUUUCACAGAAUAAGUCUUCCAUAGUUCCAUUAUCAUCAAUCGUCAAUAAGUCACAGAAUCACGAUAAUUCAAAAUCAUCUAUCUACACAGUCUUGAGAAUCACGAUGGGAACUGAUCAAAAUGAUUCAAUUGAUAAAUGGGAAAAUGAUAAUUCACGAAAUCACAUAAUCACAUUACAUUCAACUGCAUCUUCUUGCAGCAAAUUACAUUCAGUAGAAUCACAGGUUCCAUGGGAACUGAUCACAAAAUACAUUCAGCAGAACUAAUCACCGAUUCCAAGACUACCAAAGCAAACAAGAUCAACAGGGCAUUCGGUUCCAAGACUAAUCAGUAAUCACCGAUUCACAGCAAACCUAGAUAAUUUUUUGUCUCUAAUCACUGAUUCACCACCAUUAGAUAGAAAAAAACAAAGCUUGGGUUCCUCAUUCGUACCUUCAUCUCGCUCUGGAGUGUGAGACAGAGAGGGGAUGAUUGGACGAAGUUGCGACUUUGGAGUCAGGGAGGGUGUGACCGUGUGAGACAGGGACGAUGAAGUCACUGACAAAGCCGCGAGACAGGGACGAAGACGAAGGGGACGGACGAAGACGAAGUCGAGAGACAGGGACGAAGACGAAAAAGACGAGGUCGGCUGCUCGGGCACUCGGGUGGGAUUUGCGAAUUUGGGAAAGAAAAGAGAUUGUGGUUUACUGCCACCGUGGCUUGUUUCAUAAUUUUCAUUUCUAAUUUUCGGCCUUCGCAGGAACUUUUGAUAAACUCGGUAAAACGUAACGUUUUUAACGUUUUUUACGAGUCAACCGGUUUUUCUACGAGUUUGACCGAGUCAACCUGAUUUUGCUAAUUUUUGAGUUUUAACCCCGAUUCUACACGUUUUCUGUAUUUUAACUCGUAAAAUCGGAUGAUUUUACGAGUUAAAACGCAUUUUUAACAACCAUGGUUGUCUCCCUCUCUGCAAUAGCUGCAAUACAUUACCUCCCUUACUUCAAGAAACUCUUGCAGGUAUAUUUUUUUAUGCUCUUCCAUUUCUUUCAGCUCUUCUUUUCGAUGGUGAAUGGGCCCAAUGGAGACUAUUUGAGGUGUGUAGGCAUGAUCCUUCGAGUCACGUAGUCUUUUAGGAACUCUGUAGAUGGAACACUUAUUGGAGAAGGGACGCAAGGUUUUCAACUCCUCUUCCACAGACUCUGCUAAUUUGUCAAUGUCAAGCGAAACAUGAUCAUUCCUCUUCAUCCAACAAUAUAAUUCAGCUUAUAUUUUCCAUCCCUGGAUUUGUAAUAGGUGAUAAAGCAUGUUGAAUGACAUAACCGACAUGAUUGAUCCAUCAUCCAUGUAAUCAAAGCUAUAUAAUUCAGCUUAUAUUUUCCAUCCCUGGAUUUGUCUUUUCUUCCCAAAUCUUAAAGCUAAUGAAGAUUUAUAUGGUGAUUAAUUUUAGAAUUUAUAAAAUUAAUUGAGGAAUACAUAAGAUAAUAAAACUAAAUAAUUAAUAAUAUUAAUAAUAUUAAUCAUAAUCUAGAAAUUCACGUUAAUAAUAAUAAUAAUUUUAAUUUUUGUCCCUCUUAACAAAUUAUCCUUGUUUUGGCUUCCUUGCAAAUUAAUCCGGGCUCUCCCCCUGUUUAGGUAAUAAUAAUAAUAAAAAAGCUAAAUAAUUCUGCAUGUUGCGUCAGCUAACCAGCUGCUUGAAACUCUUUUCUAGGCAAUGAUCUACUUCAUUGCUGAGGGAGCAUUGCUGUAGAAGAUGCAUCUGGUUACCGAUUGGAUAUUAAUUCUAACUUAGCUGAUUUAUAAUCUUUUGGAUUUUGAAAUUUACAAGGCAAAAUUGUCACCCAGGUAGUUUUCUUUAGGGUUCCUUGGCCUUUUAAAUCUUUUUUUGGUUAUUAGAAUCUACAAUUAUCUUUUCUCGAAAAUCCCACUAUAUCAUAUUAUCUUAUCACUGUACAGUUUAAAAAUCUUAGGUAAACUUUGUGUUUCUCAGGAGCAGGAGGAGGAUACUGUUACAUUUAAUGCUUGCAGCAGCUCUGCCCUUGUCUCAAAAUUCGUUUGGUUUUGCAUUUUGAAAGAAAUUAUUUGUUUUUUAUCUUAAAAAUAAUUUUUUUUUUUUAAAUUUUUAUUUUAAUAUAUUUUCAAAUAAAAAAUACUUUAAAAAAUAAUUAUUUAUUAAUUUUAAUUGAAAACAAGUGUCAGCAGCACGUCUAGAAAAAGUUUAGCAUUGUUUGACGAAUCAUUGUACAGGAACAUUUUUGUUUUUAUCUUAAGAAUCAUUGUACAGGAACAUUUUUGUUUUUAUCUUAAGCAUUAUUGUACAUGUGCAUCUAAUGCGCUGAAGGCUGUCGUCACAGAUCAAUCAUACCAACGUAGAAAGUAAAACGGAGAUGCCUUCUCUUCCAAUCCUCGAGCACGGUUUGUUUUUAUGUUUUAGUUUAUAAUCAAUACUACUUUCUAUUGAAUAUAGGUUUUUCCUGGGCAUAUGACGGCUAAGUUGACGAGAAGGCUAUGCUGAUAAUGCUCUUAAUAAUUUGACAUUUUCAGUUUUAAAUCAGUUUCUUUUUUUAAAAAAUAAUAUCGGAGUGCUUGUAUUAGAUAACGAUCCAUUCAAAGAGUAGAUAAUUGACUAGUGAAAAUUGAACUUGAAAUAUGUACGUAGAUGGUCUUUACACUCCCUAUGCUUGAUGCAGUGUUUAAGAAUGGUAUAGGAUAUUGUAGGGAAUUUCGACCGGUGAUGUUCUGAUAUUUGUCCAUUGGAGGCUAAGCACAUUGACACAAUAUUUAACGUGGUUCGGCAAACCGCCUACAUCCACGGGAGAAGCCAUUUGAUUAUAUAGGGAGAGAACAAGGUUUACAACAAUAGAGGAGGAGGAAUUAUUCCCUCUUUAGCAACUCUCAACCUCACUCUAUUUCUCUCUUCUUGGUGCUGCAAUGGCAGCCCACUCUCUCCUAUAUUUCUCACAUCUUUGACUCUACUUUCACUCACAUUUUGCUCUCUAAUGUAUGCCUCUAUUUAUAGGCAUCCAUGGUAGCUUCUCAUGCUCUUUUGUCAACAAUGGUGGUUGCCAAACUUGCCAAACUUCUUCAACAAAGGUGGCUGCCAACUUCUUUUCUUCUUCAACAAUGGUGGAUGGUCAAAGUCAAUGUUAGGUUGCUGCACAUUAAAUGGCAACACACCUAACAAUCACCCCCUUUGACAUUUAUAUGGGCAAUUGUCUUUUUGCUUCUUCAGCACAAUCUUGCAUCCUGCAGCUCUUCCAAGCUUACCAUUCCGAGAGCGUUUGGCCAAGUUUACAAGUACUGCCAAACCUUUCAAUCACCAGAGUCACCAAAGGAUCACUUCAACCAGAUGGUCUCACAUCACAUCUGAAGAGUGUUAACGCUUGUCUCUGGAACAUUCCCCUUCAAGCGUAUCAACCAUGCUCGGUCCGGAAUGAUUUAUCAAGCCUCACACCAAGGCUUACAACACCCCCUCAAACGAAUAUUCCAAGUGCGACAGUCAUUGAGUAUUUCAAUGUGAUCACAAGCUCACCACUCUUCCAAGAGUCUACUCAUCCAGGAGUUGCGCCUGCCCUCUGUUCCACCUUAGGAACCACGCCUUACUUCUCCAUGAGUCUCUCACUCUUAGUCUCAAGAGUUCGGGUAGCUAUCCACCUUUACUUAUGGGGGCAACCCAUUAAAGGUUGAUCCAUAUCAAUCUUCAUACUCUGAGUAUUACAAUGCUUUCACCGAGCUCACCACCUUGACAAGAGUCAACUUGUUCCCGGAACCUGCGCAUGCCCUCUGCUCCUUCAUAGCAGUCACGUCUUAAUGCUCCACAAGUCACCCAUUUAUUGUCCAAGGCAAAUGUCUUCUAGCUCAUUGAUCUUUAGCAUGGGGGCAAUAUCCAUGAAAGUCAAUCCUGCAUUUGUCUUCAUACUCAUCAUAGCCUCUUCAUUGGCUAUACAUUUGUCCACUUAUAUCCAGCCAUCAUGUUGGCUCUGGGGCUGGGCUCUUUUCAUGGCCCUCACACCUUCUCCUAAGGCGUCUCCGCUCGUCGUCAUGCGGCGGUCUGAAUCUGGGCUAAUAUUGUAGUCCUCACACCUUCCAUCCGAGGUGUCUCCAUUCAUCAUCAUGCGGCUUCAUAUCCCUCACACCUUCUCCGAAGGUGUCUUCGCCCGUUGUCAUGGGGCAGUAUGAUCUUGGACUCAUAUCAUGGCCCUCACACCUUCUGUCUGAGGUGUCUCCGCUUGUCGUCAUAAGACGUUCAGAUCUUGGACUCAUACCAUGGUCCUCACACCUUCUAUCUAAGGUGUCUCUGCCUGUCGUCAUGAGACGGUCUGAUCUUGGACUCAUACCAUGGUCCUCACACCUUCUAUCUGAGGUGUCUCUGUCUAUCGUCAUGAGACGGUCUGAUCUUGGACUCAUACUAUGGUCCUCACACCUUCUAUCUGAGGUGUCUCUGCCUAUCGUCAUGAGACGGUCUGAUCUUGGACUCAUACCAUGGUCCUCACACCUUCUAUCUGAGGUGUCUCUACCUGUCGUCAUGGGGCGGUCUGAACCAGGGCUCUAAUCUUGGCCCACACACCUUCCAUAUGAGGUGUCUAUACUCGUCAUCAUAAGACGACCACAUCCUCCUUCAUAGCGGAUGUCUUUAGUGGCUCCAAGUGGACUUGGGAGAGAUCACUACCACUGAUCACAUAGAAAGAGAAAGUUGUUGUGCACUCUUCGCAGUUUUCCAUCUCAUUUUCUAUGUUUGGAGCUUCUAUCCUUUUCUGCUUGAUAGCUCCACCCACACCAACUCUCUUUGGUGUCUUUGCCUUUCAUCAUAGGCGGUCGCACCCCCUUAAUUCGGUGCUUCUGCAACAACUCAUCUUUCCAUCCUUGCAUGCAUUGGAAAGGUCCUCACUUGUUGCCUUUAUCAAGAGCACAAGAGACUUCUUGUUGUACAACUUUUUCACAUCGUCUCUGCUCUGAGCUUCAUCUGGGAACUCUUCUUCUCCUUGCACCUAUUGUCUCAUUACAAUACCUCGUUGGAUCCUACGGGUACUCUGCACAAUCUCCGUGUGCUCUCGUGCAAUUUGGUUCUCCAGAUUUCUCCUAUUCUUUGCUUUUAUGUUUGACAGCAGCUCAUCCUGUCACAACAUUUAUCCAAGUCAAAAUAGGGUGCCAAUCUUUAUCCCCUUGCUGUAUUUCUCUUCCAUUAUCAGGGUCUUCAUCAAUUCUCCCUUCGAGAAAUCACAGUCACCAAAUCUAACUUCUUUGGAGAAAUCACCACUCCAUCAGAUCCUUGAACAUAUGGAACCCAAUGUUCCUUUAAGCUGUCAUCUUGCUAGUCUUCAACAGUUUCAUUACAAACUGUUACAUAUACAAAAAUAGUACUGUGUGGAUGAUCCUUCAACUAAGCAAGUUCCCAGGAAAGAUUUGGAGGGGUCACACUGGUCCCGCUUAAAACCCAAUCUCCUAGACAGAACUUCUUAGAACGUAUCUAUCCACCGUACUGCCUUUUUGUAUAUACAACCAUUUGCUAGCUUUGUUGCGGCUUUCCUUUACAAGUGAUCUGGGAUAUCCUGGUUUUAUACCUGAUUUCUCAACAUCUAGUGAGACUACCAGUGCUUAGAUUCGUCAAGAUUGGUCUUCAUCAAUUUCCACUCUCCACCUCAAAUCGUCCACAUCUCGGGUGUCCUGAGUGUCCCAAUUUUGCCUUCCAUCAAGGCAAUAAAUUUUCCCAUUUAACAGUUCAGCACAUGUAAUUGGGAAAACAUGUGCAUCUUCUUCUUCUUUAUCUCCAUCGACCUCAAUCCAGACCCUCAGAUGCCUCCUGAUCGGGCAAUCUCUCUUUAAUAAUUCACCACUGCCAUUUUCGGUCUCGAAUCUCAACGAUCGGACCAUACCAUUGCAUCCGGAAUGAUCAAAUUAGCUGGAAACAUGUCUUGAAUCGUCCAAAUCGCACAUCAGACGGCUACGAUUUGAUCAAAACAAUUCUGGCCUGAUCAACGGCUCAGAUUCAAUCUAAGAUCCGGUUGCACAUAGACUCUGCUGCACAAAAUCCUAUCCCUCCGCUCGCGGCUGAUAACAUGGCCAGUGGGUCCCACUAUGCUGACAUGUCUGUUGACUAGUCAAUGGCUUGCUGACUGUGUAUGCUGAUGUCAUCCUUGCAUCAUGCUGUUGUCAUCCUUUUGCAUGGCACUGUUCAUGCCUACUGUUCACAUGGGUCGGGUCAACUGGUAUUUGGGUCGGGUCAACUCAUCCGGGUAAAGAAGACGCGUGGGCAUACACCUUGCCGGAGAGUGAUGGAGAGUGCGGCCAUUUCCGACGUCCGAUUUUGACGCGGUUUUCACCAGUGGCUUCGUCUCUUCCUCCUCUACAGAGUGGGAUUGUCAAAACACCAUUUUGACAACUUUCAUUUUUGAGCAAAAAAUCAAACACCACUUAAACCAUAUGCUCUGAUACCAAUUGUAGGGAAUUUCGACCGGUGAUGUUCUGAUAUUUGCCCAUUGGAGGCUAAGCACAUUGACACAAUAUUUAACGUGGUUCGGCAAACCGCCUACAUCCACGGGAGAAGCCAUUUGAUUAUAUAGGGAGAGAACAAGGUUUACAACAAUAGAGGAGGAGGAAUUAUUCCCUCUUUAGCAACUCUCAACCUCACUCUAUUUCUCUCUUCUUGGUGCUGCAAUGGCAGCCCACUCUCUCCUAUAUUUCUCACAUCUUUGGCUCUACUUUCACUCACAUUUUGCUCUCUAAUGUAUGCCUCUAUUUAUAGGCAUCCAUGGUAGCUUCUCAUGCUCUUUUGUCAACAAUGGUGGUUGCCAAACUUGCCAAACUUCUUCAACAAAGGUGGCUGCCAACUUCUUUUCUUCUUCAACAAUGGUGGAUGGUCAAAGUCAAUGUUAGGUUGCUGCACAUUAAAUGGCAACACACCUAAUAGAUCUUUCUCCAAUGGACAAGGAUUCCUUAUAUUCACCAUGCUCGAAGGAGUGUUCAUACUGGUAUGUGAUCUUUUCUCCAAUAAACUAGAAUUUUUUAUGUCGAUCAUGUUCCAAAUUAUUACAUUUUUUUGUUCUAAUAUGUUACUGAAGGAUAAACAAGAAGUGGAAGAAACCAACAUGGAUUAGUUACUGAAGGAAAUAAAUUGCAAUUUCAGAAGAGGAAAUCACAGAGCACACUGUUUAUUUACAGAAAAAAGAAACAAAAGAACAAUUGAAAUGGCAGAAUCUAAACAACUUGAAUGAAUGAACACACUGCUUGUAUGACAGUAAGUAGGAGAAGAAUUCCAGCUGCAAUAACAGAGAUUAUGGUCCACGGAUUGUCGAAAUACUUCUGUUUCAGGUCUGCCUUCCAUUUGUGCCUACGCCUUUUGUAAUACUUCUCCAGAUGUUCAACGACAUCAGAAAAAUAGAAAUCGUGGCUGACAAUAUUUUCUCUUUGGAAAGAUUGUGGAGAAGUCUUAAGAGGGCAUCGUUAUCACGUAGCCAAUUCUCUAUAAUUCCUUUUCUUGCGAGUAUUUCUAAGUCCUUGGAAGCAUGAACAACCAAAUUGAUCAUCGUGAUAUAGUGACCUAUAAAACCAGAACCGAAAUGACAUUGCUCAAAGGCUUGGACAUUCCUGAAUAACGUUUCUGUGUCAUCCUCAAUCUUUAAACAUGGAAUUACCAGUGUCCCUUUAUCAGCGUCGAAUUUUAUGUCUAGUAGUUUUUUGCUGGACCCCAACAUAAACCUGACUCCAGCUUGAUGGAGAUCCAUUGCACUGGGUAUGCUUAGAGUAUCGAUUUCCUCUUUUAUUCGCUGUUUUUGCUCUGUUGGCUGCUGACAGAUUCUCAGAAAAGCAACAAAAUGCUCUGCUUCACAGAAUUUGAUUUUCUCCAAAUUGUCCUGGGGCACCCAUGAAGACCAUGUGUUUGUUAAGAAUUCAAAGGUGAGCUCAAUCAAGGAAAUAGGGCCCCGUAUUUUGGAUAGCUUAAUCAAGUCUUCUAGAAUGAAGAAUGGAAGCUGAUUUUCAAGCAAGCACAUGUCCCUGGAUACAUCACUGAACAUCCAAGGUUUACCGAAUAUACGGUCAUUUCUGCAUCCAAUAUUUCCGAAGCGAUACCUCAGUAAGACCAUAAUGACGAAGGAGCAAUCGAGAAGCAUCAUUUUUUUCACGAAUUUUUCACUGCUAAGCUUUACAAAGGUUGCCGCAUAACAGUUUCGCAAUCUAGUUUCCUUCUCUGCAAUAAAUGCAAUAAAAUCCUCAAGGCUUACCUCGCUGAAUUCAAGAAAAUCUUGAAGGUACAUUUUCUUAUGCUCUUCCAUUUCUUGUAGCUCUUUUUUUCCAUGGUGAAGUGGGCCGAUGGAGACUACUUGAGGUGUAUAAGCUCUUCUAUUUAACUCGAGUAGUCUUUUAGGAACCCUGUAGAUUGAACACUCAUCGGAGAAAGGACGCAAUUUAUUGAACUCCUCUUGCAUGGACGUUGCUAACUUGUUAGUGUUAACCGAACCAUGAUCUCCCCUGUUCAUCAGCUGAUCAGUUGAUGUUCCAGCAAUCUCCGUUCUGUGUCUCACAGAGUGAUCUCUCCUGUCAAAAUUACCAAAUCAUUUAUUAAUACGGAUGCGUAAACAAAUUCCAACACAAAUGUAAAAAGGAAAUGAAAAUAUCACACAAAAUAUUGUCAGACAAUCGCUAAAAUAUUUGGAAGGAAUCGAAUCUGAAUUAUUUCAACAUACAUAGCUUCUCUAAAUUACAACUUGCAUACUUAGAUUUGCUUCGAAACAUAUAUAUAUAUAUAUAUAUAUAUAUAUAUAUAUAUAUAUAUAUAUAUAUGCGCGCGUGCGUGUUUAAUUUUUACACUGACUAUGCUGGAUGGAGAGUUUAAGAAUGUUAUAUGGAGAGUUUAAUGUUUUUUUUUUUUCUUAAUUUUUUAAUAUUUAUUUUAUUAAAAAUUAAUCUUCAUAAUUUAUUUCAUUUUACUUUUUAUAACCCAUAACGGUGGAGCCACAACAUUAGGUUUAUGGGGGAAAAUUAAAAAAAAAAACUUUUAGAGGGGCUAAAUGUUAAAAUUUAUUAAUUUAAAGGCUAAAAUUUAUAAUUUUUCAUGGGGGAGACAUUAGGGAAGAAUUUGUAGGGCCUGCCACCCUCUACCUCUGUUCUUGAUGAUCCAAGUUAUGGAUUUAAUGAUUUAUUAUUAUUUUUAAUUUUAAUUUUAUCCUUCAAUAUUUAGUUUGUUGAGGAUUAACCUUCGUAAUUUUGUUUGGAUUUACUUUCUAUGAGGUUAUCAGAGCCUCAUAACCCAAGUUAUGUGUUUGGCGGGUUAAUCCGGUUGAUUUAGGUUGUUUCCUCUUUUUAAUUGACUUUUUUUAAUUUCAUCAUUUAAUAUUUUAUUUAUUAGGAAUUAGUCUUCCUAUUUUUUUUUAUUUGCUUUAUAUGAGGUUAUACUGGUCUCGUGAUUCAAGUCGCGGGUUUGAUUGGUUAAUCUAUGUUGAAUUGUGUCAUUUUUUAAAUUGAUUUAUUUUUUAAAUUUCAACAUUGGAUUAAUUGAAAAUUAGAUCUCAUAAUUUUUUUUUAAUUUUUUCUAUAAAGUUAUCCUAAUCUCGUGACUUGAGUUUUUAGUUUGGUAAGUAAACCCGGGUUAACUUAGAACUUUUUUUAAUUGGAUAUUUUUUUAAUUUCAUCCUUAAAUAUUGAGUUAAUUGAGGAUUUGGUUUCAUAGUUUGUUUCGAUUUAUUUUUUAUGAAGUUAUCAUGGUCUCAUGACCAGAGUUGUGGAUUUGACAAGUUAGAUACAUGUCAAUCCAAUAUAUUUUUAUUUGAAUUUUUUUUGAAAAAAAUAUUGUCUAGAUUUUUUAUAGUGAAACUAUAUUUUUUACUGAUCAUUCAAGUUAUUUUUAAAUCCAUCAACUCCAUCGAGUCAUCCCCUAUAUUUAAUUUUUUUCUGCUAAAAAAAACCUUUAGCAACUUCUAAACAUUUAUAUUUUUAUGUUUAAAAUAAAUUAUCCGACAAAUAAUAAAGCACGAGCAAAUGAUCUUUUCUCCAACAAACAAGAAAUCUUUAUGUCCAUCUUUUAUUACUUUUUUGUUCUAAUAUGUUGCAUCUUUUAUUCGAUACAAAGGGAUAAAAUUAAGAAGGAUAAGGAGUCUCAAAUACUCUCAUUUAUAUUUUUCAAUCCUCUUAUCUCGAUGAAUUACCUCUCAUCUUUCAUUUUCUUUGUAAUUCUCAAGAUGCAUUAACUGACUCUCAUAUUUUCCUUCUUUUAUUAUUCACAUAACUAGAUGGAAGAGUUAUCUUUUUGGACAUGAACACGUUUAUCUUUAUCUUGUACAAGCACACUAAUUAACCAAUCCAUUGGUUGUUUGGGGUUGGACCAUCAGCCCAGCCCACGUGGCUGGGUUGAGUCCAACCUUGUAGAAAAAAGUUGGUUUAGAUUUGGGACCAGUCCCAACCCAGUUCCAUUUUGGGCCCCAACCCAAUAAUGUUAUAUAUUGUGUAUCUAAAAAACAAAUCCCAUAAAUCCUUUCAAAAAAUUUUUGUGAUUUUUGGCAUGUAUUUUUUUAUAUCAUUUUAAUUAAUAUUGAUUUGUAUUUUUAUACUGUAAGGAUAUAAAUCUGGUAUUAAAAUAUUCGAGUUAUCUUUGAAAUGUUGUGUGUGUGUGUGUAUAUAUAUAUAUAUAUAUAUAUAUAUAUAUAUAUUGUUUUCAUGCUUACUGUCAUGUCUAAAAAAAAUUAUAUUGUAUUUUCAUAUGACAAAAAUUUAAAAAUAUAUGUUAGCAUGUAUUUCGGCUUUAACAACUAGUUUAUUAAAGUCACGAGAACUAAGCCAAUAUUUUAAAAUUAAAAAAAAAAUCAAUUUAUUUUCUUUUAGUAUUCGGGGUUACAACCUUAUACAUAAGACAUAUUAUGAAUAUUAAACUCUUUUGUUAACGUUAAAACGAUUAGGUUUUACCUGAUAAAAUAAAAAUUUCAUUACCGAGAAGGACUUUUUUUAAACAAUAAACGGACCAAGAAUUAGAAAUACAAUAACACCUUAGCAUAUAUCAGACAAUUAAACAAUACAGCUUACUUUAGGUAUAACGUAUUUGGAGUGCUAAUACAUUUUCUUUACAUAAUCAGUUCCCGUACAUAAUCUCUGAAACCAAUUAUUGACAUCACCAUUAUUCAAAAAUAUUUUAAAAAUAUUAAUUUAAAGCUAAAACAAAUAAAAUUUUUUCAUUGAAUGCAAGACCCAUGUUGCUAAUGACACGACCAAAAGCUUGAUGUCUUCUCCCAAGUGCAGGAGUGUCGAAGUAAUAAAUAACCCGGCAAGACCGGGGUCGAACCACAGAGAGGUUAAUUGUAUAAAUUAUAAAUAACAAGACAGCAACAACAACAACAACAACAAUAAUAACAACAACAAUAAUACUCAGAACGUGGCGUUGUUAUACCUGAGAAUGAUCCAAAAGAUCGGGUCACAGGUUUCCAACCUAUAUACUGAGUUUAUAAAAAUAUCAAAGAGAUAUAUUACAGAAUGUAAAUAACAACAACAAUAAUAAUAUAUUAUAUAUAAUAGAAAAGAUGAAGAAAUUAAUGAGAACUUUGAGAUGAAAGAUUAACGUAAGGAUUAAACAAUGAUAAAAACAAAUGUCAAGGUUAGAGGAUCCACUAAUGGUACUUCAAACAAGUAUAAUAUAAACUCUUAUUACUCAAUUGGAAACCACACAUAAAGGAGGUUCCAAUCAGAUUAUAAAUUGUUAACAUGAUUACAUUAGUUAUCUUAUUCGAAUAAAGCUAAUACUUGUAAAUGUUGGCAGGCAUUCAUGAUUAUAACUUAUGUUAACAACAAAUCAAGUUCCUUUCAUAGCUCAGGUGUCGGUUAUACCAUACAGUAUGGGCUAUGAAAGUGCCAAGUAUUUGUUGUACCAAGUGUUAUACAACAUAAAUCUAGAUUAACCAUUUAACAAGCAAAGUAUUAAAAGUGAACAAGAUAACAAAUAUAAAACAUGUUAGUAUCCAACAUUAAGGUCCAUGUUAAGUUUAUAUUAUACUUAUUCUUACACCAUUAGUGUACCCUUUUCACCUUGACAUAAUUAACUUAGCUAGACAUAAUGAAAGAAAGAAACAUAAAUGAACAAGACAAGAACAUAAAUGAGAAAGAAGUUAACUAAAUAAAGGAAAGGAAAUGAAGUGCAUAAACUUGAUAUUAAUGAAAGCAAAACAUGAGCAAUACAAAGAGAGAAAGCAAGAGCUUGAUCUUGAUCUGGAAACCAAGAUGCCUAAAUACAUGGUAAGUGCCUCCUUUUAUAGGCCAAAAUUUGGAACUAUUGAUUUGUUGACUAAUUGAUGAGUGGGUGGCCACAUCUUGACUCGAUGACAAUCCUUAUCUUCUUGUCUGAACAAGACGUCAUUGCUAACAUCAUAAUUUGCCCAGAAUCCUCAAGAAUGUUCUAGGAAAUUGUCUCAGCUUUCCAACAAAAAAAAGAUGAGGUCAUUUGGACUUCUAGAACUCAAGAUAUGGGCUGAACACUAAAUAGUGUUGGGCUGCAGGACAGCUUCGGACUUCUUCGUUGUUCCUAUAAUUUGGACUUGAAAACGACCUUCUUAGAUCUUGGUGUCCAAAUGAAAGUCGUAGGCCUAUGUUUUACCUUUCCAUCCAUAUAAAAUAGACCUAAAUCCGAGAUCUAGAGCUCCAGAUAUGAUCCAAUUACCGAGCAAUGUUCUGGUUUGGACUGCACCGACAUCUCUUUUCUAAGUUUGGCCAUCUCUUUGUCCUUUCACUUUCAAUACUUAAACUCAUAAAUCAAUCCUUUUAUUUAUGUGAUAGUCCUGCAUUUAAAAUGAGCAUUUACCAUAAAUUAAGGUAUCUUAUAAUAUCAAACUUGUUAUUAUAAAACAUGCUUUAGUUAAGGAGUUAUUGAUACUUCAAGUGCAAAAUGAUGAUAUAAAACCUUGAUAAACAUGCACUUUUAAGUACUAAUAAGCUAAUAGCUGAGAAUUGUUGCUAGACCCAUGUUUGAAUUGAUUCAGAAAGAGGUGAAGUGUCUAGAUCGUUGUGAAAAGGUAACCAGAUGAUCAUUGUGAGCAGGAGAUAUUGGAGGUAUCCAUUCUGAAAGAGAAUCAGCUGCUACAUUUUUUUAUAUCCCAGUAACUAGUACUAUAACCUUCAAGUAGACAAGGGCGAUAAAGGAUUGCCUGAACUGAAGCAUACUCAGUCUUGUCAUCUGAAUUUUCAUCCUAAUCCAAAAUUUUGAUCUAAAUGUUAAAAUGAAAAUUUAAGAUGAGCAGAUCUAUGCAAUAGGUUUUAACAUCAUAUGUUCCAUGUGGGUUGUGCUUCCUUUCCUCCAGCGUGUGCGCCUUGUCAUCAGCUCCAAAAUUCUUAUCAGCAAUAGCCAACCUGCAAAUGUUGUUAACUCUUGCAAAGUUAAAAGCCAGGUCAGUGGACACUUCAUAACCUGAGUCACUGUCAGCAUCUUCUCCCUGAAGUAAUGUGGUUUGAAGUUCUGCCAUAGAGUAUGAAAUUCCUUUUGCCUCUGGAUAUCUUAAAAGGUCAAUCUAAUCCAGUUGUAUGCGUACUAACUUAGAGUUUAGCAUUAGAUCUAUAGAAUGGUGGUUCUCAGCAAGUGAGUAUUUAUAAAGUGUCAAAGAAUCAUCUCAAUCCAAAAAUUUAAGCUGUUAGGUGAGGUUCUUAUGAUAUGAUUUAUAUUAGUAUCUGAUACACCCCCUCAAGUGAAAGCCUUUUGGACUUAAAACUUGCACAAACCCACAUUACUUUAUGCUUAAUUUUUAUCAAAUAAAAAGGAUGAUGAGAUUCGAACUCGUGACUGUUUGGUCAUUAAUGUUAUGAUAUUAUGUCAAAAAACUAUCUCAAUACAAAAAUUUAAGCUAUUAAGUGAAGUUCGAAGAUAUAAUUUAUAUUAUUUUCUAACAUAACGAUUUUCACGCUAGGAAGUUCAGAGAUUUUUAGGCUGGUCUUGUCAAAACCUAUCACUCGUCCAUGGUUCAUGAGGAGGUUUGAGAUACUCUCAGGCUCCAGCCAGAGAUAGGCAAAUGAGAGAUGGAGAUCCAUGCUAGACGACUCUCUGUCACAUCUUCUUCCGUCCACGGGCGAACUUCAUCAAGGUAGAUCUUCCAGCAUUCCAUACCUUUCUGCAUGGCUUGUUGCAUAGAUUUCUCACCAUCAAAGCUUAUGCUUGCCUGGGAGCCCCCCAAGAAACGGACAGUAGAGAAGUCGAUGCCUAGCUGAAUUAAUCCAUGUCUGAUUUGUGCAUAAUCUACUCCUUGAGAUAUCUUGCCUAUAAGACUAUUUCUUAACCAUAGAAUUUCCUCAUAUGUAGUGUUGAAAGAGAUGAAGUUAUGAGGACGUGGUGUGGAUUAUCAGACGCUUGAUGCACUUGAUUCCCUGAUCUUACUGCCUCAAGAUAGCUUCGGUUGUCUUUUACAUGGAUGGGGGCCUUGGCGUUGUUGUUGUGCUUGGAUAUUUGUUUCCCUGUUCCCACUGGUUUUUGUUUCAUCACUUCAUCUUUUCUUCUGUGCUUAGCCACAUUAACUUUUAGUUUUUAGGAAUCAAACCAUAUGUCAUUUAAACAUUCUAGCAGAGUUUUGUCUGAUUCGAAAGGAUGGUGACAAGGCCAAAAUGCUUUCAUGCUUGAUUUGUUUUCCAGGAAACAAACAACUUAAUAACUUUGCCCUGUUUUCUGAAAUGGUCUUUUAGCUUAUGGUAAUCGAGCCAACAUGGGAAGUUUUCAAAGUAACAUCAUAGGUGAAAACCAGGGUAGUUUGUUAAAGUCUGAGUGUUUAAGGUGAUGGAUGGUAGUUGAGGUUGUGGGUGAUAUGGCUUGUAUGGAAGAUCAGGUUGUUUUCUGUGUUUGCAUGAAGGAAUUGCGUUUGUCUGGAACGUUGGCUGUGUUUUUUGAAUCUAAGGCGUCUGCUAAAGGAUCAAAAGUCAAAUCAUAAUGUUCAAGCCUUUAGUUACAUUCUCAGUAACUCAUCUAACCCCUACCAGGUCUUGAUGAAGCCUUUGGUUACAUUCGACGUCAAACUCAAAUGUCAAAUCAUAAUGUUGGUUGGCUCUUCUCCAUCUAGCGCCCUUGUAGAUCCUGCUGUUGCCAUGAUAUCUAAGGCAUCUGUUAAUGGAUCAACUAAAAAGGUUGGAAUAAUAUGCUCCUAUUGUAAGAAAAGUUGACGUAAUGUGUUAGGAUAUUGCCAUUUAUUGGCAAUACCCCACCACCAAGCAAGUGGUAGCACCAUUAGUGCCACUAAUGGUGGCAUGUGUUGGCCCCUCCAUGUUGACUAUGACUUGCCUAUAAAAGAGGCAUGUUUUGAGAGCUAAACGUGAGAGAGUGUAGAGUGCAAGAGAGAAGAGAGAAAGAGGAGCUGCUGCCAUAUCCAGUAGAGUGUGUGAGCUGGGAGUUGAGUGGAUGUGAUCCUCCCCCAUGUAUUGUGUUGUAAUCCUUUCUCUAUCUCUAAUAAUAUUGUCUCUCCCGUGGAUGUAGGCGGUUUGCCGAACCACGUAAAAUAUUGUCUUAGUGUGCUUACCCCUCCGACGAGCAAUUAUCAGUACAUCACCGGUCGGAAUUCCCCAACAAUUGGUAUCAGAGCUGAUGGUUUAAGUGGUGUUUGAUUUUUGCUCAAAAAUGAAAGUUGUCAAAAUUGUGUUUUGACCAUACCACUGUGUAGAUGAGGAAGAGACGAAGCCAUUAUUGAAAACUGCGUCGAAAUCGGACCCCGGACAUGUCCGCACGCGCCGGCGGGGUGGGUGGCCACGUGCACUGACGCGCGCCACGCGUCUUCUCUGCCCGGAUGGGCCGACCCGACCCGAAUACCAGACGACCCAACCCACAUCGCUGACCCGGAUAAGGAUGGCGUCAUCAUGAUGUAAUUGAGACGUCAGCAUGCACAGUAAGCAUGGCCCAUGAUGACAUCAUCACAUCAGCAGCUGCACGCCGAGUUGAGUCGAACCAGUGGAGCCGAGCUGAGCCGCGAGCUAAGGUAAAGGAUUAUGUGAAGCAGAGUCUACGUGCAACCGGGUCUGAGAUUGAAUCUGAGCCGUUGAUCAGGCCAGAAUUGUUUUGAUCAAAUCUUAGCUGUUUGAAGUGCGAUUUGGACGAUUCAAGACAUGUUUCCAACUAAUUUGAUGAUUCCGGAUGCAAUGGUAUGGUCCGAUCAUUGAGAUUUGAGACCCAAAAUGGCGGUGGUGAAUUAUUGAAGAGAGAUUGCCUGAUCAGGAGGCAUUUGAGGGUCGUGAUGGAGGUCGAUGGAGAUGAAGAAGAAGAAGGUGCACAUAUUUACCCAAUUACAUGUGCUGAACUGUUAAGUGGCGAAUUUAAUUGCUUUGAUGGAAGGCAAAAUUGGGACACUCUGGACACCCGGUUAUGUGGACAAUUUGAGGUGGAGAGUGAAAUUGACGAAGACCAAUCUUGGCGAAUCUAAGCACUAGUAGUCUCGCUAGAUGUUGAGAAAUCAUGUAUUAAACCUGUAUAUUCCAGAUCACUUGUAAAGGAAAGCCGCAACAAAGCUAGCAAAUGGUUGUAUAUAUGGAGAGACAGUACGAUGGAUAGAUAUGGCCUAAGAAGUUCUGUCUAGGAGAUUGAGUUUUAAGCGGGACCAGUGUGACCCCUCCAAUCUUUCCUGGGAACUUUCUUAGUGGAAGGAUUAUCCAUACGGUACUAUUUUCGUAUAUAUAGCAGUUUGUAAUGAAACGGAAGACUAGCAGGAUGACGGCACAAGGGGAACAGUUGGGUUCCGCAUGAUCAAGGAUCUGAUGGAGUGGUGAUUUCUCCAAAGAAGGCAGAUUCGGUGACUGUGAUUUCUCGAGGGGAGAAUUGAUGAAGACCCUGAUAAUGGAAGAGAAAUACAGCAAGGGGAUAAAGAUUGGCACCCUAUUUUGACUUGGACAGGUGUUGUGACGGAUGAGCUGCUGUCAAACAUAAGCAAGGAAUAGGGAGAAAUCUGGAGAACAUGUAUUGCACGAGGGCACAUGGAGAUUGUGCAAGAGUACCCGAGGGAUCCAACGAGGUACUGUAAUGAGACAACAGGUGCAAGGAGAAGAAGAGUUCCCAGAUGAAGCUCAGAGCAGAGACUAUGUACAACAGGAAGUCUCUUAUGCUCUUGAUGAAGACAACAGGCGAGGACCUUUCCAAUGCAUGCAAGGAUGGAAAGAUGAGCUGUUGCAGAGGCACCUAAUUGAGGGGGUGCAAACGCCUGUGAUAAAAGGCGACCGCCUAUGAAAAGGCGAAGCACCAAAGAGAGUGGUGUAGGUGGAGCUGUCAAGCAGAAAGGCAUAGAAGCUCCAAACAUAGAAAUCAAGGUGGAGGAUUGCGAGGAGUAUACCAACUUUCUCUUUCUAUGUAGUCAGUGGCAGUAAUCUCUCCCAAGUCCACAUGGUGGUAGAGAAUCUUGGAGCCACUGAGUCAUCCCGAUGAAGGAGGAUGAGACCUCCUCAUGAAGCGGAGACACCUCGAUGGAAGGUGUGGGGCCAUGAUGUGAGCCCAGAUUUCAGACCGCCGCAUGACGACGAGAGAGACACCUAGGAGAAGGUGUGAGGGCCACGAUAUGAGCCCAGUUCAGAACGCCCCAGAGCCAAUGUGAUGGCUAGAUAUAAGUGGACAGAUGGAUAGCCAAUGAAGUGGCUAUGAUGAGUAUGAAGACAAAUGCAGGAUUGACUUUCAUGGAUAUUGCCCAUAAAGAUCAAUGAGCUAGAAGACAUUUGCCUUGGACAAUAAGUGUGUGACUUGUGGAGCAUUAAGACGCGACUGUUAUGAAUGAGUAGAGGGAAUGCGCAGGUUCCGGGAACAAGUUGACUUUUGUCAAGGUGGUGAACUCGGAGAUGGCAUUGUAAUACUCAGAGUAUGAAGACAGAUAUGGAUCAACCUUUAAUGGGUUGCUCCCAUGGUUAAAGGUGGAUAGCGACCUGGACUCUUGAGACUAAGAGCGAGAGACUCAUGGAGAAGUAAGGUGGAACACAGGGCAAGCGCAACUCCUGGAUGAGUAGACUCUUGGAAGAGUAGUGAGCUAGUGAUCAUAUUGAGAUACUCAGAUUAUGACUAUCGCACUUGGAAAUAGAAAUUUUGUUUGAAGGGGUGUUGUAAGCCUUGGUGUGAGGCUUUAUAAAUCAUUCCGGACUGAGCAUGGUUGAUACGCUCGAAGGGGAAUGUUCCCUGAGAAAAGCGUUAACACUCUUCAGAUGUGAUGUGUGAGACGAUCUGGUUGAAGUGAUCCUUUGGUGUAAGCAAGGGUGUGCUUUGGUGACUCUGGUGAUUGAAAGGUUAGGCGAGUACCUAUAAACUUGGCCACAGACGCUCUCAGAAUGGUAAGUUUGGAAGAGCUACAAGAUGCAAGCUUGUGCUGAAGAAGCAAGAGGACAAUUGCCUAGAUAAAUGACAAAGGGGGUGAUUGUUAGGAUAUUGCCAUUUAUUGGCAAUACCCCACCACCAAGCAAGUGGUAGCACCAUUAGUGCCACUAAUGGUGGCAUGUUUGGCCCCUCCAUAUUGACCAUGAUUUGCCUAUAAAAGAGGCAUGUUUUGAGAGCUAAACGUGAGAGAGUGUAGAGUGCAAGAGAGAAGAGAGAAAGAGGAGCUGCUGUCAUGGGCAGCAGCCCUGCUGCCAUAUGCAGCAGAGUGUGUGAGCUGGGAGUUAAAUGGAUGUGAUCCUCCUCCAUGUAUUGUGUUGUAAUCCUUUCUCUACCUCUAAUAAUAUUGUCUCUCCCGUGGAUGUAGGCGGUUGGCGAACCAUGUAAAAUAUUGUGUCUCAGUGUGCUUACCCCUCCGACGAGCAAUUAUCAGUACAUCACCGGUCGGAAUUUCCCAACAUAAUGAGGAUAAUUGUUUAAAAAAAUAGCUUUCCUGAAUGGUACUUGGACCGCCGGAAGCAACUUAAAUUGGUAUUGUGUUUUAAAAGUAUUUUUAAAAAGUUUAAAUAAAAAAUGCUUUUAAAAAAAUAAAAAAACAUUACUGGCAUAUUUUUUUGAGUGAAAAGCACUUUAAAAAGCAAAAACAAUCACACUCUCAAACUCCCUCUUUGCACAAAGAUUAUUAUAAAUAUUAAAUCCAAAUUCUAAAGUAGAGACUCGGUUCUCAAUCAAUUCACCAGCAGAGGCAAACUCCCUCUUUGCACAAGUUAGCCAGCUCCUUUGAUAAUCCACUUAAGACAUUCUUUUCUUGAUCAAUCUGUUGCCUGACAGCAUCAAACUAAGUUGCUUAAGCUUUAGUUUGGAAGACUCUUUAGACUCUAUGGGCACCGGAAGGUUGCGAUUCUUGUCAGACAGGUUAGGAACAUCAACAAAGACAAAUAACAUAUCUUGAAGGCACAUUAGGUGUGUCUUAAUCACUGCUAAUACAGACAGGUUGGGAUGCUCCACCAACUUUAUAAUUAUUUAUUACAACAGUAAAAACACUUGGUUUUUGCCAUGAGUUAAGGUCAGGAGAUUCAAACAUAUCCAGAAAGUGAGUUACUGAGAAUUCUUCCUCUACACAUGCCAGACAGACCACAAUUAUAUAUAUAUAUAUAUAUAAAAGGCAAUCACCAUGUCUAGCUGGUUCAUCAUCUUUCUUCAAAUUCGGGGUAUUAUAGAAUGUACCUAUAUAGAAAAUAUUGUAUUCACUCUUGUGUGUUACCCUCCAUCAUUACUAUUGUAUAUUACUUUAUAUAUAUAUAUAUAUAUAUAUAUAGAUUCUCCAGAUUUCUCAGGCACUGGUAGCCUGCCUUCCUCUUUCGGUUCUGCAUUAAUUUUCUUUAUCUGAUGGUAGAAACAACUGAUAUCAAACCAAUCUCAACAGGGGAGCAUCCAAUCAAAUAUACUACAUCUUCUAAGGUGAUGAUUAGAGGACCAAACCUACAAAGACAAUUGAAGCUGGAACUCCACAAAGUUAGCAAAGUCUAUGGGAGCAGAAAUGGAAAUCUUGCCCCCUUUUUUCCGACCAAUGUUGUAUCUAUCAUGUCCUUGUUCAAUUGCAUGUGUUGAAUGAAAAAGCCUACACAUCACGUGUCAUAACCCGAAUCCCAAGUCUAUGACUAGCAAUGCAGUAGUAGUGUUGAAAGGACACCUUACUUACACUAAGCCUCAAAAUGAACAUAUUAAAAAAACAAGUUAUUUAAAAAAAAAACGCAGCAUUUCAUAAUUUUUAGAAAGAUUAUAAUAUUCAAAACUAAUGAAAUCAAAUGAUAAUUCAAAACUUCUCAUCAAUAAUCAAAACAAAAACAAUAAUUUAUAAUACUCAUUAGAUUGUUAAAAUUCCAAACUUAAUUAAAACAUGGUAAUAUUGGAGUGUUUAAGAGAUCGAAUCAAAACUGAAAGGAAAGCCUCGCAAAAUAAGCAAGACAUACCGAUCAAACUGAAGAAGCAAGAACACUCAAAAAAGUCCAUCUACUAAUAGAAACUAAGAACCUGAAAUAAUAUUAAGAAUGAGAGGUGAGUUCAACCAACUCAGUGAGGGAAUGACAUUUAAUAUACAUUUUAGAUAUUAAUAAUUUGCAAGUCGAUUUAUCUUGAUAAACAUAAACAUAUACAUAUACAUACUAAACAUAUUAUCAUAAAAUAGUGGAACACAUGUCAGAAAUCAGAUGACACCCGAAGGUGACUAGAUGACACUCGAAGCUAACCAUUGUGGGAUGAUCAAUCGCCAUAAGGCGAUACAUCUCUCACCAGCUAGGUAUACAUAAUACUAUAUACAUACAUGCUACUCUCCGUUAGCAUGGAUUUACUGAAAAGUCCUAUAUCAAGACAUAAUAGAUAUUUGUAGAAUCAUCAAAGAAAUAUAUAUCAUAUCAAAUAGAAUUUAGUUCAACAGAAUGCGAGUACAAAUUCUAGAAUAAAUGAGUACUAAAAAAAUAAAAAAACAUAUAUAAAUAUUCAAGAGAUUAACUAAUCGUACUCAUCAUAUAAUCAACAUACAUAUUUAUUUAUAUUAUAUGUAUAUUAAAGAUUAUUCCACUCACCCGGAAACAUAUAGAUUAAAAGGAAUAUCAAAUGCAAGAUCCCAAAAACCUAUUGAGGAUCGUUAGGAGAACUUACAAAAAAUAUAUGAAAUAUACUCAAAACAACACAAAUAAAAGAUUCCAAUGCAUGAAAGAAGAUCAGGUUUAGUCUCCUAGGUUUAGGGACUAAAAUGAUAAUUUUCAAAAAACGGGGACCAAAAUAUAAUUUUACCAAAACUGUUCCAAACUGUAAAUGCAUAUUCAUACUGAAAUUUCACCCAUAAACCAUCCUCAAUUCUGUACAAAGCAAAACAUGGACCAAACUAUGAUUUUUUAAAAGUUCAGGGACUAAAAUGUAAAUCCCUGAAAUUGAGGGACCAAACUAAAAAUAUUCUAAAUCAAUUAGCAAACUAAGAUUCCUCAUCCUUAACCUCAUAAAAACACUGUCUAGAACCUCAAAAUACAUUUAGGGUUCAAUUUGUAAUUUUUCCAAAGUUUAAGGCUAAAUUGAAUUUUCAUAAAUCAAGAACCAAAAUAAAAUUUUGUUAUCUUCAACCUCAAGACCAUUCUGUCCAGAUUUUUCAGCAAGCUUGAAAUGAAUUUCUUAACUCAUAAAAAUCAAUUUAAAUAAAUCAACUCAUAAAUCCUUAUUUUUAACAACAUGCUUAAAAUCAAUCACUUAACCUUAAACCCAUAAUAAUCAUGAAUUAAUCUUAACAAAAUAAACUUCAAAUCCUUAUAAACCCUAAUCUCCUCUUUAAUCUUUCCAUAAACAAACCAUAAUUGAAAGUAAUAUGAUAGAAAAUCACUUACUUGCUACUUCCAUCUUUCUUAAACUCAAAACUCAAGAUUAAAAAAUUGAAAUUCUUGGUUUGAUGAGGAAGGGUCACGACAACCACAAGACUUGGAAGAGAGAAAAGUAAUUCUCUUGCAACUUUUUUAUAUAUAUUUAUGUUAACUUAGGUUAGGUUUGAGCUGAUUUGGACUUGAGUUUGGGUCAAAAAUUUAGGUCUUACACCGCGAUUAGUCUCCAUCGUUUGGAUCAAAAAUUUAGGUCUUACACCGUGAUUAGUCUCCAUCGGACCACUUCACCAUGGCAAAGAAGAGCUGAAAACAAUGGAAGGGCAUAAGAUAUUGUAUUUUCAAGAUUUUCAAAAAUUCAGCAAGGCAUGCCUGGAGGAGUUGGUUAAAGUUGUAGGGGAGAGGGAGACAAGAUUGCGUAGCUGUUAUGCAGAAACCAUUGAUCUUAGUAGCGAGGAAUAUGUGAAAAUGAUGUUAAUGGAUAGUGUCUUCAUCAUUGUGAUCUUCCUGAAAAAUGUUACGAAGACGCCAACCGUUUAUUUCAAUAAACCAUGGAUGCUAGGCGAUAUAGCAUUUGACAUGUUCUUGAUUGAAAAUCAUCUUCCAUUCUUCAUUCUCAAGGAUUUGUUUAAAGCAUCCAAAAUAGCCAGCCGUUUCGACGAGGAAUGGUCAGUGAUUAAGCUUGCCUACAAGUUCUUCAAAGAUGAUGGAAUUCUUUGUUGAGUACUGAAGGCAUUUUGGAGGAAAUGAAAGCCUCCGAAGUAGCACAUUUUGUUGACCUUGUAAGAAAUGUCAGAAGUCAUCAGAGCCGAACGCACCAGAAACACUAGAGUCUAUAAACGUACCAAGUGCUACAGAGCUCCAGCAAGCUGGGGUCAAGUUCAAGUUUAGUUCAAGCAAAAGCUUACUUGACAUGAAAUUCGAUAGGGGGAUUCUGGAAAUCCCACUAUUAAGAGUACAGGAUAGUACAGAGAUAUACUUCAGGAAUCUCCAGGCAUUUGAUAAAUGUGAGUCUGGAUCAAGAUCAUAUAGGUGACUAUAUUUCGAUGAUUAAUUUCCUCGUCAUUUCUCCUAAGGAUGUGGAAAUCCUUGUAGAAAAUAGAAUCAUAGAAAACUGGAUACAUCACAAUGAAGCUGUGUCAACUGUUCUUCACGAUAUUUCCAAGCUAAAUGAUCUCUCUCAGAACAAUUCCAUCUUUGCUGGCCUCGUUUAAGAUCUGAAUGCAUACUGCAAGAGACCUUGGAAAAAAUGGAAGGAAAUCUUGAAACAAGGUUAUUGCAGUACUCCACGGGCCAUAAUAUCUCUUAUUGCAGCAGUUAUUCUCCUCGACUCACUGUUAUACAGGCAGUGUGUUCUGUUAUUCAACUGUAGCUUCUACCAUUUCAAUUGUUUCCCAUAGACUUCUGAUUGCUUUGCACUCCCUUGCUAAUCAAUGUUAAGCUUCUAAUUAUCAGUUAGCCUGUUCGUUGUAAUGAUUAUUUUUUCGAAUAAUGAAUUUCUGUAAGGUUAACACUAUGUGUUACAAUGCUAUUUCUGAAGAAAUGGUUUGAUUUUUAUGUACAAAGGUGCAAAGAGUACCUAUAAUAGAUACCAGCAGCACAAAUGUAAUGCAUGACCGUACUCAAAUUUUGCUUAGAUUGUUUUACAGAAGCCUAUUCAGCCUUAAGAUUAAGGCCCAAAUCUAUUCCAAUGAGCAAGAUCUGACAACCAUGCUUAAAACUAAGUUAUUGCAAUGUUGAUAGCAUGUUGAUUGAUGCAAACCAUUUUUGAAGAAACUAGCACUGAUCAUUUAAUGAAGUACAUUAUAGCAAUCUCACAGGAAACAAAAACAGAACAGUCUUUUAUUUGUAGGACGCGAUCGAAAGGGUAGAACCUAUUUCACUUGAAUGACAGAACACACUGUUUGUAUGACAGUGAGUAUUAGAAGAGCCCCGGCUGCAACAACAGAGAUGGAAACCAUUUGUGCCUCCAUUUCUACAGUACUUAUUCAGACCUUCAACGACAUCAGCAAAACAAAAAUGGUCUUCGAAGACAGCAUUUCCUCUGUCAAGAUCAUGGAGAACAUUCAUAACUGCAUCAUUAUCUCUGAGCCAAUUAUGUAUAAUUCCUUCCUUAGCAAGUAUUUCUACAUCAUUAGUACCACGAACAAGGGAAUUGAUGGUAGCGAUAUAGUCACUUACGUAUCCACCUCCGCAAUGGCGUUGCUCAAAGGCGUGGAUGUUUCUAAAUAACUUCUCUGUACCAUCCUCUAAAAGUAGUGGUGGUAUUUCCAGUAUUCCUUUAUGAAAAUCAAAGUUCAUGUCAAAUAUUUUUUCCUUGGACCCCAACUUAAACUUGACUCCAGAUUGAUGGAGCUCCAUUGCACUGGGUGCGGUGAGAGUUUCAAGAAGCUGUGGCUGUUCCCGCCUUGCUGGCCGCUGACACUUUCUUAGAAAGUCAACAAAAUGCUCUAAUUCAGAGGAAUUGAUUUGCUCCAAAAUGUCCUUUGGCACCCAUGAAUUCCCAAAUGUGCUUGAUAACAAAUCACGAGUAAGCUCAAUCAUGCAAUAUCCGCCCUGUCUUUUGGAAAGCUUAAGCAAGUCGUCAAGAAUGAAGAACGGAAUCUGAUUUUCAAUAAGCACGUGUCCAUCUUUAUGUCUUCUAUCAUCCACGAUUUACCGAAUAUACGGUCGUUUUUUCUUCGGAAGGCAGGGGAAAACUCUUUCAGGAAGACCAUAAUGAUGAAGGAGCUAUCUAGCAACAUCAUUUUCACAAAGUCCUCUGUACUAAUAUUUUCAAAAUUAUCUGCAUAACAGUUGCGCAAACUUGUCUCCCUCUCUGCAAUAGCUGCAAUGCAUUCCUUGACACUUAACUAGUGAGAUUGCUAUUUAAAAAUUAUAAAUUCAAGUUUUAUAAAUUUCAAGAUUAAUAAAAAUUUAUAUAAUUAUUAAUUUUAGAGCUCGUAAGAUUAGUCGAGACACGCGUAAUAUAACUUAAAAACCCACACUAAUAAUUAAAAAAAAAGCUAAAUAAUUCUGCAUGUUGCGUCAGCUAGCCAGCUGCCUGAAACUCUUUUCUAGGCAAUUAUCUACUUCAUUGCUGAGGGAGCAUUGCUGAGGGAGAGGCAUCUGAUUUUGAAAAAGUUUAGCAUUCCUUUUUUCUUUUUUCAAGAAUCAUUGUACAGGAACUUUUUUGUUUUUUUUUUAAGAAUUAUUGUACCAACGUAGAAAGUUCUAGCCAGAUGACAUUUUGUGCAUCUAAUGCGCUGAAGGCUGUCGUCACAGAUCAAUCAUAUCAACGUAGAAAGUAAAACGGAAAUGCCUUCUCUUCCAAUCCUCGAGCACGGUUUGUUUUUAUGUUUUAGUUUAUAAUCAAUACUACUUUCUAUUUAAUUUUAUCAUAUCAAAAUAAUUUAAAAUACUAAAAAUAUAUUAAUUUAAAAUAAAUAAAUAAAAUUUAAAUUUUUUAAAAUACGUGAACUAAGUCUUCGUCAAUUUAGACUCUCCCGGCUGGACCCCAAAUCAACAUUAAUAAGAGGGGUCGGUUCCAGCUGUCGUCUUGUUGAGUAAAAAUCAGCAGUAAUACUAAGUGGGGUCGGUUCCAACCAUGGAUAUUUGGUUACAAAAAUUAAAUGCCUUUAUAUGAAGAGAACUUAAAACUAGAGUGUAAAAAUUUUUACACACUGAAACAGGCAGAACACAAGGUAAGAAAAGUUUCAGAAUUAUAGAAGCAAAAGAAAGUUAUGUAGAAAAUGAAACUGUAAGAUCUCCGAGUUCGUUUUUCUGGUUAGUAAGAAAGAGUGCAUAUGGAAACUACGCAAGUUUGCUUGCAGAUAAGAUAGCGUACUGUAUUUUGCAGCAGAGGUUCUUUGAGAAAAUUAGAGCGAGGAUUUUGAAGCCAAUCAUAGUAAGUCCUAAUUUAGAAAAGCCAUAUGUUUAUCUAUUGCUUUCUUCCUGUUCCUUGCAGCCAUGAGGCAUGGAUUGAGGUGUAGUUGUUAAACCCAUUCUGGCUUGUAGUUUGGCCCGGCCUUCUUUUUGAACCAAUAAGUCAACCUUUAACCUGUUUAACCAUAUCAAACUGGAGUGAGAUUUGAUCUAGUUUUUUCCAAGGAAUUUUUAAAAAAAUGAUCUCGUUGUUUCGUUUUAAAAAAAACCACUAAAAGCAUAUCGUUUUGAAAUUAACCGCCCUGUUACUAGGGUCUUUAGCCGGGUAUGAUAACUAUGAUUCGAAGGGAAAGUUCAACAAGAUUUCCUGCUUUAUAUAGUUAUUUGAGACUCUUUUCUGUGAUAAUCCAUGGAGUUUUCAUAUGUUCUUUACAUUUGUUUUGUAUUUGUUUCACUAUCAGUAUCAGUAUCAUCAAAUAAUUUGUUGAGUCUGACGGAUAGAAAUUAUCCCAGUUCAUUCACAGGAUGAAGACUGGCGAAGAAUCAAGCGAGAAAAAUGAUAAGGGAGAUCAUGUUUCUCUAAAUAUUGGCAGGUUAGCAGCAAAUGUGAGAAAGGAUUUGGAAAACUUAGGUCCAAAUCCUUUAUCGGAAGAGUGUUGUAUCUAUAAAGUUCCACAGCGACUGCGAGUGUUAAACGACAAGGCCUACACACCUCAAGUAGUCUCCAUUGGUCCAUUUCAUCGUGACAAAAAGGAGCUGCAAGAAAUGGAAGAACAUAAAAGAAUGUACUUGCAGGAUUUUCUUAAAUGGAGCAAUGCAAGCUUGGAGGACUUUAUUGAACUCAUAGGCGAGUGUGAAGCAACAUUGCGUAAUUGUUAUGCCGAAACCUUUGAAGAUAUUAGCAGUGAAGAAUUUGUGAAAAUGAUCUUAGUAGAUGCUGCCUUCGUCAUUAUGGUCAUACUGAAACGACACUUCCUUGCCUACCGAGGCAGAAACGACCGUAUCUUCUUUUGUCCUUGGAAGAUACGUGAGGUAGGGAUUGACCUUUGCUUGCUUGAAAACCAGAUCCCAUUCUUCAUUCUCCAGAACAUGCUUAAGCUAUCCAAGAUAUUCUUCCCUUACAAGGAAAGUGAAUUAAUUACGCUUGUCCAUGAAUUCUUAAAAACUGUGUGGGACUCAUGGGUGACAGAUGAUUGUGAGGAGAUAAACAGUUAUUCUGAAAUAGAACAUUUUGUUGACUUCCUGAGAAUUUAUCAACAACCAACAAGGCCACGCCGGCCAGAGAUACUCUAACGCCUAUCCACAAAAACUGCGAAGACGCUGCAUCAAGCUGGGGUCAAAUUUCAGUCAGGCUCGGACAAAAAAUUGCUUCACAUAGAAUUUGAGAAAGCGUUUCUGAAAAUCCCACCGUUCAGAAUAUCAGAUGAUACGGAAAUCUUAUUGAGAAAUCUUCAAGCCUUUGAGCAAUGCCAUUGCGGCGACAAUUAUGUAGGUAACUAUCUUUACAUGAUGGAUUUGCUUGUUGAUUCUCCUGAGGAUGUUGAAAUUCUUGUUCGAUAUGGAAUUAUAGAAAAUUUGUUGUCAAAUAAUGAAGCAGUGUCUACUCUUGUUUACAAUCUUUCCAGAGAAAAUAUUAUCUCCUCAAAGAAUUUCUACUUCUCUGAUGUCCUGGUGGAUUUGAAUAAGUACUCCGGAAGAGAUUGGCCGAAAUGGAAGGCAAACUUGAGACAAAAUUAUUUCCAAAAUCCAUGGUCCAUAUUCUCUGUUAUUGCUGCUGCUUUUCUCCUCCUACUUACCAUCAUCCAGGCGGUGUGUUCCAUUAUUCAACUCGUUUAGAUUCUACCGUUUCAAUUGUUUCAUUUCCUGUAGAAAGCUAUGUAUAAUGUAGAAUAAACAUGGAAAUUCAGUGUUGUUUCUCCUAGCUAGCAAGUGUGUGUAUCAAGUAGCCAAAUAAGGAUUAUGAAAUGUAAUGUAAAUAUUGGUGAAGUGAAUAUUGCAUCAAUUAGUCACUACAAUCAUAGUUGUGUUGUUGUGUUUGAAUCAAGGACGAUCUAAAAUCGAUUUGGGUCACCAGGUUACGUGGUCAAUAUUUUUAUUUAAAUAAUGUUAUUGUAUUUAUUUUAAUUACUUAGUGUUGAUUUCAUCGAGUUUGGACUGGUUUUAACUAAGUCAGCCAAAUUAUUAAAAACCAUGUUGGGUCAACUACGUUCCAUUGAAUCAAUGUUUUUUUUAAUUUAACUUAAAACGGUUUAGAUUACAAGUUUUUUAAAUUAAUUUAUUGAGUUUAGCCGGGUUUAACAACUAUGAUUAAAGCGAGACAUCAUUCAAAGGGUAGAGUAGUUAUUUGCCUAUAAAUUAAUAUAUCCCUUGCGUAAGUCCUGUUAGAAAUCGAACUAGGCCUCCACUUCACCGAGGGCUAGACUGAUUUUUUUUUGUUAAGUUAAAAAACAAUGCUCAAGAGCUGCUAGUAUAUUUUAAAGAAAGAAAAAAUAAUUCACUACUCAAGUUAUAAACACAAUUGUUAAAUGGAUGCAAUUUUAAGAGAAAAGACGAUAGCUAUAAUUAGAAGAAAACGAGUGCUUGUUAAAAGGAAAAAACUUACAAAACCGAAUUUCAAAAUAACUCGAUGUUAAAAGAUGAAAUUAAAAAUAAAAUUUAAAAAUAAUAAAAUAAGUAUGAUAAAAAAAAUGAUAAAGUAUCUCGAAUCAAAUUGGGCUAGCAUGACAAACUUGCAAACCAAGUUUUGAGGUUGAGCCAACCUUAUAAAAAGUAAAUUGAAAAAAAAAAAAGACCAAUCCUAAACAAUUCAAAUAUAAAAAGAUGAAAUCGGAAAAAAAAUCGAUCAACAAAAAAAAACCUACAAAAAUAAAACACUUAAAAACCUUGGGUAAGGCUGCUAAAACUCACAAGUUAGAUCAUGCAAACGAGAUACUUGAUAGAAGGCAAAACAAGAAAAAAAAAAAAAACUUAAUUUUAAAAUAAACCCAAUUUUAAAAGAUAAGACUAAAAAAAUACAAAAAAAUGAGCCCCUAAAAAUACAUGAGUUACUUAGCCAAAUUUGUUUUUCAAAUCAUGAGAUCAUAAUAACUUAAUUGAAAGGAAACUUAAAAAAAUCACGAAGGUCAUUUUUUUAAAUGAAUAACGUUGAAGGAUGAAAUCAGAAAAAAUAAGUGUAAAAAAAAUAAUGUCAACCUCAGCUAAUUUUUCAAACUUAUGACCUUAGUCACUAAACCAGAAAUAACCCAUCUAGAAAGACCGUGAAUCCUAAAUUCUAAAAAAUCAAAUGUCGAAUGAUGAAAUAAAAAAAAAUCAAAUAUACAAAAGGAUCAAGAACAAAAAAAUUAGCAAUUAAGAGAAUGGGUACUUGAUUUGAAAUAAAAAGAUAAAUGAGAGGACAUCCUAGAAUUUUAAAUUGAAGGGAAAAAUUAAAAAGAAAAAACCAAAUUAAAAAAAAAAUCAAAAUUAAAAUCAAAAGAAUGAAGAUUUGAUUUAAAAUAAUAACAACUCAGAACUAUGAAUUCAAUGAUAAAAUUAAAAAUAAAUUAAAUUUUGAUAAAAGAGUCCAGAAUAAAAAAUUAAAAUUAAAAAAAUAAAAACUAAAUUUUAAAUAUUAGUAAAUAAAAGGAUAAUUUUGAAAGUUUUAACAGCCAAUGUAAAUUUUUAGAAGAGGACAGAGAAAAGAUGAGAAAAAAAAAGUUGUCGUCAUCAAAUAACCACACGUGUUACUUCAUAAGAAAGAAGCAUCACGGCUCUUCCAACAUCAUCGUGGAAGCUUGUGUUCCACCAUUGGAAAGCCUUGGAGGAGUUCCACAUGCACACAUAAGUUAAUUUUUUUAUAUAUUUAUGAAAUUACCUAAUUGACCUGAAGCCAACACGAAUAUAGCCAAAAAAAACUAGGUUGAAUUUAUAAAAAUGCACUUGGAAGCAAGUUUAAUAAAUAUUGCUUUUAAAUGUAAUUCUAUUGUGCUGAAAUUAUGAAAAAAUAAAAAAACUUUUGUACACAAGUUUAAUAUUUUUUUUCUACUUUUAAAGACAAUCAAGUGAUUUUAUUGUUUUAAAAAAUAAAAAAACAUGAUUUUAAACCUGAUUAAUCUGAAAAUAAUGAACGAACCCUUGUGAAAAUUUCCUUCUGUCCUUGAACAAAUGCUGCUUGGUUUUCUUGAGAAGAGUAAAUAAAUAAUGUUAUCGUUCCAAUCUAUAUUAGUUUUGAUGAACAGUAAAACAAAACAAUGGUUGCUUUUAGUUUUUGUUUAAUCACAAAUAUAAUUUAAUACAUUAUGUUAUCACUAGGGAUGGGAACCCAUAGAUUAUGGAAAUAAUUUUAGUUUUUCUUCUUUUUUUCUUUACACUUUUUUUUUUGAAUAUAUAUAUAUAUAUAUAUAUAUAUAUAUAUAUAUAUAUAUAUAUUUUUUACACUUUGAAUAUUUAUCACUCUACACUUAACAUAUUUAUUUAUUUUUUUGUUCUUUUGUAAUUUAUUUUUUUAUUUUUUUUUAAAUUGCUAUAUAAAAACUAAGAAAAAAAUAUUUCACUAUAAUAAUUUCAUCAUUGUUAAGUUAAAAAUUAACGUGGAAUCUUACAUGGGUUAUAUUAAUGCAUAUGAUCUUUAUUAUAUUUUAUUAUAUGUAAGCAUCUAUUUUUUGAUUUACAAUUAUAUUUUUUACUUAAUAUUUAAAAAACUAAUAAUACCUAUAUAUUAUUUUUUUUAUGUUAGAAAAAAAAUAUUUGAUCUACACUAAGGCGAUUUGAAUAAUCGAGUUGAUAUUUUGUUUUUUAUAUUUAUUCACAAGGAUUGUUCUUGAUGUAUUUAAUUAAAUACAUGUAUAUAUGUUUUUAUUUAUAAUUGAAAUAAAAAAACAUUUAAAGACUUAUAUAUUUAUAUGUUUUUUACUGAAAAAAUAAUCCGUGCCACAGCAAAAUAGCUGACAAAUUAAGUUGGGAACUAAAGCAUGCAAGUGUGUGUACAUGAUUAAUCAAUGAGCAGUUUUACCUUCGGCAAUAAUGAAAGGAUUAUAUUAUAGUGUUUGGAAACAUGGUAAAUCUGUGUUUUUAAAAAAUUUUAAACUUUUUUUUGUUGUUAAAAAUUAAUUUAUAUAUAUAUAUAUAUUAAAUUCUUUUGAUAUAUUAAUAUUAAAAAUAAUUUAAAAAAUAUUAUUUUAAUAUAAAAAAUAUUUUAAAAAAUAAUUAUAACAAUGCUCUCCAUCAACAUGGAUAAAGAUAAAGGGAAUGGAUUCUCCACUCUUCCGGUCAUGCAUGGAAUGGCCCACAUGGAACAAUACGAAUUUGUUGACCGGUUGGAAUAUUAAGUACACAAGAAUUCUCGUGAAGCAUAACCAAAUGCAAAAGUUACAGGAGAUUUGCUUUUGUGUUUUAAAAAAAUUAUUUUUUAUAUUUUAAAAUUAUUUUGAUAUAUUAAUAUUAAAAAUAAAUUUUAAAAAAUAAAAAAAUAUUAUUUCUAUACAUUUUUAAACAUUAGAAUGCAUGACCGUACUCAAAUUCUCAUGAAGCCAUCAGAGCCGAACACACCAGAAGCGCUAGAGUCUACACACGUACCAAGUGUGACAGAGCUAUUAAGAGCACAGAGAUCUACUUAAUGAAUCUCCAGGCAUUUGAGCAAUGUGAUAGUCUGGAUCAAGAUCAUAUAGGUGACUAUAUUUCGAUGAUUAAUUUCCUCGUCAUUUCUCCUAAGGAUGUGGAAAUCCUCGUAGAAAAUAGAAUCCUAGAAAACUGGACACAUGACAAUGAAGCUGUGCCAACCGUUCUUCCAAGCUAAAUGAUCUCUCUCAGAACAAUUUCAUCUUUGCUGGCCUCGUUUAAGAUCUGAAUGCAUACUGCAAGAGACCUUGGAAUAAAUGGAAGGAAAUCUUGAAACAAGAUUAUUUCAGUACUCCAUGGGCCAUUAUACCUCUUAUUGCAGCAGUUCUUCUCCUCGUACUCGCUGUUAUACAAGCAGUGUGUUCUGUUAUUCAACUGUAGCUUCUACCAUUUCAAUUGUUUCCCAUAGACUUCUCAUUGCUGUGUACUCCUCCCUUGCUAAUCAAUGUUAAGCUUCUAAUUAUCAGUUAGCCUGUUCAUUGUAAUGAUUAUUGUUUCGAAUAAUGAAUUUCUGUAAGGUUAACACUAUGUUACUGAAGGAUAAACAAGAAGUGGAAGAAACCAACAUGGAUUAGUUACUGAAGGAAAUACUUUGCAAUUUCAGAAGAGGAAAUCACAGAGCACACUGUUUAUUUACAGAAAAAAAGAAACAAAAGAACAAUUAAAAUGGCAGAAUCUAAACAACUUGAAUGAUAGAACACACUGCUUGUAUGACAGUAAGUAGGAGGAGAAUUCCAGCUGCAAUAACAGAGAUUAUGGUCCACGGAUUUUCGAAAUACUUAUGUUUCAGGUCUGCCUUCCAUUUGUGCCUACGCCUUUUGUAAUACUUCUCCAGAUGUUCAACGACAUCAGAAAAAUAGAAAUCGUGGCUGACAAUAUUUUCUUUGGAAAGAUUGUGGAGAAGUCUUAAGAGGGCAUCGUUAUCACGUAGCCAAUUCUCUAUAAUUCCUUUUCUAGCGAGUAUUUCUAAGUCCCUGGAAGCAUGAACAACCAAAUUGAUCAUCGUGAUAUAGUGACCUAUAAAACCAGAACUGAAAUGGCAUUGCUCAAAGGCUUGGACAUUCCUGAAUAACGUUUCUGUGUCAUCCUCAAUCUUUAAACAUGGAAUUACCAGUGCCCCUUUAUCAGCGUCGAAUUUUAUAUCUAGUAGUUUUUUGCUGGACCCCAACAUAAACCUGACUCCAGCUUGAUGGAGAUCCAUUGCACUGGGUAUGCUUAGAGUAUCGAUUUCCUCUUUUAUUUGCUGUUUUUGCUCUGUUGGCUGCUGACAGAUUCUCAGAAAAGCAACAAAAUGCUCUGCUUCACAGAAUUUGAUUUUCUCCAAAUUGUCCUGUGGCACCCACGAAGACCAUGUGUUUGUUAAGAAUUCAAAGGUGAGCUCAAUCAAGGAAAUAGGGCCCCGUAUUUUGGAUAGCUUAAUCAAGUCUUCUAGAAUGAAGAAUGGAAGCUGAUUUUCAAGCAAGCACAUGUCCCUGGAUACAUCACUGAACAUCCAAGGUUUACCGAAUAUACGGUCAUUUCUGCAUCCAAUAUUUCCGAAGCGAUACCUCAGUAAGACCAUAAUGACGAAGGAGCAAUCGAGAAGCAUCAUUUUCACGAAUUUUUCACUGCUAAGCUUUUCAAAGGUUGCCGCAUAACAGUUUCGCAAUCUAGUUUCCUUCUCUGCAAUAAAUGCAAUAAAAUCCUCAAGGCUUACCUCGCUGAAUUCAAGAAAAUCUUGAAGGUACAUUUUCUUAUGCUCUUCCAUUUCUUGUAGCUCUUUUUUUCCAUGGUGAAGUGGGCCGAUGGAGACUACUUGAGGUGUAUAAGCUCUUCUAUUUAACUUGAGUAGUCUUUUAGGAACCCUGUAGAUUGAACACUCAUCGGAGAAAGGACGCAAUUUAUUGAACUCCUCUUGCAUGGACGUUGCUAACUUGUUAGGUUAACCGAACCAUGAAUAUCUCCCUUGUUCAUCAGUUGAUCAGUUGAUGUUCCACCAAUCUCCGUCCUGUGACUCAUUGAGAGAUCUCUCCUGUCAAAAUUACCAAAUCAUUUAUUAAUACGGAUGCGUAAACAAAUUCCAACACAAAUGUAAAAAGGAAAUGAAAAUAUCACACAAAAUAUUGUCAGACAAUCACGAAAAUAUUUGGAAGGAAUCGAAUCUGAAUUAUUUCAACAUACAUAGCUUCUCUAAAUUACAACUUGCAUACUUAGAUUUGAUACAAAACCUAUAUAGAAAAAACUCUCAGUGUGGACUUAAGUGUUUCUGAUCAGAAUUUUCUUGACUGUUUUGUUCCUGCAAUUCACCAUCUCUUCUUAUUCUAGUCUUCGUCAAUUUGGACUCUUACGGCUGGACUCCAAAACAACAUCAAUAAGAGGGGUCGGUUCCAGCUGUUCUCUUGUUUAGUAAAAAUCAACAAUACCAAGCACUGUUUGGACCACAUUCUAUAAAAUUUAAAAAUUGUUUUUUUUUAGGUUUAUCUUUUUUAUAUUUUUAAAUUAUUUUAAUGUAUUGAUAUCAAAAAUAAUUUUUUUAAAAAAAUAAAUAAAUAUUAUUUUGAUAUAUUUUUUAACAAAAAUCACUUUGAAAAAUAAUCGUUAUAAUACUCUCGAAUAAUCUCUAAAUGAGGCCCUGUUCCAACCAUGGAUAUUUUGUCACAAAAUUAAAUGCAUGUAAAUGAAGAGAACUUAAAACUAGAGUGUAAAUAUUUUUAGACACAGAAACAGGCAGAACACAAGGUAAGAAAAGUUUCAGAAUUAUAGAAGCAAAAGAAAGUUAUGUAGAAAAUGAAACUGUAAAAUCUCCGAGUUCGUUUUUCCGUUUAGUAAGAAAGAGUGCAUAUGGAAACUAAGCAAAUUUGCAAGUUUCAGAAUUAUUUUGCUGCAGAGGUUCUUUGAGGAACUUAGAGCGAGGAUUUUGAAACCAAUCAAAAUAAUAUGUUCUGUUCCUGCAUUUCUCCAUCAGUUCUUAUUCUACACAAAGUCUUCGUCAAUGUAGACUUUUGCAGCUAAACAACAAAUCAGCAUUAUUAUCAGGUGGGGUUUACUACAGCUUUUUUAAAGUAAUUUUUAUUUAAAAAUAUAUUAAAAUAAUAUCUUUAUCAGCUUUAACGAACUUAGAGCGAGGAUUUUGAAGCCAAUCAAAGUAAGUCCUAUUUAGACAAUCCAUAUGUUUAUCUUGCUUAUCUUCCUGUUCCUUGCAGUGAUGAUAUGUCAAAAAUUAUUUUAAUUUAAUAAUUUAAAUUAUUAAAUGAGGUUUUAAGUUAUGAUUUGUAUUAUUUUUUAGAAUAUUUAUUUAAGUAAAAGUCCUUUAAAUUUAAAAUUCACAUAAAUUCAUAUUAUUUUAAGCUUAAUUUUAAUUUAAUAAAUAAAAAUAAUAAAAUUUAAACUUUUUAAUAAUUUAAUUAUUAAGAUUAUGAUAUUAUAUAAAAAAUCAUUUUAAUUCAGUAAUUUAAAUUAUUAAUUAGAGGAAAAUGGCAACUGAGAAAUUGGUCCGUGCCCACCAUUCCAGAAUACAAUAGACAUCCAACUCACAUGAUUACUUUUACAUGGAUAAUCAGUCAAGACAUGACCCUGGGGCUCACAUGAUUUCACGUGAACAACAACAUUUUCUCAUUGGCAAAGGUUUUCACAAUGAUGCACAAGUGACCUGAAGACGUGACGCGGCAUGUCUAGUAUCUAUCAUGGAAUUUUAAAAUAAAAUUUAUAUUAUUUUUUAAUAAAUAUAAUUUAAGGUGUAGUAAUUAAACCUAUUCUAACUGGAAGGUCAACCUGAAAUCUAGUUACCCAGGCUUGAUUUCUUUUGGAACCAUUAAAUCAACCUUUAACCUGAUUACUAUAUCAAACUUAAACUUGAGUGAGAUUUAAUCAGGUUAUUUCCAAGGAAUUUUACAAAAAAUUAUCUUGAUGUUUUGUUUUUAAACAAUCACUAAAACGAUAUCGUAUUGAAACUAACCACUCUGUUAAUGGGACUUUAUUCGGGUAUGAUAAAGUUCAACAAGAUUUCCUGCUUUAUAUAGUUAUUAGAGACUCUUCUGUGUGAGAAUCCAUGGAGUUUUCAUCUGUUCUUUACAUUUGUUUUGUAUCUGUUUCAUUAUCAGUAUCAUCAAAUAAUUUGUUGAGUCUGACAGAUUGAAAUUAUCCCAGUUCAUUCACAGGAUGAUGGCGAAGAAUCAAGCGAGAAAAAUGAUAAGGGAGAUCAUGUUUAUAGAUUAGCAGCAAUUGUGAAAAAGAAUUUGGAAACCUUAGUGUUUGGGGAAAUUCUGACCGGUGAUGUACUGAUAUUUGCUCAUAAAAAGCAAGUAUACUAACACAAUAUUUAACGUGGUUCGGCAAAUCACCUAUAUCAACGGGAGAAUCAAUAUUAUUAAAGAUAGAAAAAGAAUACAGAAUAAAUACAUAGAGAAAAAAGAUCACACCCAUUCUAACUCAAAUCCCAGUUCACACAUGCUGUUGCAUAUGGCAGCAAGGCUGCUAUUCAUGGUAGCAGCUCCUCUUUCUCUCUUCUUUUCUUCACUUCAUUUUCUCACUCUACAUGCUCUCAAAAACUUGUCACUUUUAUAGGCAAAGGUGAUGAGCUCCACAUUUAGUCAACAUGGAGGGGACAAUAACGCCUUAAAACAUGGCAUGAAUUAUGGCAUAAUUCAUAUUUCGACUUGUACAAGUUGUAGUGGAGUAGUUAUCAUAAUAAUGGCAACUUCCUAACACUUAGGAUGUCGAAAUUCUUGUUGGAAAUGGAAUUAUAGGAAACUGGUUGUCUAAUAAUGAAGCAGUGGCUACUCUUUUUUACAAUCUUUCCAGAGAAAAUAUUGUCUCCCGGAAGAACUUCUACUUUUCUGAUGUCCUGGAAGAUUUGAAUGAUUACUGCGGAAGAGAUUGGCCGAGAUGGGAGGCGAACUUGAGACAAAAUUAUUUGCAAAAUCCAUGGUCCAUAAUCUCCGUUAUAGCAGCUGCUUUUCUCCUCCUACUUACCAUCAUCCAAGCGGUGUGCUCUAUUAUUCAAAUCGUUUAGAGUCUACCCUUUCAAUUGUUUCAUUUCCUGUAGAAAGCUAUAAUGUUGAAAUUAGAAUAAAGAUGGAAAUUCUGUGUUGUUUUCUCCUGGCUAUCGCGUGCAUAUCAAUAAGACAGAUAACCGUUAUAAAUAUUGGGUCUAGUGUUAUAUUCGACUCGGAGCUAACCUGAAAAAAGAAAUCUGAGUGUUAUUAGAUCAUUAAAAAAAUUAUUUUUAUUAAAAAAUAUUCUUGGUGUUAACGCUACUGAGUUUGAAUCGAUUUUAAUUAAGAUAAUUGGGUUAUAAAAAAUUAUGUUACAUUUAUCAAAUUUAUUGAGUUAAUAUUUUUUUUUUCAAUUUAAAAUCUCAUUUUGACAAUAUUUUGGGUUGAGUUUUUCAAAUUAACUCGAUUAAUCAAGACUAAACAUCAUUCAAAGAGUAGCUAUUUCCCUAUAAAUUAAAGCAUUCCCUGCCCGAGUCCAAUUAGAAAUGGAAUUUCACGAAUAUAAUAUGAUACAUUAUGUUGUCACUAACUUCAAUGGAGUCAAAUCCAAGAAAACAAUACCAGGCUUCACAAUCCUUUGCCCCAAAAUUAGACCUCAAGGGAUGGCUUGGGCCUCGGUUUAUUUAGCAGUUUGCUUCUUGGCUGGAACAAGUUUUAGUUGGGAAGGCAAAGUUGCAGAAUGUUUAUUUAAAAAGUCCAUGGACUGCAAUCUCUAGUCCAUUAGAAAGCUGGCUGGAGUAGACUAGGCCUUGACCAACUGAGAAUAUUUGAGCUUCACUUCUGUGCUUGGUGAAGCAGAUGAGCACUAUCUUAAGGCUGAACAAAUCUUUCAGCAGGCUUUUAUGAGAAAAAAACAAAAGCCUGGCCCAAAUUAAUAGUGACAUUUUGUGUUUUGUUUUUAACUUUUUUUUUUUUCUCUCUCUCUUUGAUUCAUCUACUCUUAACUAAUCAUAAAAAAGCAAUGCAAUAUUAUUCAUUGCGUGAUCCUUUUCUGACUAAUUGAUAGCAUGUUGAUUGACACAAACCGUUUUGCAGAGAAAAAAAGACGAGGAAGAAACAAGCACUGAUCAUUUAAUGAAGUACAUGUAUAGCAAUCUCACAGGAAACACAAACAGAACACACUUUUAUUUGUAGCACACGAUCGAAUGGGUAGAACCUAUUUCACUUGAAUGACAGAACACACUGUUUGUAUGACCGUGAGUAUUAGAAGAGCCCCAGCUGCAAGAACAGAGAUGGAAACCCAAGGAUUUUGGAAAUAAUUUUGUUCCAAGGCUGCAAUCCAAAGGAAAUAAUGUUUUUUCAAGGCUGCAAUCCACAUGUUCUUCCGCUUUAUGUGCUUCCGCUUUCUGCAGUACUUGUUCAGUUCUUCAACGACAUCCGUAUAGUAAAAAUUGUCAAGGGAGACUAUAUUUCCUCUGUCAAGAUCAUGGAGAAAACUUAUAACUGCAUCAUCAUCACCGAGAUCCUUAUAUAUAAUUCCUUUCUUAGCAAGUAUUUCUACAUCAUUAGUACCACGAACAAGGAAAUUGAUGGUAGCGAUAUAGUCACUUACGUAUCCACUUCCCCAAUGGCAUUGCUCAAAGGCGUGGAGGUUUCUAAUGAACUUCUCUGUUUCAUCGUCUAAAAAUAGUGGUGGUAUUUCCAGUAUCCCUUCAUGAAAAUGAAAGUUCAUGUCAAAUAUGUUUUCCUUGGACCCCAACUCAAACUUGAUUCCAGAGUGAUGGAGCUCCAUUGCACUUGGUGCGGCGAGAGUUUCAAGAGGCUUUGACGGUAUCCACUUUGCUGGCUGAUGACACUUUCUUAGAAAGUCAACAAAAUGCUCUACUUCAGAGGAUUUGAUUUGCUCCAAAAUGUCCUUUGGCACCAAUGAACCCCCAAAUGUGCUUGAUAAGAAAUCACGAGUAAGUCCUUGGGAAAGCUUAAGCAUGUCGUAAAGAAUGAAGAACGGAAUCUGAUUUUCAAGCAAGCACGUGUCAAUCUUUAUGUGUUCUAUCAUCAACGGUUUACCGAAUAUACGGUCGUUGUCUCUUCGGAAGGAGGGGGAAAGCUGUUUCAGGAAGACCAUAAUGAAGAAGGAGCUAUCUAGCAACAUCAUUUUCACAAAGUCCUCUCUACUAAUAUUUUCAAAAUUAUCUGCAUAACAGUUGCGCAAUCUUGUCUCCCUCUCUGCAGUAGCUGCAAUACAUUCCUUGACACUUACCUCACUCACUUCAAGAAACUCUUGCAGGUAUUUUUUUUUAUGCUCUUCCAUUUCUUUCAGCUCUUCUUUUCCAUGGUGAAUGGGCCCAAUAGAGACUAGUUGAGGCGUGUAGGCAUAUUCCUUCGAGUCGCGUAGUCUUUUAGGAACUCUGUAGAUGGAACACUUUUGAGAGAAGGCAUGCAAGGUUUUCAACUCCUCUUGCACAGACGCUGUUAGUUUGUCAAUGUCAAGCGAAACAUGAUCAUUCCUUUUCAUCUGCU
rnacentral:lncRNA from 1 species